AGGAGGAACAGUUGCCUCAGCACGUCUGCGCAGCUUUCCUUGCGGCGCCCCUCCGCGUGGUCUAUGAUGGUGCAUUUUGGUCCAGUCAGGCCCGGUGUGGUCGGCCUCAUUUUGGAUUACUUCGGUGGGCUUCUCCUCGGCGUGGUUACGGUCUAGUACACCUUAGUGUGCUUUUCUCUGCAUGGUCCUUCCCAGCGUGGCUCGUCUCAGCAGCGUGGUUUUCAUCCGUGUGAUCGUCCUCUGCAUGGUUUUUCACGGUGAGGUCAUAUCAGCCAGCCACCAGCCUCAGCAUAUUUGUCCACAGUUCUUUUGGAGCUGCCUCUGCUCGGAUCACUUGAGCACUACACCUCAGUCCCGACUAGCCAUCCUCAGUGUGCUUUGCUCAACGCGAUCCUCCUCAGUGUUUGUCCUGAGCCUAGACCUCCAUGGUGAGGUCUUAUCUUGUUUCGUCAUGGUGGUCGGCGAUAUGGUCCGAUCUGCCUCAGCAAUUGGGUCACUUCCGUGUGGAUCGUUUCAGCACGGAUCACUCCAGCGCGGUCGGCUGCCUUGGCGCGAUCCACUUGGCUUCUCAGCAUUUUUUUUUAGCCUGCUGGGUUCUCUCAGUUUUUCUUCAACACGCUUCUUUUCCCUCUGUGUGAUUCUACUUGGAGAGCUUUUCUGUUCAGCUUGGUUCCCAGCGCUUCUUUUUCUCGGCAUGGUUCUCCUAGGUAUGGUUUUUUUCUCAGCGCGGGUUUCUUCUCUGAGUCAGCACGGCACAAGUCGCAAGUCCGCGUGGCCGCGCUCAUCAUAGCCUCCCCCUCCUCGCGGCAAGCACUCACGGCCAGAAGCAGAGGUGAUUCGUGCCGCGCUUUCGCGGCUGGGCUCCAUCUUCGUUUUGCCGCAGUGGCUCCGUAUUCGUUUUGCAGUUACGGCUCGGUCCUCGUUUCACGGCCGGUCCUCGUUUCACGGCCGUGGCUCAGUUCUCGUAUUUUGCGUCCACGUCCCCAUCUUUGUGGCCCAGGCUUACAGAAGCAGGGGUGGUCUUGAGGCCCUUUGAGCCCCGAGGUCGGUCGAGUCCCAAGGUGAGUGGCCUAGGACACCGGCUCAGGCCUUCGGAUUCUAAACCCCGGGCCGAGUCAGAACGCACUGGAGCUGAAACCGAAUCGGGUCUGGAGACCCCUGAGCUUUGUAGCCCGGUGUGGCCAGCACCAAGGUAGUGAGUGGAGUACGUGUUGUUAUGUGGUAGCUGUUUUAAUGCUGAGAGUGAGGGGCUCCGUUCGGAAUGUUCGCGCAUGGUGGGGGAAGGGUAUCGUGGAACUGAGGCUGGGGAAGGCUGCUUAUUCGGAGUUUUGAACCGAGUUGUGAUCUAGCUCUUGGAUCCGAGUUGGGUGUGUGUAUGUGUGGGUCUACAGUGGUUCCGAGUCUAGAGUGGAGUCACGAUUGGAAUCGGGUAGAGAUUCGGGUCUGGAGCCGACUCGGAAUUCAGGUGUGGGGGAUUGGGAACUUGGGGUGGAGGCCGCAGUGGUUGCAGUGGGUUCUUAACCUUCCUUGUGCUUUGACCCUUUAAUACAGUUACUCAUGUUGUGGUGACCUCCAACCAUAAAAUUAAUUUCAUUGCUACCUCAUAACUGCAAUGUUGCUACUGUUAUGAGUCAUUAUGUAAAUACCUGUGUUUUCCGAUGGUCUUAGGCGAUCCCUAUGAAAGGGUUGUUCAAGCCUAAAGGGGUCACGACCCACACGUUGAGACCUGCAGAGUCAGAAUCAGGUCUGAAUUGGGGGAAUAGCAGAACUGGGAGUUACCUCCAGAUUUUCAGUUGGGAUUUGAUUCUUUUCUGUGGUUUUAAAUUGAGAUCCCAGAGGCUCAGGUCUCUGUUGGGGACCAGACUGAGGGUUUCUAGUUAUAUUCAGGACCUGACUGGGCAGUACAGUAAGAAUUAAAGUUGGUUUUGAGUGUGAGCAUAAUGGUCUGAGGUAGGGAUCAGGACUGAAGUAUAAAGAGUCUGGUUUUUAACAAGUGGGAAUCACAUUUUGAGACAUGGGGUCCCAUGUGGGUCAGAGUUGAUUUAAAGGACCAAGGCCAGGGCCCAAACCUUAGUCCUCCAUUUUGUUGUUCUUGUUGGUCACAUUCCCUUUUCUGUAAAAUGGGGAGGAGUGCUUUCCGCUGUAACCUUUCUGGGCAUAAAAGGGAGUAAGUAAUUCAUAGAGGUAAAAAUAGUCUUAUCUUAAAUGAUUAAAAAGUGUAAAAUAUUUCUCAAUAGUAAUAAGGACAAAUAAUAUGCAUUUAACAAUCUUUUCUCAUACCGUGUGCCCUUUGUUAGGCACUACCAAAAAGGAACCUUUUCUGUUCUGUUCCCUAGAGCUUGCCCCACCCAGCCAUGGGCCUAAUACACAGCCAUCCUCAGGCAAUACUUGCUGAAGGAAAGCAGGCAGGCAGGAUUAACCAGAUUUCUAUGGUGUCUUAAAUGAUCCAUUUCUGCACCUGUUUUCCAGAUACUAGGAGAAAAAUUUAAAGGAUUGGAUUGCUUGAUUAUAGUUCUAUUUUAAUGUGUUACCAAACACACUGAAGAAAAAAAGUGGAUCUGUUUUGGGAUUUGUGCUCCAGCUAGAAGGAUCUUUUAAAAUUUCGAAUCAGAGCAUGUCCAAAUUCAAAUAAGGAGAGCACAAAUAAAGAAAAUUAUGAGGCACUUCCCUGGUGAACAUAGAUGAAGGUCCACUUACAGUAUUAACUAACUGAAUCCAAGAGAAUUUUGAACAACAGUUCUUAGACAAGUAGGAUUUCUCCUUGGGAUAUAAAGAUGAUCCAAUAUCAGAAACUCUAUCCGUGUAAGUCACAGUAUUAAGAGACUGCAGGAGAAAAAACAUAUGGUUUUCUCAAUAGAGGCAGAAAAUUUACAUGAUGAGGUUUGACGCCUAUGUAUGCAUUUGAGGGGGCUGGAAGGACAUUACUUAGGAAGCCAAAAACUAGAAGAGAAUUUCCCUAACUUGAUACAGUGUAUAUCCAAAUUUAACUUUUAAGUAAACUUAAAAACUAUUAUUCCUGGUAAGAUAAGGAGCAGGCCAAGGGUAUUUUCCUAGCCACCUCCUAAUAUAAGGAAAAGAAAUGGAGAUGUAAGACUUCCGUGGCAGGAAGAGCGAAACUAAUGACUUAGAGAGAAUAGUUGUAUUUGCAUUGGGGUUUGCAAACAUUUUGAUGUUACAAUCUUUGUGUACUUAAAAAAUUAUUAACUCCCCCUCCCCACAUUUAUUUAAGAUGGACUAUAUUUAUUGGUAGUUACAGUCUUAGACAUUAAAAUUAUGUGCUUAAACAUAGAGCUGUAUAAUUGUAUAUUCCAGGGAGGUCAUAUCUCUGGAAAACUCUGACUUUGUGAGAAUCAAAAUAGAGACUGCAGAUGAGUUAUGGGCGUAUUUAUUCCUCAGACCAUCUGUGACCUUUCCUGGGAGGGUCUGAGAAGGCUUCUCAGAAGUUUCUUUGGACUUUUCUUUGAAAACUGCUGAACUACCUGAAAGAUAAGGUUUUGCAGCAAAAGAAUUAUUUGGGUAUAUACAGUAUACCCAAACAAACAAAUUUUUAAAACCCCACAUUUCUUUAUAACAAUAGUGAUGUAAAAGAUGUAAGAAGUGCACUCAGAUACAAAUUAGAAUAGCAACGAGAUUGUCUGGUCUUUUUUUAAGACAGUGUUUUUGGGAAAACUGUAAAUUCCCAUUGGAGAUAAAGGAAGGUAUUUGGAUGUGCAGAGACAUUUGUUUUCUUGGAAAAUUUAGCGUUAGAAUCCUCAGUAUUUUGCAAAUCUGUAAAUUUAGUUAGAUUGCAGUCAGACUUCUAGCUGGAGGAUUUAACAUCUCUUCCUCAAAAAUGUAUGUGAAAGAGAAAGAUGUACAAAUGCCAAGUGAACUUUGAAAAACAUUCCAUGGCUUAGCAGCCAGAAGGGUGGAGUGACAGAGACCCAGAACAGAGCUCAGUGAGCUCAGCCCCGAGUCUGGGGAAGGUGACAUGUGAUCAAAGUGGCACCACAUAUCAGUGGAACCUCCUUGGAAGAUGUUAAAAAACAAGUAAAAGAGAAACAUCCUGUGAACUCAGAGUCCUUAGAAAGGGGGAGCUCCAAACUGUAAGUAAAAGGUAGUUGCUAUUUAUUAAGAAAAACUACAGAGAAUAUUUUCUAGGGUAGGGUGGAAGUCUUAAGUAGGAUAAAUCUCAAGACUCAAAUUUAUGAACUUGAAUAGGUGCAAAAAUUAAGGAUUUCUAUGAACCAAAUCCAUCAUGGCCAGUGCCACUAGUUCCAUAAUUGAAAGACAUGAUUUGCCUUUUUAUCCCUUCUCAUGCAAAGUUCUGCCCAUGACAAAUUACAAGAUAACCAGAACACUAAAACCAGGGAGCAGCAGCUGAGACGACGAGAAAGCAAAUCAGAGGAAAAGGUAAGACAAGAAACUCGCAGGAGGGUUACCAGUGAAGAUAUGCUCAAACUGAAGUCACCAGAGAAAUGCAAAUCAAAGUGACAUUUAUUUUUCUUCUGAGAACCCUUAGAAAGUAGGAUAAUGCCAAGUGUUGGCAGAAGGUAGGGAGCGAGACUCCCCGCCUGCCGCAGGUGAGAGGGGAGACCGACACAGACAUUCUGGAAAGCUGGCCAGCAUUUUUUUUCCUCAAAUAAAAUAUUUUAUACCUGCGGCGCAACAGUUUCCCUCCUGAGUAAACAUGCUGGAGCAGUUCUCCCCCAGAACAAGGAGAGGCUGUGUGUGCCUGCUCAGCACAGCAUGGCCUGGGGGUGGUGGGGUGGUGGGCAUUUGGCUCUGGUUGCUGUGGUUAGAAGCAGGGGACUAGAUGUACACUUCACAAGAUGGAGACACAUGGAAACGGUGCUGAGUGACACAGACAGCAAACAGAAGGAGGGUUUCAGUCCCUGCCUUGGUGUUUAAAUUCAAAUUACACCCCUCCCAGACCUGCGCUAACUGGGCAUACUGUCCAUACGUACAAUGAUAUUAAUAAGCUACUCCAGAGCAGCUGUCUGAGUGGAAGGGAGUGGGGGUUACAGGAUGGAGAUAGGAUGCAAAAGCAUGGAAGGAGCAGAGUGGUCCUUUUAAACAGACCCUUUCACAGUAACAAUUUUAUGGGCAGAAGGCUGUGAUUUACUCUGUGUGUUAUGCACCAGGACCCAAGAGCCAAGUAUGAAGAAGUGAAUGUGCACCCAUCACUCACCUGCCAGAUACCCUCUGUAGACUCCUAUUUCUAGGAACAUCAGCUUUUUACAAGGUUGGCUUGCCCUGAGCUCUGACCAUUUCUUCUUCUCUUGCUGAGCUUGGGCCUCAGCAGCAUUCUUUGUGCACACGUGUUCUAGGUGCAUGCAUGGGUGGGGUCCAGAGGUCAAUGCUAGGUAUCUUCCUCUAUCACUCUCCACUUUCUUUUUUAUAGACAGGAGCUCUCACUGAACCUGGAGCCCACCAUUUUGUUUUGACUGGCUGGCCAGUGAGUCCCCUGGGAUCUUACUUAGUGUCUAUAACCUAGAACCCCAGUCAUGUGCUGCCAGACCUGGAUUUUAUGUGUGUGCUUGGGAUCUGAGCUCAGGUUCUCAUGAUUUCCAGCAAUCACGAUUCCCAGUAAGUACUGUAGCUACUGAACCAUCUCCCCAGCCCAAUAUCAACAUUUUUUUUUUUAUUAUUAUUAUAUCAGCAAAGUAUUCCUCCCGCUUCAGGGUCUUAAGGUUAGCCACUCUGCCUGACUUUUAUUUUCCUGUAAUUCUCAUAUCUCACUGCAAGUGCCUUUUCUAACCUGCCAUAUCAAUUAGUCUCCUCAGCUAAUUGCUACCUCAGUCUCAGAAGCAUGGGCUACACUGUGGUAUUCUUGUUCCUUGGGCGUGUCCACUUAAGUUAGCUGCCUGUCUCCUCCACUAGAAGGGAGGUCCUGGGUGAGCGUGUGUGUCUUCUCUGUAGGGUUAGCACUCUGUAGGCAUCUCACACAUUUCUGGUCAGUGGCUUCAUUGAUUUGUUAAAUGAAAGGAAAGAGCAGGCCAGGAAAGUGUUCUUCCACUUUCAGAAUUCAGUGAGAAAGUAAGUGGUGAAGAUUUCUUAACUGCCACCUUGGUGUUAUUUGGUGAAGGAUGGGGGUUGAGGGGAGAGGGGUGCUCUGUGUUGUAGUAUGUUUCACAGCCUAAAUGGCAUUUACCUAGUCCAAGUAGUCCCCUCACAGUUGUGAUAACAAAACCUGCCUCCCAAGGUUACCACAUAGCUCUUGGGGUGGGGGUGGGGGGGCACUCCCUGCCAGGUCUGCCUUAGACUAGUUGCAAGGAGCUAGAAAGCCUUUCAGCUUUAAACACAGGGUCCUUUAAACACAGCGGACCCUGGCCUUUAUCCUGCAAUGCACUAAAUCCAUGCCCUUAUGGUCCCUAUGAAGACGACCCUGGCCUAUGCCUGUAUAAUAGAAGCACCUCCAUCUCUGCUCAUUGGUGUAAAUAUAUUUUGACAGGUAAUCCUGUCCUCACAAUGCAUGGGGUUCCAUUAAAAUCUUUACAACAUUCUUAAAACAAAUCAACAAACAAACAGAACCCUACUUAUUGUUAUGUUGAUGAAUGUCUUGUCUGCAUGCAUGUAUGUAUACCAUGCAUGUGCCUGGCAUCCCCGAGGACAGAAGGAAGGAUCAAUCCCCUGGAAACUGGAGUUUCAGAGGGUUGUAAGCCGCCACAUGGGUGCUGAGAGACAAAUGUAGGUUCUUUCUACAAGAGCAGUGAGUAUUCUUAGCCACCGAGAUAUCCCUAACCCCGGUUACAACCAUCCUUUAGCUGCAGUGCCUCAGUUGUGAGGCAUUGGCACCUGCAGCUUUACCAGUUUGGAGCCGGCCUGGAAAGAGGCUGGGUUGGGUCUUCUCACAGCUGCCAGUUAGUACAGACUAGUAAGUGGCUCUUGUGAACAAUAGAUCCAGAAGUUUACAGUACACUUAGGAGGAGAAGAGGGUUUGCCUCAGAGAAGGCUGCUUGGGAGAGUAAGUGGGUGGCCUCUAAUACUGGGUUUCCUUUCCCUGUGCUUGCCUCUGAUAUCAGCCUUUGCCAUGGUCCUCUAUGCUGCCUGGCCCCAGAAAGUCUGGGUCAGUGGCCAGAGUCCAGACUCCCAGGGUCCUGAUCAGAGUCUUCAGGAAGGCCUGAGAGAUUAGAGCACAGAACUCUCCUAGCCUCUCCCACUGGGAACUGAAAGCUUCCCUGAGCCUUUCCUAGGGACUGAGACCCUUGUUUGCAAUUUAAAUGUGCCCUCCUUUAUGGAAGAAUCCCAGCUCCUUGAAGAGCCUUGAGCUCACCCUCCCUAGCAGUUGUAGCCUUAGCCAGGGGAAGAAACUGAUCUAAUGGGCCUUUCUCCUAAUAAUGCUAAUUGUGGCAAUUAGGCUCUGCAAUAGAGAAGGGGCAGGGCCAGGCCCACUAGUUUGCCCUUAGCUCAAAUCCAGGCCUUCUUACUCAGGCUGCUGUCCAGGUUAACUAAGCCUGGUGAAGGUACUAAAUAAGCAGAGGUUCAGCAGAGGGUGGUUGAAGCCUGCUGGCUUCCAGGGGCAAUCACAGUGGAUAUGGAUCUGAGUCUAAUGUUCAGUCUAGUAUUCAUACAGGUGACUCUGGGCCUUGCCAUGUGAUCCUCCCAGAAGAGGGUCUAACUGGAGCAUAAAGAUGGUUUGAAUUAAUCAAUAGACCAAUAUCUACCCUUUCCUUUCUCUCUCUCUCUCUCUCUCUCUCUCUUUCUCUCUCUCUCUCUCUCUCUCUCUCUCUCUCUGUGUGUGUGUGCACGCGCGCGCGCGGCGCGCGUGAGAGAGAAAGAGAGAGAGGGGGAGAGAGAGGGAGAGGGUGAGGGUGAGGGCGAGGGCAAAGGUGAGCAGGGGAGGGGGAAAGAAAGAAGAGUGAGCAGGGGACCAUGGAUAAGGGCUUAUCUGGUCUGGCAGGAAGUUAGGUUUUGAAGCAUAUGGCUCUAUGGAUUAAGAAACCAUUCCUCAGUAUGGCCAAUUAGUAGAUCUAAUCCCCUCAACCUCCUAACAUAUACUAAAGGAUCAAUGUUUCUUCACUCUGCAGGGUCUUGCUUACAAAGCACUCUGGGUCCUGUUCUCUCUGGGAGCUGGGAAUCUGGUCUAAUGAAAGGAAACACAGCACAGGCAUAGGCAGCCUGAAUGCUUAGUUAUUCAAAGGUUACACCGUAGCUGACUUUGAAUCAGUAUAUAGCGUCUGCACGGUACGGAGACUUUCCAGGAAGUGAAUUAUGUGUAGGAGGCAGGGAAGUGAUUAUUGCUCCAUUUUAUAGACUCAGCCAUUCCACACAUACUUGUUGAAAGUCCACCAUGCAUCGCACAGCUGUCUCGAGGAGGGAUUUUACAGGAGUCAGGUCACGCCUGUCCUAUGGUGCUUGUGUGUUGUUAUACACUGAAGGGAAUAUUCUUUGAGGUCUGGAGAUAUAGAGAAAGGACUAUUAGGAACCAGCCAGAACCCAUCUGGGAUCCUAGUUAGGCACUAAGACCAAGAGGACACUGUGGAGGAGGGAACACGAGAGAAAGAAGCUAGCUUUCUAAACCUGGGUACAGAUCUUCAGUCCUUGCUUCCUGUGAGGAUCUUGGGUUUGUUCUGAGACCACUGAGAGCUGCUAAGGCUCUAAGUUCCCAUUCCAUUUAGAUCCCAUUCCACUCAGGGAACUAAGUGGAAUCCACAUUUUAAAAGGCUCUUCCUCCUGAGUGGAGGGGAAUGGAGGUUAUCAGAAGGUGUUGUGGCCUCCCAGAGGAGUGACAAUACAAAAGGAGGGAAUGGGUAGAGGGGGUAAGCAGCCUGGCUUGGUAGUGGACUAGUUGGGUCUCAGCUAGGAAAGAAGGCGUUGGAAGUGAUUGCAGGGUUUCAGGUUUACACUACUGGAAGAAUUUUUGUUUGGGGUGGAGCAUGAGUUGGAGGAGUGGAGUAUGAGGUGACAGAUAUGGUGGGUCCAGCUAUUGGAAAGCUAGUUUUUGUCAGUCCAGGAGCUCCUGAUGCUGAGGGAAGGGACCAGCGUAGGGAAAGAAGGGCAGCACUACUUAGUGGGUGUGAAACUGGGUGCAGAGCUAGCAUGGUGACCGGGGAUAGAUGGACAGGAAAGAGGAACCCAUUCUUGCAGAGGUCAUGUGGAGUCAAUGUUCUAGUCUUAUGAGGGUUGGCAGUGGACAGCAACCAGCCUAGAAUGUGCCUCCUGCCAGUAUGACUAUGACACUUGCCUUCCUCUGUGACUAGAGAGAAGGCCUUAUUUCUCAGUGGUUCUGUUUUCUCUCUGCAUUCCUAGAAUCAAGAGUAGCAAAAGAACAUUUCUCCAUAGAAUGUGCAGGGAGGGUCACCUCCCUCAGGAGGCCUCGUCCUUGCUAAAGUAUUUCAUAAUCUUGGAACGAUGGAAAAUCCUUCUACCCAUUUUAAUGCAAAGCCGGGCAAGCUUUAAAAAAAAAAAAAACAAAAAACAAACAAAUGGCCUUGAAUAGGCUGAGAUGAAAAGCAAAGAGGUUGCCAACGCUAGAGACUGGGGGAGGGGUGUGCAGUGGGCAGGGAGAUUUUGGGAGGCUCCAAAGUUAGCAGUUUCUGAGCUUUACUGCUCAAACCUAGAGGCCCAAACCAAACAGAGCAGGUCCAGGGUUCAAGGUGCAAGGGGGCAACAGCCCUGUGUGGAAGAUGUCUCUUUCUUGUCAUUGUUCCUGAUUAGCUGUUCAAACAGCCUUCACAGGUUCUGCAAAAAAAAUGGUUAACUGUGGGUCCUCUAUAUCUUCUACUUGGUAAUUUUUAAACACAGCUGAGCCCCGGGUGCCCCUCCCAGAGGCUCAGAGGCCAGAGGCCAGAGGUCAGCACAAACUCUACACCACGUCUGCCUAGCCUUUACCUCAUGUGUCUAGGAAUGAUGUACAUUAGAGUAGAGGCUCUGAUACCUCCCUCGCUCAGGUGCCAGAUCAAGGCUUCAUCCUCUGCCCUUUGCCCAGGGUUUAGUGGGGUUUGCUAAUAUUACUUAAUUCCUGAAUGAACCUUUCAGGUCAGCAUAAAAGAGCUGGGAUUGUAUGGCAAAACCCGGAUGGGGAAGAUGGCUCAGACUGUUAAAAACAAGCUCCCAGCAGUGGGAGGGAAGCACCCCCUCCUUGAGGCCUGAGGUCAGUGUUCCCAUUAAUCCUUCUGCCAAGGGAUAUGUACCUAAAGGUUCUAGGGUCACACCCUAUCGGGACUAGCCAUUCGGGACUUCUGAGAAAUGGCAUUUGAUAGCUACAUGUACUGCCACAACUGUACACAACCAAGUCACACACAUUCAUCCUGUUCCCAGCCAGGGCCCAAGACUGAGUCUCAUUCCCGUUUUACCUCCUCUUAGCCUGGGUGCCUCUACCUUGUAAUAGAUGCUGAGGCCUACUUAGACCCCAUGACUGUGCCUGACAACCAAAGAAGCCCACCUUCUGGUGUCACCCACCUCACCCUAGCUCUCUGUGAUUCCAGCUUUUCUAAGGAAGGCAGGUAGCCUCUCAACCAGUCAUAUGCCCCAUGCCAGACAGUCAUGCCAGCCGCUCCAGUGCUCGUUAACUACCUUUAGGCCUUGUGGACUUCAUGUUCUAUGGAUGCGAUUUAGUACUCCCAAGAGCACCACAAGAAAGGGGAUAGCAAGCAAGAAGAAACUCAGCCACAUAGAAGGACUUGUUUGAGGCCACUGGGUGCCUGACAAGAGUCCUGCCUCUGGGGAAACCAGUGCUCCAUGCCUGUAACCUUGACAGAGUGCUCUUGGAUUUAUGUUUUCAUAGAAGCAGUCUGUGGAGGGCUAGAGAGGCAGCCCCUGUUUUCCUGGGUCCCUGCUUGGGAAGUCACAGCUAUCACUGUUGAGAAAGGCAGCCCAGGUUUGGAGCAGUUGGAGGCUAUCCCAAGAGUAGGUUGGAUGUAGAGGUGUGGGUGCGUAUAAAUGCCAUCCUGGGUAAAUGGAAAGGCCACAGGCCACCGUGAUAAGGUACCACUUCCUCUUCCUGCCUGGUGGGCUGCUUCAGUACCAAAAUGUCCGGCCACUAACUUGGUAUAAACAAAUGGGUGUGAUCCAAAUGCAAAGAACAGAUGCCCUUAGCCCCCACUCCUCCUGCCCUGAUUUUCCUCAGUGGGCUGUAUGUCUCCUCUCCAUUCUGUUUCUAAGACCACCUAAACAUCAAGAAUCUGGAAAAUAGCCGCUACAGCAAAUGUUUAUAUUCUUCUUGGUUUGUCAUUCAUUCUGUUCCUCCCAGAGAGGCCUAAAUGCUGAGAUACUGGGCAGAGGGCAAGGAACAGUACUGCCCUCUCCAGAGGCUGCCAAGAGACAAGGCUGUAGUUGUAGUCUUUAGGGCCAUCAGCCCUACAUGAUGCUGUCCUCCUCAUUCCCUUUUUCCUAUGGGUGGGCUUCUUCCCAUGGGCCACUUCUACCCAAAGCCAUGUGAAAGGCCUUAAGUUCUAGAGGGAUAACCUGAGGGUGGCACUGAGUUGCAGGGUGCAAUGAGAGAUUAUUGCAAGGCUGGUAGAACCCUCCAUCUGCAGGGCUGACUUCAAAGCUGCUGCUGGGCUUAGCCUGCUGCAUCAAAGUCAGCCAGUUAAACAGUUUUCACAUAAAAGGGAGAGUGGAGGGUUUAAAAGCCUUCCCGUGAAGACAGGCAGGCAUUCCACCCUCUUCUCAGGCACAAGAGCCACUAGAGGAGAAAGUAACUGCCCCUUAAAGACACAGAAAUCACCUUACACCCUGGUUUAGGGUUUGAAGACUACAGCCUUAGGUACAAGCGUAGUGAGGCACCUGUGUGGAGGGAUCCUCCAUUUGCAUUCAGCUCCCUGCUUUAUAUCUGGCCUUGUAUUUUGCUUCCCUACCUCCAGCACCUAUGUUUUUGGGGUGGGGGUGGGGGCAGGCUAUCUGGCUGUCGGGAAUAAGGAGAUGUAUGGUAUGACAGCCCUGAGGGAACUCAGAGUCAGGCUGCUCAGGUUGGAUUCUAGCUUUUAGUCUAAACAAUGGCUUUAUACAGUGCCUUUCUUCCAGUCCUAGCAGCCUUGUGUGAAUACAUUUAGAGGAGACCCUCGUUCAGCCUCCCCAAGAACUCUCUGGGAAGAUCCAGGAGACUCUACCUUGCUCUCUGUCUCCCCACUUCUGCCUUCCUCUUUGCCCCCCCUCCCCCCACCGUUGGGUCCCUUGCCUGACUCCAGUAUACUGUGAUGGCAGAAGUGCCAAUGUCUCCUCUCAAGCAGAGCCUAACCCAGCUUGUGCCUUGCAGAGUGCAGAGGGGUGCUCACCCUGCCCUCCUUCAGGGAGACAUCAAAGGGAAACUGGAAGCAUUCCCUGCUGACCCCCAGUGAGUGGGAGAAAAGCAGCAGCUUGGCUCAGCUGGCUGGGCUGGGGAUUUUCCAUCCUACCAACAAUAUCCACAGGAUAGAUACCCCACUCUGGCUUUUGAGGAACCAGGAACCCUCAGGAACCAGUGUUUGAUUUGCAGCCUGAUGGUGCCAUGAAGGGCUCAUUGGCAUUGGGGCAUGGCUAGCCACUUGAGGAGUUCCCUAUCCUCAUGACGUGCUGACGACUGGUUUGAAAUCUUAGCAUUUCUCACCCUAGCAGAAUACUACCUCGAGGUCCCCUGAGAUCUAGCUAGCCAGGGGAGAUCACAAUUUGUGUGGGGACCCAAGAAAGGUAGAGAGAAGACUGCCUGCCUUUUCUCUAUCAGCUGCUUAUCCCCCAGGCCUUUUGUGGAGUGCACACUCCAGCCUCCGUAGCAGCUCAGCACAGCCCAGGCUAUCCUAGACUGUCCCAAGUCCUCAAGGGUUUCAGCACCUCCCAAGCUAAGGGAACAGGAAGUCCAGAAAUAGAAGUCAACAUUUAUGCUAAACCAGGGUACCCUCCCCCCUUUGACUAACAUGGGCUUUUGGCAGCUUCUGGCUCUCAGAUCUCCAUGCACAAUUUGUAGGCUAAAUACUCUACACUACUCAGGAUAUCUAAUCCUGUCCCUCAAGAGUUAGACUGUCAGGUUUUUCUGAGUCACAGCAACCUUAGGCCUGGUAAGUCAUAGUGAGCAUGUUUCCCUCUUCAGCCUAGAACUCACAGGAUGGGCCAAAGAGAAUGCAGUAUGGUUUCAAGGAUGUCCAGGGCCAGCAGCACUACCUGAUGAGAUGAGACGAGAUGCUUGCCUGCUCCAUCCUGUCAGGGUCUGGUCACACAACUAGGCUGGAGCAGGCUUAGAGGGCAGGAUUAGACAUAGUGAGAUCCAACAAAGGCAUAGAAAAUAUCAGAAGUGAGAUAGCAAGCCAGGCCUUAGGCUUGUGCUUCCUGUGUUCCUGUCAACGCUGCCCUACUCUAUGAUUAUGGAAAAAGUAGGAAAAAAAUCUUUAGAGAAACCUAAGUACCAAUGUGGCUUUUGUAGCAGACUGAAUUGUGGGAGGCCCUGGUGAAGACAUAUUGAGCUUUGACAUGUGAUUGUGCCUUAGCUGAGGUCUUCUCUCAGCCAAAGCAAGGACUCAGUUGGGUCCCGACUCCCACAAGGCUAUCUUCAAGUACUGUUUGUUCUACAGAUGGAGGUGGGGGGCUGUUUCUCAUUUCUGCCAAAGUCACUUAAGGGACACAGAGAAGGUAGACCUGUUGCUUUUCUAGUACCUAGAAGUGGAAAGGUGGAGGUUGGUCAGAAAGCCACAUUUUGCUUCUCAUUCCCACAUGAAAAAAGAUGGCGCUGGGGGGUUUACCCAUCUGUUCCUCUAUAUCUUGUCUUUGGCUGGCCUAGGCCCUUAUCUCACCACAUGCCACUCCGAAGAGAGACGGAAAUGACAAGAGUGGGCUAAACUAUUUGGACUGGGUAAAGUCAAUAAUAGACAGUGCCCGAUUAAGAACUGGGAGGACCAUGUCUUCCUAAGUCUCAUGGUAUGCUCCAUUCUUCAAGGGGAGCCAUUCCCGUAAGAGCUGGUGUGACAGAUUUGAAGUGGCUGUGCCAGCUAGUGAGUCUUUUCCUCUGAACCAUGUAGUGAUAGGCAAGGCAAGUUGACAAGGAAGUUCUUUCCAAUUCGAAGAAGCCAAGGCAGUCAUCAAGCUUUGUCUUACCAGGAAAACGUCAGUGUAUAUCGUUGGCUGUCUGGCUUAGAAGAGGCAACUGUGAAUGAUGGCCAGAGAGAAUCACCUAACACAAUCUGGUUAUGAACACAUUUGGGCCAUGGAGCGAGAGGCUAGCCCUGGAGGCCUAGUGGAUCCACAAGAACCCAGAGAGAGAACAAAGAGGCUCAGGGUCUUAGAGGCUUCUGAUCCACACAGAGAGAGUCAGGAAAGUUAUUAGAGGUGUUCCUUCAGCUAUGGGAACAACAUCUGAGAUGCUGGUACUCCAGGGCAGUGUGUGUGCUGCUGGAUAGCAGGAAGGUUUCUACUGAUGCCUGAGGCUUGCUCUAGCUCAUAAAUCUCCACUUCUCCUUAGCACUGUGAAAUGUUUACUCUGAACUAAGCCUCUGCUUUAACAAGUCAUGUUUCAAUAGGAAAACCUUCGUUGAUGGAAUCGAAUGCAAUUCCUCCUCCUCCUCCACGACAGUUACCCAUUCCUAAGAAAAGCACAGCAUUUUAGCAAGCACCCAGGGCCUCAGGAACUAGCAUUUGCAGACAGUAGUGUGGCAGAUAUGAUGGCCUCAUGUGCAUCAAGGAGAAUCUGGCCUCUAUGUGCCUGGUCUUGCCAGUCCUUCAGACUGACAGUUCUGGAGUGCUCCAUCCUUCACUUCCAGCCCCAUUAUCCAUAGAAGCCUUCAGUGGGAACUCUCAGACUUGGUGCUGGUUCAUUCCUAAGACUGGCCUGUUGCUGUGCUUUGGAGUUAGCCUAGCUAGUCCUACCCAGUGCUGAGGGUAUACAUACACACACACAUGUGGCAUGAUCUACCAGCCCUAAGGCAACAGUGUGUUUUCUUUAAACAGUAGAGUAGGUUUCCUGUAUGUACCUAGCUGCCAGAGGUUGCUGCUGUGACCUAGAAAUAGCUGCUGCCCCAAGCCUUGAUCCACAGGUUUUUUUUUUUUAAAGAUUUAUUUUUAUUUUAUGUGUAUUAGUGUUUGCCCACAUGUAUGUCUGUGUAUAACAUGCAUACAUGGAACCCACAGAGGCCAGGAAAGGGCACCAGAGCCCCUGGAACUGGAGUUACAUAUUCACAAAACCAAGAUGGUUCCUUCCAUGUGAAACCCUUCUAAGAGAAUCAUCAAAAAUUACUGUAUUUCAUUGGUGCCUACAUUUCUAGAACAGCAGGCAGAAAGGGGUGCAUUGUAGAGAAUGGUGAUAAGAUAGCUUCUGGAGAACUCUGGGGCCCCAGGCCCCAUGGAUAGAACCCUGCCAGGGAGCUUUGAAGCUGUACCGUCCCUUCAAGAUGUUCCUGGCAGGCGGAUUUCUGAGUUUGAGGCCAGCCUGGUCUAUAGAGUGAGUUCCAGGACAGCCAGAGCUACACAGAGAAACCCUGUCUCAAAAAAAAAAAAAAAAAAAAAAGAUGUUCCUGGCAUUAACAGGGUCCAAAGCAGCCUUCCCAGCCCCAGGCUGGGUCCUAGGAGAACCUAACUGAUUGCAUGGGAAACCUCAGUCAUUUACAUAUUCAUUUAUUUAUUUCUUCAUCAAACAUUCACUGAAGGUUCCUGAUGUGCUCUGAGUAGAUUAAGCACAGAAUAUAAAACACUGAAUGGAAGUGGUCAGUAUCUGCCCUCAUGGACCUUGAAUGGAAUUGACAGAGAAAGUCAGUAAACUUGUUACCACAAACAUGCGGUUAUACAUUAAAAAUGAGGGAUGGGGGUGCAGUUCUCCAUGGUUCAGUCUGAAGCUGAGAAAUAGCCUAGGCACGUUUCAGCCUAAAAUCAGCCCUAGCUUGUGAAGGUGAAAGUCAGAGGAGAGCUUAGCACGUUUAAAGAUGACGCCAAGAGAAUGUUACAGGAGCUGGGCACCUUCGGCAGAUCGACUAUUCCCUGGCUUUGUGACCUGGGCCCCAGACUUGAUCACUCUAGUUUCAGUUUAUCUCUAAAUCAGAAAUGGUAGAUAGUAUUCAUAUGUCAGAAGCUGCCGUGAGGAUUAGUGAAGUUAUAUGUAUAAAGCCCUCAGCAUAAUGCCUGAGAACUCUUAAGUAGUAUUAGCUCAGGAUUAUUCUUUAGACUGACAUUGUGCUCGGAGUGAGCAUGUUUUCUCCUUAAACACUAGAGUGGUGGUUCUUUUGAAAUACCCAGUUGGUAAAAUCGGGACUCUCCUGUUACUCCUGCCCCUAGGACUCCUUCUGGAUGCAUGGGCAAGCUCUAGUGAGGCCUAGUACUCAGAAGAAAAGAGAAGGCUUUCCUCUACCCAUGCUCAGGAUGUUGUAGAGUUUUCUGGCUUCUUUCGGCUCCAGGAGCCUGUGUCUGUCAUAGAACAGCUUGGCUCAGCCUAGAACCGGCACUCAGAGCUACCUUUUGGAGAUGAGUACAUUGUAUAUGUAUGCAUGUCCAUCAUUUGUGUACACAUUUAUUUGUAGGGCACAGCUAAAAAUCUCCAGAAAUAUCCUGGGGAAGAUAAAAUUCUUUCUAGGCUUCAUGGUAUCCUAGUGGGGACCACCAAAGCCUAACUUCCUACCCAGAGUCUGAGGAUGGUAAGGUCAACUGGUUCCAUUGUUUCCAGAGCGCUCACAGAAAUCGCCAAUCUUUAUCUGAGUUAGCUUAGCCCCACGAGCCUUCACAUGGGGGUGAAGAAUGAGUUAUACAACUAGGGGUCCCAGGGUUGGAGAGACAGACAAAACAGAGGAGAAUGGUUUGUCCUGGAACUCACAGAAGAGAGCAUCCUGCUUCUGCCUCCUAAGUGCUAGGUCUGCAUCUAGUCUACCUUCUGUCAAAGCUAGUGGGCUUCUUUCUAGCCUCCCACCUUCCCUUAACAUAAUAUAAAAGCACAUUCCUUGGAAUCCUUGGAAUCCACCCGUCCCCCAGCAUUGAGAAUAGAAUUAUAGAAUUUUCUCUUUCUCUCUCUCUCUCUCUUUGUAUGUGUAUGUAUAUGUGUAUGUGUAUGUAUACACACACGUUCUUAAUGACAUUUUCUAAAAUACUGUUGUAAAGUCUUGAAGUAAAAAUUCCACUGGUAGUGGGGCCACAGCGAGAAGAAAAAAAAUUCCAUUGGUGUGUUAAUCUGACAGUGCUACAUAAUAAAAGAACACACAUCUAACAAACCUAUGAUGGCUAAUAUAAAACUCUUACAUAUUAGCCAAGAAGGUCUGGCAGUUUAAAAAAAUGUAUAGACCUGAAUUAAGAUCAUAGCAGGAUGCAAAAACAUAUACAACCUGGGUGAGCCUCAGAGGUGGGCAGACGGAGGGCUUCAUUUUCUUUUAAAGAUGGCAUGCUGCUUGGCUCAAUUCAUGUAACAUUGCUAUAAUGCCAUGUGUGGCAGUAUAUGCCUUUAAUCCCAGCAUUCAGGGGCAGGGGCAGGGGCAGGGGCAGGUGAAUCUCUGAGUUUCAGUCAGGGUAUAUAAUGAAACCUUGACUCAAAGGAACAAACAAAUUUCAGUGACGUACAGGCUAGUAAUUGCCAGGGGAUCAGGAAAGUAGGGCUGGAAAGCCUGAGGUACCAUAAAGUGGCUGUACAUAGGGGCCCUUGAGGCCACAGAAACAUUCUGCAUUGGUACUGUACCCUAAGCUUGAUACGUUUCUAUAGUUCUAAGUAUGUUGCUGGAGGAAACUGGUCAAAGAGUAUAGGGAAUCUCUUUGCUAUUGUUUACAGGCAUAUGUCAAUCUGUGGUUACCUUAGAAUGGAGUGCUUAAAAAGUUACAUCUCGCUUAAGUCAGUAGUACACUUAAAGAUACCAAGAGGUGAAUUAAAAAAUGUAAGAGGAAGAUAGGUGGGUGGGUAAAGAGUUAAACAAUAUAGAGACUUUCUAGUUCACUUGAGCAUUGGGAACAGCGACUUCUCCUUAUGAAUGGACGUUUUCUAUUUACCAAGGUGAUUCUUCUUUCAUCUAAAAUAUCAGCACAAUAAGGAAGGUUACACACAGGUGAGUUAUGCUAAGUCUUGUGGAAAAUGUGGCAUGUCCCAUGUUUCUGAAGCACCUGGAGCCACCCCUGUACCUCUGUAGUCUGACCUCACCCCUACCCCCUCAUCAUGGUAGGGCGAUUCUUCUGUCAAGGUGAGAAAGGCAAUGAUUUCUAAGAUUAUGCUCCCAUUCUGAAUAACCAUAAGGGGCUGCAUCUGCCUUGCUUCUGACACUGAUGCUAUUCAACCAGACUUCCCUCUCCACGGCCUUGCCAAGCAUGGAGAAUGUGGGUUGUAGGUGAUGAAAGGUAAGCUGAUGCCUUGUGAUGGAAAAUGCAUUUAAGGAGCACAGCAGACAACCCAUGUCGAACACCUUUCUACAUGGUUCCAUAUUAAUACAUUUCACCUCUGAACAACUCAGGAAGAAUGUUCUUUUAGUAUGAUUUUAUAGACCGAAGGUCUAGAAUGAAGGAAGAAGUGGUGAAGCCUGGAUUAAAAUUUGGUUUAUAGCUUCAGGACCUGCUUUUUGACCAUGUAACAUUUUAGUUGCACAUCCUGAAAUAGAAGCACCAAUCAAGUAGUGGGUGUGGCAUUCCUCCCAGCCAUGGACAAGGUUGGAAAAACAUAAUUGUCCCUGGUGGCCCAGCUGAGAAAGGGACUGAGUCCUUGCUUUACAGAUCAUGCUGUGGAGCCAUUUUUACCUGUAUAGAUUAUAAUAGCACUGUCUGGUGCACCCCCUCCUUUUGGUGACAGAAUUUAGGGGAGAGACUGGGCUAUAUGUUAAGAUUAUGGUACUUUUAAAAGUUUUUUUGGGGGGGGCGGGAAGGGCAAUUUCUAGGGACUGAACCCAGGGCCUCCCACAUGCUAGCUAAGUGUGCUGAACUCUACUUGUACUCAAAACCCAAAAGACAAAACCUCUAACCCUUUGCCUUGAAUUACACAUUGUUCUCCUGUUUUCUCCGAAUGUGAUAAAUUGUCUUACGAUGGCCCUAAAGCAUGAUUAGAUAUGUACCCAGAUGGCUCCUGUGUCUGGCCAUAACAUACUCUUUGGAUGUUGCCUUAUGAGGGAGCCUCUAAGAUAAGUUCUCAUGGUCCCUGAACAUGGUUAGCUAUUGAGGACUAAGUCAGGAGUUAAGGAUGUGUGUCACUCAUAGCCAUAGCCAUGCUUAGCUCACAGGCCAGUCUGGGAGCCACUCACUAGUUGAUACAUUGUGAAUGAACACUUCAUGCCACCUGGGUUUUGAUAAUGUACGAAGAAGCCAUGACACACAGAAGGACAUCUCAUAAAGUUAUAUAAUAACACCAGCAGGACCAGUAUAGUUCUAAGUAGAGCCUGGAAACAGACACAAAAUCAGGAAAUACAAUCAAGAUAGCUGUUAAAACCAGCAGAGCAAAGAUGUAAGUUUAGUGUUGAAACAACCAUAUAACUGUGGAAAAUAAGUCGGCUUUUUAACUAUUCCAAAUCCAGAUAAACAAAUAAUAUAAACAUAAAGCAUGAAAUAAAAGAUGAUAGAAAACACGGGAGACUUCAUUAAGACAGUCACACAGUGAGCUUAUUUCCAGAUCUGAUACAAACCCCUCAAAUAACCAGACUGAAAGAACUGACUUUGUAAAAAAAAAAAAAAAAAAAAAAGCAAUAUCCAAGAAACAGUGGGAAAAAGUGUUUUUAAUGACCCAAACCAAAUGUUUUAGGUAUUUAUAAAGGAUAAAACCCUCAUGGUGGAGAGAUGGCUCAGUGAGUAAGAGGGCUUGGCAUGCAAACAUGAGGACCUGAGUUAGGAUCUCAGCUCCCAUGUCAAAAGGUGGGUGUAACUGCAUUCCCGCCUGUAACAGUACCUGUUGAUAGAUAGCUAGGAGGAUUGUUGGGCCUUACUGGCUGCCAGCUCAGGUCCAGGUUCAGGGAGAGACUCUAUCUCAGAGGAGUCAGGUAGUGAUAGGUCAGGACACCUGAUGUCCUCCUCUGGCCACUCCAUGUGCAUGGGCUCCUGCACAGCACACGUGUUCUCCCCACAUGCCCCCCCCCCAUCCAUGGACACCGCCCCCCCCCCCCCAGAUAAAAGAAAACCAAAGCUGUAGCAUACGAUGCUUUAAGUCUUUCCAAUUAACAGGCCCAUCCAUAUGUACUCUUGUUGUCGGGAUCUAGGGAAACAGGCAUAUUUGGGCAGCAUUUACAAUAGUAUAGGGUCUGUGAGGCAUUAUCUACCUAAAUCCCAUUUAAAAUAGGCCGAAGAGACAUCUUAAAGUGAAUCCAUUUGAAAUAAAAAUCAAUACAUUGUGAUAAGCAGAUGAUUGGAAGGUUAUCUUGAAAAAGUGUUAAGUUAUAAAAAGAUUUGCUCAUAUAUAAUAACACUAAUGUCUGCAGACACACACUUUUAGAAAAAUAGCAAAUUGAAAACCUUUAUUUUGUAAAGCACUAUGCAGUACCAUCUUGCAGAGAAAGGAUGUUGUUGCAGAAGUAUGGCAAGGCCUGGCUGAUUUUGAGAGGGGCUGCCCUGAAUCUUCCAUGACCUCACCAACUCUCCCUUAAAAUGCUUAUCUAGAAUUAGCCUGGCUCUUCUUUUCAAUAGAUAACUGGUCUAACUGUCUGAUUUUUCCAUGGAGAAAUUCAUCAGCAAAUCUCUUUCCAACUUGAUGAAUUCUUCUAUAAGAUUUAUAGUUUCUCUUCAUAAGUGAUUUGCUUUGUGUGUGCUUAAUGUUGUUUGGUGGACAAGAGCAGCCUAGAAGGAGCUCAGUCAACAGAGAUGCCAGCAGGGAUAACAUGGAUGGGGAUGGGGAGGCACAGCCAUGUUCAAUGGGGAGAGCAAUUUCAGAGGGAACUAAUUUCAUAAGUGGUCGGUUCAUAAGUGAAUACACUUGAAUGGAUAAUCACUAUUUUUAGCUGCUCUAUACAUUCAUCAAUAGGGGACUUGUUCCAUAAAUCAUGGCAUAAUCAGAGGCUCUGCAGCUGUUAGUAGAAAGGAUGCUUGCUGCUUGUCUGAGUAAAGCUCUAUCUUCGAAUUCAUGUCCAUUGGUGCAGAGCGCCCAUGCUAAACGUGCAAAGUUUCAUUUGGCAUGGCCUCUGGGACAUAUGUCUCAGUCCCUGGCCACUGUGUGCUGUCGGACUCCUGAUUUCUGCAUUGUAUAGUAGCAUCCUUGGGAAUGUUCACUUUCUUCAUAGACUAUCCUUUGGAAGAGAGUCUGGGUCCACCAAUUUAUUAAAGGUACCUUUAGGAAGGUGGUUUUUUAACACCUAGUUUAGCAUUCCUAAUCCUGCACUACCAUCUACAUGACUUUGCCAGAUACUGUUGAGUUUACGUGUUGACUAGAAAUGCGCCUGGUUCCAGGAAUACAGCUAACAACCUGAGGAGAAUAGUGAGCACGUUCUGUCUGGAAAAAGCCUGGCCCAGAGCAAAGGCCACAUCCCCCUUACAACAUCCUGGAAUCCCAGCCACGAGAAAAACAGCACUGUCACCUGCUCACUUGAAUGUGCAUAUAUAAGUAAAACUGCUACUCAGAGUUGCAACAUAUCGUAACAAGCCAGUCCUGUGCAGACAUCUGCAAGACUACGGCACCUACCUGUACAUAAGACACACGUACAAGUAUACAAGAAUGUGUGCCACCCAUGUCCAAAGGAGGCACAGAGACAUGUAUCUUUGCUUAUAUAAAGUCUCUGGGAAGACCUAGCAGAACUAAAAACAUUUAGGAGAAGAAACUUGGGAAUUAGGGUUGGGGUAGGAGACCCUUAGUUUUGUGUUUUUGUUUUUCUUUGCCAUAUUCCUUUCUGUACCCUAAUUUUCACUGUUUGAUUUGUGCAUGUAUACACAAGGAUGUGUGGUGCAUUUGUGGUAUUUUUUUUAACAUAAUACUAGUAUAAAAGGUUUGCUCUGAUGUGCAGUGCAUUUUACUGUGAUGUUUGCUUUUUUAGCACAACAUUAAUACUUUACAAAAGUCUUGUUUGGACAUAGCAGGUGUAGUUCCAGAUCGGGAUUGGCUGUAGGCAGCCACAGUAUGCAUGCUGGGUGGACAGCAUGCCUUGGAGCUGGGAGUCUCUGGUUCAUGUCACUCUGGAGCAGGGGCUGCUCUAGCACAAAGAAGGUUUUGAAAGGCAAAGGCAGAGCCAGAGUCAGGGCAGGCUCUGGGCAGGCUCCAAGAGAGCCAGCAACCCUCUGCUGAAGGGUACCCUGAACCCCAUUGCACAGGCGGGCACCUCCUGUGAAGUGAGACUGCUACACAAGUCUCGUCAUUAUAGACUUUUGAGUGGAGUGAUUCUGAAAGAAGAGAAUGAGUACGGCGUGUCCUACUGUGCCUCAUUAAAUAUGGAAGUUUUUAUGUAACUUUCCUCCAUUUCAGGUAAUCUCAAAUUUGAUAAAUGAAGAAUGACAGCAGUUCAUCUUUCAGUUCAUUUGUGCCUCUAUUGAUCUAAUUGAAUGUUUUCUAUACAAAUUUAUUUUUAAAUCUAUCUUAGAUCUUAGUCUACAACCACAUUUCAUAUUGCCAAAACUGCAUUAGGGAGGGCCAAGUUAUCUUCACCAUUGAAACAGGUCUGCUAGUUUGGCUCUGUCUGUCCUGUGGAAAUGACACAAUGUUGACCUAAGAGGGGGGUCCUCACUUCUCCCUACUGAGUCCCCAUGGUUGGGGAAGAAGAAGCUGUGAGCCCACCCCCAGACCUGCCCACUCAGGACAUGCCCAUGUUGGGCUUGUCUGUGGACUCUGCCCUUGGCAUCCCUGUUGCCCACCUGGGCUCUGGCAGAGAAGUUGGGCGGGAAGAGGCCAGCCGAGUACCCGCCAGUAUAAGAGGAAACGGAGAGAAACAGCUCCAGUCAGCCCCAGAAGGGAGGCCUGGAAAAACUCUGCAGCUGGAGCAAACACAAAGGACUUUUCAGAUCCUGCAGUCAAGGUGCCCAGUGCUUUUUUUUUUUUUUUUUUUAAUACAGCUAUUAGGGUGACAAGCCUUUCCAAAGGCCAGCAGUUGGCGAGAGUUUCCAGGAAGCUGGUCUGGCAUGGGGCUGGGAUCAUAGCAACUUUUAACGAGUGAAGUUCAGAAGGAAAGAGUCAUCAGGAAAGGUUUAAGGUUCAACAAACUUUUUGAAUUAUUUUGCAAAAAAAGUUCUGGCUUUCCAAUUCAAAGGCAUGUUUCCCUGUGAUGGUUUUAAGCCAGAGCUUAUUUCAAAGGCAACACAGACUGCACGUUUCUAAUUCAUUCCCUGGAGAUAUUUGCCUAAUCCUAGAGACAAGCUUUGCAAGUGCCAUCCAGUGCCUGGAGACACUAGAGCCAUCCUACUAUCUUUUCAAACAGCCAUCCACCCACGUGUCUCUCCCCUCUACCAGUUUCUGUGGUUGGGAGUACACAUAUGCACACACCUUCUCUAAGCAGGAAGCUGCUCUUUGCCAAAAGUGAAUGGAAUUCAGAUUUCCAGAGGGUAUCCUUGGUCUCAAGCUCCAACAGCCAUCUGACGAAGAAAGAUGCUAGUGUGCGCGCUGGGGCUGUGAAGAGAGGGGCUUCCGUGUCCAUUCAAAUCUUUCUGGGCCCCAAGAAAAACCAACAACUGGCUGUGCUCUCCCUAGCCCCACCCAGCCUCAGUCACAUUCCUUCCCUUCCUGAGCCCACCCUGGGUGGCCCCACAAACCAGCUUCCACUCCUCCCUUCCCACUAGUGGGGAGACCUAACUCAUGUACUCAUCGAACAGCCAACAGUGAAAAUGAAGGUCACACUGCAAGCCCAGAACAGCUUAAAAGCAGAGAAGGGUCCUCCCCAAUGUCUGUUCUCACCCCAGUCAGAGGCUAUUCCCUUUUUCUCUGUCUAGCAGCCCCUAGGACUAAGCGUUCAUACCUUCCUGUGCUUGCUUCCAGGAAAUCCUAGCCUACUUCUGCCUGUAACAUUCUUGGUCCGGGAAAUGAAGAGGCUGCUGUUUGGGCUGCUGUAGCCUUCGCUACUAGAAUGUUCCAACAUAUUAGGGAUCUCUAUCCCUACCUAAGCCUUCCAAGCCCCAGGAUCCAGCAUCCCUGGGACUUGUACAUUUAUACAUGCUGACAUGGUUUUGAUAAUGAGUCACAGUAGGGAUCAGCAGUGACAAGGUAGACUGGCUGGUCCUAAGCCUAAGUUUCUGGGAUUUGUACUUGUCCAGCCAGGGAGGGAACAUGUGGAGAACCUUCUGCAGCUGUCAGAAGGAAUGAGUGACUAUGGUGGACAUUUUGGUUCUGUGCUCAGCAAGAUACCUAGGGCAGAGACUUGGCUCAAAGGCUGCAAAUCAAAUCCUUUGAUUUCAAAUGAGACUAUUUUCAAUGCCAUAGUCUCCUGGAAGCAGGAUUAUUUCUCCUGAGAUCAGUUCUGGAGGCGAUUGAGGCUUUGCCAUAUGGGCAUUGCUCUCUCACCUGGUUCUGGUUGCUACCAGGUGCUCAGCUUGUCUAAUUACAGUUGACUGUCUCUACUGUCUAUGGCUCUAAGGCCCAGUCUGAUCCUCUUGCUUGGUCAAAAGUAGUGUUGUCCUAGUGGAUUUUCUGGGUGUUCUGUAAAGUGUUAUUAUGGUUUUACUGGCCAGCCUUACUUUCUUUCCUUGGCCAGUCUCAGGUCUCAUCUGUAAGUAUCUGCAUCAUAACCUCAGGUCUACCAACUUCUUCCUGGCAGAGUCUGUAGUGGGCUUGUCCUCAUCACCUUGGAAGGAUCUUCCUGUUCCAGUCCUAGGUUUUGUGCUACUUAAGAAAAUGCCCCAGGUAACUAGCAGUAAUGCAGCCAUUUGAUCUAGCCCUGCUGGAGGUGACUGACAGAACCCCAUACAGAGGAGAUAGGUUCCAUCAGUAAACAGAACAUAGGGGUAAGAAUUGGGCCCGCUUUCUGGCUCUGGUCAUGCCAUUAGGUGGCCGUAUACUCUCUUAUCUCUGAUUGACUUCCAUUCUCUUGUCUUUACAUUAUAUGACACCUCCAAGGAUGUUGUGACCCAAACCCAGACCGCAUGGUCUCCUGAGAUCCUGUGAUGGGGCCAUUGCCCAUUGUUGAGACAGUCUGGUAAAGAAAAGCCUGGUAGCAUGGAGUAUGCAAAGCCUUAGGGAAGAAUAACUGUUUGUUUGAGACAGGUCUCAUUUAGCUCAGUUUGUUCUCAAACUCAUUGUCACUGAGGAUGACUUUGAACUUCUGAUCUUCUUGCCUGAAGCUCCUGAGUGCUGGGAUUACAGAUAUGUACAACUAGACCUAGUUUAUGCCGUGUUGGGGGUCAAACCCAGGGCUUCAUAAAUGAUAAGCCAGCAGCUCUCUAACUGCUAAACCAUAUCCCCAGAGGGAAGAAUAUCUUCAGUGAGGCCCUGAGCCUCUGGGCUGGACUACUUUACCCCUCCCCCUGUGCACAUAGCAUGCUAAGUUCAGUCAAGCCUGGAGCCUUUUGUCAAGCAUUGCUCCACUGAAGGUUGACCAUGCUACCCUCCCCCCCCCCCACACCCCAGGCACCUGCAUCUGGAGCCCACACUCCUAGCUGGUAGAGUUCAUAGGGUAGGUUUUUGUUUUCUGAAAAAGACUAUUUCAGUGUUUUGAAUUAGCAGAGUUUCAAUUUAAUUUAACAAUUUCAAGCUCGGCGGUGGUGGCACAUGCCUUUAAUUCUAGCCUUUUAAACUGCCAAGAGGCAGAGGCAGGCAGGUUUCUGAGGCCAGUCUGCUCUACAAAGUGAGUAUUCUAGGACAGCCAAGGCUAUAAAGAGAAACCUUGCCUCUAAAAACAAACAAACAAAUAAACAAACAAACUCCAUAUCCAAACCUGAGGGAAAUAAAAGUCUGGCUACCUCCAAAGGAGGUAGACUUAGGCAAGAGAAAAAGAUCUUGGAGUAGAGGGCAGGGUGUUGGCUCACACAUAUGGCCUAAGUGUAGUCAAGGCCAGGGCAAGGGGACAGGCCCAGAACAAAUGAGCACUUUAAGUCCCAGUAUGACCUUCGCCCUACCAUCUUCACCUCAGGUACAGAGACCAGCUGCCUAGGAAAUUAAUGGUGGGGCCCAGAGGACAGCUGCUUAGUGCUACCUACUUCAAUGAACCUAGUUCUGUUGGGGCAGCAAGUUUAGGCCCUAAAGCAGGAUAGGUAAGAACCCUGCCUGAGAGUAUGUGUUUGUAGAGAGCUCUAUGUUCUCUAAGCCUCAUCUUUCACCCUUCUUACCUGCCUACAACCCCACAACAUAAAUACCUCCUAACUACCUUGCAAAUGCAGCCUCAUUUCUGCCUCAGUUCUCCAGUAGGGCACCAUAAGCCACUGUUAGGACAGAGUAAUACUUAGAGUUUGAUUUUAUAUGAGGGCUUACAGCCAGAGUCCUCAGAGAGAAGCCAGGUAGAAUAAAAGUGAUCCCUGAAAACAUCUUGAAUUACACCCUUCCCCAGUAAUCUCUCUCAGAGCCCUCUGAUCUCUUGCUUCUAAGUUGUUCUCAUGUCCCCAAAGAAGAAAAAGCUCUCAGGGGACCUGCCAAUUGUCUCUGGACUUCUGGGGCAGCAGCUCCAUGUGUGACGAGAUUACGUAGGCAGAAUAUCUAAGCAGAUGGUGAAGCCAGGAUUAUGGAGCUAGAAAUGCUUGGCUGAGUAGAGACUUAGACUAGACCCCUAUCUCUUGCACGCGCCGGACUCGCCAGCAGUAACAAUGCUGCAACAGGAUCCUUCUGCACACAUUUAUUGGGAGAGCUUGAUUGCAGAGGCGAAGAGACCCCGAGCCCAGAACUGGUGCUGCUUAUAUAGGCCUAGGAGAGGCGUGUCUCACACCUGGAUUGGUUAUGCACUAAGCCUCAUUUGCAUGUUCCUCAUCUGAUUGGCUACUCUCUCUCUGUACCUCACAGAGCCUCAUUAUCAUACCUCAUUUGCAUGUCUCACAUCUGAUUGGUUAUACUCUCAAAGCCUCAUUAUCAUGCCCGGGCCAGGCAGUGUCUUUGCAAAAAAUUUUACUGCAUGUGUACACAUUGGUUGUUUGUCCAAACUUAUGCGUGGUGGCCAGCAGUAGUGAGCGCCACUCUGCAACAGCACAUGUGGCUUCCCACACCUAUCUACUUCCCCCCAUUCUCUUCCAUGUUUCCAAGAUGUCACCCAGAUCACCCAUAGAUCCAGCCAUGGGCUUAUCGUCAGACCUCUGCUAACCAGUCAUUGCCAAGGAGAUGCGUCUCAGGUAUGGCUUUUGCCAAGGACACCUGAACUCUCCUAAAAGGAAUACAAAUAUAGGCAUAAAUACUGAGUUGGAGGCUUCGGGGCACCAUGAGAAGCUUAAGAGGAAAGGACAUCCUAGUUCCUAGUCUCUGAGAUCUAGAGAUGCUGGCAUGGCCUGGAAGCCAGUGAAGGCUCCUGGCUUCCUUAUGUGGCAAUGUCAAUCACGGUAUACUUAACAGGCUGAAUUCACAGAAUUCUCAUGGCAGAAGGUGAUCAGAUGACCAGUGCCCAAACCCACCAUGGACUGUUCAAAUCUACCAAUGGUCAUAAACUCUCACGUAUUACUGAGAGUGCCAGCUUACUACUUACUCUCAGGACUUCAACCUGACCUUCACCAAAGGAGACGUAGGCCCCCAGUGACAGUGUGUCCUAGAAUGAGCCUGGCUCUUCCAGUAUUUCUUGUGUGAUAGUAGCAAGUUUCUGCCCUUCCUGAACCUUUAUUGUCCCCUUUUGUGAAGCUGAACACUGACCCACUAAGUUCUCCAGCUUACACAGAUAUACAUUAUGUAUAUCAGCUAACUAUACCAUCACCAACUCUAGCACCAGAAGUGCAGCACAGGCUAGCACUGAAAAACUAGUUUGUAAAUACUGUGGCUACAUUUGGGUUUAUCUUUUCAACAGAGAGCCUGCUUCCUAUCACUUGCAGGGCCAAAGGAAAGCAGGAUAUAAAACUUACCCCUCUCCUUAGUCUGUCUGAAGGUAGGUGCUUUUGAGUAAGCAAGUCAGCCCAAUGAUGAUGGGACCAAAUAUUGAAGCACACAGAGGAACCUUUAACUGCCAAAGGCACAGUCCUUGGAUCCCAUGUCCGACUUCCUCAUCAGAGUUAUGGGUGCUAGUCUCCUGCUUGUAUCUCUAAUUAUAGGAGUCAAAACAGCUCACAAGCCCCUUCCCCAGCUACUUCAGGCUUUAGUCAGGACUUGUAGCCUUCCCCUGCUGCUACAUAUUCCAGAUCAUCCCAGAGCUCAGUCCUCUUAAGUCUAAUUUUAUCCUGUUUAGGACAGCACUUGGGAUGCAGCCUGACCCAUUUGUAGCCCAUGGAAAAUCAUUACCUGGCAGUUUUUAAAGCUGUCAGGUCAAAUAAGCAAAACCUUAUGGGGUCUCCAGUCACAAAGGGAUACUUUAUACUUUCUCAAGUAGUUCCCCAAGUCAGGUAUAUGACUGGAUACCUGUCCACAUUUGCUAAAAUGUAUAUACCAACAGAGGAAGAUACAUUCUAAAUGUGUUAAUACACAAAGAGAACUGUAGCUCAUAGACAUUAAGAAAACUGCUUUAGGGUCCUGUGAGCAGGAUUGGAUGACCCAAGCCUGCCAGGGUUUCCUGAAAGAUGGUCCGUAGCCACUGUGAGCCCACAGCAAAUGCAAGCUUCCCAGGGCUUCCUGGAAGACACUGUUCUUAGCUAUUGCGAGCCCACAUCAGACCAUAAGCAUAUGCAGAAAACUACAGUAAGAGGACAGGAAGGUGACCGAAAUGGCUGGAGAACCAAUCAGGCCAUUGUUCCGCAGAGCCCUCAUAGGGCCAUUACAAAGGACAUUUUCCUAGAAACUGAUGCAUAUAUAUUGAAGCAAAGGCCUUACAGAGCCAGCCAAGCCAGCCAUGAGGAAGAACUGAGGGAGCCUGCAUACCCCAGCCCUCAGGUCCUACUGGUAAACAGCAAUGAUAAUGAAAGGGUAACACUGGCCAAAGAGAACAACCUGAAAGCUGACCAGUUGAACAGAGGACAGUCCAGAGAAUAACCAUAUGCCAACAGCGAGCUGAUUUAUAGUGACACUGAUAUGACAGGGCAGUGGGAGAAGGAUGGUGCUGUAUCAGACUGGAUGUCCAAGUGGAGGAAAAAGCUUAUCUUGACCUUGACUUCACACAGGACACAAAAAUCGAUUCCAGAUGGACUGCAGAUCUACAUGUGAAAGGUGAGCUUUUAAAGCUUUAGAACAAACCAGAAUAUCUUUAUGACCUUGGAGUAGUCAAAGUUUCUUAAGUAGGACAUAAACAGCACUAUCCAGAGAGGAAAUGUUUGAUUAACUGGACCAUGUUAAAAUUAAGACCUUCUGUUCAUCAAAAGACACCAAGAGGGGGCAGGACAGUCCGCAAGCAGGGCAGUAUUUACAAUACAUGUAUCUGUGUAUCUGACAAAUGACUCACACUUAAGAACACCCAGGACAGAGAGAGAUAAACUUGUGCCUGAAGAAGAACAGCUCUCAGUAUAGGAUAUAGAUGUCUUACAGAGAUCUAUAAAGAAAUGAGAAUAUAGAAUGGGGCUUAGCUCACUGCAAAUUACAGAUACCACUCUGAUGUUAUGAGAAGCCAGGAUGGCUAAAAAGGAAAUAGUGAAAAAUUCCAAGUGUGUGUGAGGAUGUGGAAAAAAGUGGAAUAUUCACAUGCUGCCAAGCAGGGGUAAAAGUUGGGGUGACUGCCAUGGGAAACAGCUGAUCCCGCAAUGACCCAGCACUUCUCGGCAUACAAUUAGCAGAGAUAGCCAUAACUUUUACCAGACACAUAUAUGUAGAAUAUUCUUAGUAACUCACUACCCAGAUCUGCCCAGUGGUCAUGGGUAGUAGAAUGAAAGAGCAAAUCACAGGCCACUCAGAACAGAGUGUCAACGAUCAAAAGGCUCCCGAGACCACUGUUUUCUUCAGCCUCACUGGGAGGGGUGGGUGGUUCUCAGACAUCAGAGUGAAUGAAAGUGCCAGAUACAUGUGUGUGCCGUGUGCGAUCUAGCCAUGUAGAUUUCAAACUCGGGCAAAGAAGGCUGUUGUGCUGGGAAGUGAGCUUAUGGUUUGUUCUUGGUGUGUCCAUGAUAGGAAAUGGGAUCUAGGGGACUCCCUGGGGAUUCUACUGCUUUCUUUGGAUGCUUGGCUCUCAGGUAGGGAGAAUGCAGUAGGUUUGUACUGGAAAUCUGUAUACGUUACUCUUUUGAUGUGUUCCCUUUCUACUAUAAGUAAGUUUGUAACCCAGUGCUCUAUAGAAGACAGUAUUUUCUGAGCUUUAGUAGAGACACAACACGGUACAAGCCCAGAGGGACUGGCCUUGCCGCCUGACUACCACCUUGUUUAGAAGGAUAUAUUACUCCAGUACCCCUGACCAGACCACCAGCAGUCCCUAUUGUUCAGUUUCCACUUCCAGCUCUAGGCAAAGCAAACAGAAGAUGUAUUUGAGGGGCUCUCUCUGUUUUUCAGAGUACCUUUCUUUUAUGGUAUCGGUGUAGUAUGUACUGUCACACUACUCUCCCUGGCUUCUCUGUCUCCCUCAGAACAAUUCUAGGAGGUUGCUGCAUCCCUUUUCAUGUGCUUAGAUGAAGGAAGUGAAACUAGGGAAGGUUAGGGGCACUGGGGGCUGCCUAUAGCUGGGCCAGUGCAGGCUGGGAGCCAGAUUGAGGGCAUUCGAUUCCCAGUCCCUCUCUUUCCCACUGAGCCACUGAGCCACUCCGCCUCGCUUUUAAUUUAAUUAGGAGAACAUUUAAUCCCCCGUGCAUUUCAGAGACGGGUUUGAGCCUGGCCGGGGCCUUGUGGGGCUCUGACAGGGAUCCUGUGACUCAUACAGCCUUGCACAGCCCUCCCGGGAGGGCUCUCAUGGGGCUUCUUUGGCACCUUAUGCAGACAGAGGUGGUCUGGAUAUUCACAGAAGACAGGACACUAGUCUGGAAAGACAAACUGGUCUCAUCUGUUCUUGACAAGUCCCCUUCCCUAUCCUCCUGGACACUGCCCCCAACAUGGCCCCUCCAUCUUCUCCCAUCAUCAUUUGCAGGUUGAGAAGCCAAGUAAGAGAAAUGGGUGCUCACUGAGGUACCACAGCAGGCCCUGAUUGUCUCCAGGCCCUGAAUAUCCCAGGCAAAGCAGUCCCAUCAGAAGAGCUAGCCCCCUAGUCCACUAAUGCUCCCCUUCCAGAAGGCAUAGGCUGGCCCCAGCCUCGCUGACAAACGCAGAAUUCAGGAGACAUUAGUAGUGAUGUGGAUGAAAGCCAGGCCACAGCGGGCCUCCCUGGAAAAGAGAAACUCGAACGUCUUGGCGUGAGAUUCUGCAGGGUCCAGGAGAAAGUUGAAGACAUGGAAAUUCUAAUUAACGCACGAGGGGCUGGUUUUGCUCAAAGAUUUUUGAAGCUGUCAUGUCAAAAGAGGCCCGGCAAGCACAUGCUCGCCCGGGAGGUGCUUGUGGGCACCUGGUGGGAUUCUUGCAAUGUCCUAGCCUGUAUUCUUACUUUCCCUCUGUCCUCUAGACUUUUCUCCACCCAUCUUGGUAAACUGGUGGCCCCUGAAUGUCAUCCCAGAGUGGGAUGGCAGGCUGGUUAGUAAAUAAAUGUUGAGGCUUCCAGUUGAAAAUGUCACAUCAAAAAAGUCUGAGGGCUCAGGAACCAACCUCUUGGAAGAAACCUUUAGGGAAACUACAUGGCAGAGCCAGGCUGAGCUAUAGGCUGCUGUGCUUGUGGUAGGCUUGGCAUUUGGGGAUGUUCAUCUUAGAUAUCCUUGUGCAACGGAUGGGGCAAUGGUUCCAGACAAGUUCUGAUUGAUUCAUCGGCUGGAGGGUGGGGUGAAGUGGCUGUAGGAGAAGCUCACUGAGGUCAAACCCAGACAUGCUUCUUUAGCGUUGAGCUAUAGGUGCUCAUGUCCUGGGCCCUGUGUAUGUCUCGGCAUCUAUGGGACGUACCUGGAGACCUUGCUUCAUUUCAGGCAAGGCUAAUGAUGUGCUUUCUGUGUCAGAGUAGGACUGGCAAUCUUAGGGUUCUUUCAUCCUGGAGUUUUGGGGAGUGCUGGAAAAAGAGUGGCCAUGAGCAGCCACAACACUCUGCUGCUUGCCUGACCCAGGCUAGAAUCAGGGAGCUUUGAUGAUAGCCUCAAGAUGAUGUGAGAGGCAUUCCUGGGGAAAGGGAGGACUGAGUAGACACUGGAAAGAUGUGCAAUUCUGAUGGCUACAGGACCGACAAGGACAUUCCAGCUGGUGGGAUGCAAAUGAGCCCUUGCCAGUUAAUCCCAGUAAGCAGAAUCCUGGAGACUUGCCCUAUUAGUUGUAAAGAUACUCCCCAUCUCUCGUGGCAGUGGGUCUCUAUUUCCUACGUGGCCCUUAGAAGUCUGGAGCAAGGCUUUAGAUAGAGGAUUCAUGUUGAGGGAGAUUGAGGAGUACAGGGCUCCCUUCCAGUGAUGUUAGAACCAGGAAGACAGCAUCUGACUGAAAUAUGUAUGCAACACCGAGGCCCAGAUAUCCAGAUCUGGACGAUGCCUGGGGCUUACUUGAGGAGCUGCUGGUACGUGCCUGUUGAGCUGGGGUCAGAGAAGCAAUAUUGUCUUCUCAGCAUCCUUCCCUAUUUACCUCUCUGGUUUUCAAUAGGCCUGCACCUUGGCCUCUCUGUCCCCAAACUAUCAGUGGCCAACCGGCUCUGAAAAGAGGAGCUUCACCCAGCCCCAGGGACCUUCCCAUAAUCAAGGCUACAGUGACCUCACCUCCCUAGGGCCCCUGGGCGGGGAGAGCUUGAGAUGGAAACAAAAUGUGUCUUUAUUUAUGCUUUUAAUUUGAAUUCUGGAACUGGCCCAGCAUGGUAAUACAUUUAACAUCAGUAAAAUGCUGAAGAAAAAUGGAUCUGUUUUUCUGCAACUGCUUCCCACCCACUCUGCUCCCUGCAAGACCCUAGUACACAUCUCUGUCCCUGGUAGACACGUACGAGGGUGUGUGCCUCUUUUUUCAGUGUAGGUUCAUAGGGCCAGCUGCCCACAGGAGCCAUGCUGCAUCAGUGAGCUGCUGGAGCCUAGCUUAAUUACAGACAUCAAUCAACAGGCUGACUAUGCAAGAGGCAAAGGAAUGCAGCCCUGGUGUGGGCACGUGGGCCCCUUACACAGUACCCAUGAUGGCCUAUCUGCUCCCCUAGAAUGGGGAGGGGUCUUGGUAAGGCCAGUAGUCCUGGGAGCACAUCAGGUUCUAGGACCCAGACACACACCAGGCCUAUGGUCAUGCUCUCUGCUAGGACUUCCACCAAGGAUGGCACUAGACUUCUACAGAUGUGGGUGUCUAAAUUCUUAGAUGCCUCAACCCUGACUCCAACUCUGCUUUGACCAGAUUAUAUUUUUUGCUUAAGCCUAUGAUCUCUCUAUCUCUACCUUAGGUCUUUUAACUCAGCCCCACCGUGGGCUCCUCCUUUCCUCCUUUCCCACCUUCCUAGAUUGGCUUGUUCCCAGCUGCUGCAUUUGGAAUAAGUUGGCCUAGAAAGAGUCUUGGUGUGUUCUUGGGUAGAGACUUGACUGGAUAAAGACUGUCCACCUACUCAGGUUCCAGGAGUGCUGGCCUGAGAAGAGCUGUGGUACCUGGAAAGAUGGUGACACACUAGGCCUAUAGAGACCAAGAAAGCAUCAUUCAUGUCUCUGAGGUUCUGUUACAGAUCUGUUAUCAGAUUUGGCCUAGUACUCUGAGCAGAGUCGUCUAAGUGGCUUAGGGCUGCUUCUAGAACAGAUAGACAGUAAAUGUCUGGCUCCAGGAGCUUUGAGUAUACUAAUACCAGCACAGGUGGCCUUUUGCCCCCAAAGGUGUGGUUAUAGGGCAUCUAUGGACUGAACUAUGGUCAUGUAUCACCAGUUUCCACCCUCCCUUGGGACCUCGUUGGUGCUCACAGUAGCUAGGAGAUGUGAGACACAUCUAUCAAGGUAGAUGGUUUGUUGAGAGCGCUACUCUCAUUGUAGCUGCUUCUGUGUCUGGAGGUUGCUCCAUGGCCAGAAGAAUAAAAUGGAAUGGAUACCAAUGAGAGGUGAGUGAUCAGGGGGAUAAGAAGGCUGACUGGUCUUUCUAGGCGUAGGCAAUUCCCUGAGGCCUGCUAUGGUUGCCAUGGUGCUACUUACUAUCCUUACUCCUAAGCAGGCACUGGCAUAUCCAACACCAGCCACAAGACACCAGUGUUUACACUUUGAGUUGUCUCAUGCCGUGGACUUGAUGGAGAGACUUAACCAUAGUGUAAGCUAUUUUUCUACCCUCUGACGCCAGCCUAUACCUGCCUAGCCUGUCUGGACUCCUGUUCCCACACCUCUGUUCCCGCUUGCUAAUGCAGCCAGCCUGUAAGGCUAUCUUAGGAGGGAGAGUGACCCCUGCUUCUCAAUAACAUUCUCGCUCUCUCUAAACCCAUGAACCCUCUCUACAUCUUACAAACCACGAGGCACUGCUAACCUCGUUUAAGUUUGGGUGGUCUGGGAAGAUAGUGGGCAUGCCUUGUUUGAUCAUAAUCAUUCCUCUGACAAGCCUGCCUUCCCCCAGGGUGGCCUCAACUUGGCUAUCUGGUUACUUAAGAAACCCCCAGCACUGUGAGUCCAAGUUUCUUCAGUCAUUGUAAAGUCAAGCCUGAAAUCUAGGCAUAGGCCAGAAGCGUUAUGACUACACAAGGUUAAGGACAUGAAUUUUAGUAGAAAGAGUGGAAGAGUCUCAGAAUGCGAAUCUCAGGAAAACUAAGAGCAUGGCAUUAACAUCCUGGCACAGAAACACUUUUCUAGAGGAGUGCCCCGUGGGGCAGUGGUCAGAAGCAGUCUGAGUGACCUGCCUCCACCACAUCGCUGCCUCUCCUGAGUUUUGGUAGGAACAUUUGAGUCACAUGUUGCAGAGAAAUCAUGGCAUGGCUGGGUACUAGGGUUUGUCCUGGUGAUGCCUUGAUGGGGGCCCAAAUGGGGGGAGAGGAUGGGCAUGUGUCCCAGGCCAGCUGUGCCUGGGGGAAGGCCAACUGGAAGGCGUAGAAAAUCAGCCAUUUCCUCCACCUGAAGGAGCCCCUGAGGACAGUAGUGGCAACUAGCAUCUGCCCCAUGGCUUUGGCCAAAAUCCCACAGGGAAAUGCUAAAAAAUAAUGUUAACUCUCUUGAAGGAGUGGUGGAGGGGUAGAGGGGAGGAAAACAACAACAACAACAACAACAACAAAACCAACCCAAGUUUCUCAGACGCUCAAAGCAUGCAAACAAGUGGAAAAUGAUCAGUCUGGUUUUCCAUAAGUCAAAACAAGAGGAUCAUGUUUCCAGAUUCAGUGGGAAAGCCCCUGCCCUUCUCUCCUGCCUGAGCCCUGAGGCCAGCCCCAGCAGCCAGUGUCCCCAGGUUCAUAAGGAUAGGCAGUGAGUUGUGGGUACUGGGUAAAUAGACUGCAUCCCAGCAAGAGGAUAAGCUUUGCCCUAUGCUAGGGCAGUUCCCUUGAGCCCCAGCCUUUGAGGGCAAAUGGACACUCACUGUGACACAUGGGUGAUGGGGGUCAGCAGUGUCUCCCCUUCCAGGUCCAGGUCCUCUGCAAAGCUGUUUGUUCUCAAGAAAUGGGGUGUGCUUACUUCCAGCAGUGUAGGGCUCUUCCUUACUGUGAAGAAGGUAUGGGGACAGCUCAUUAGGCUUCAAUAGAAACUUGAUCAUGAAGGGGAUCCAGAACUGGACAGAACUAGACUCAAAUGUCCACCCCAACCUGCUAUUGCUAUGGGAUAAACCUGUAAGCUCUCAAGAUCAGGUGAAGAGUGAGGACAGAGCUUGGAAGUUUUAGCCUUACCCAUCAGGUUGGUUUACACUGAGUGGAAUAAGUGAGUGGGCAUUCACUUAUUCCAUUCACUUAUGCCCAUUCACUUAUUGAUUGGUCCCCAGGUACCUGGGGACUUAGCCUCCCAGGGUAAACCAUAGAGGCUGGUACAUUCUCCCCAGUGUUGUAGCUGCCCUGGGGCUGAGUUCCAGGACUGAGUAAGGUUCUGCCCUAUGUAUGUUAAGUUCUAGGCCUCUCACCAGCUUCACAUAAAACAUUUGUGCCAAGAACAAAUGAAAGCACUGAUCUCCACUACUGUGCUAUUCACACACAUACACUGACAGAUCAGUGGACCAUGCAACAAAAGGUGCUAGUACCUCUGCUUAUCAGGAAUCACAAGCUGAAUUCCUUGUUCUGGUCAUGAUGCCUUAUUAACCGGGUUCUCUCUGAGGGAGGCCUCCAGACUGUCCCAAUAGCUGACUUCCAUAGCUCAGGGCACUGAUCCAGAUUAGUCUUCACAGCAUUUCCAGCUUACUAGUGUUUGCUCUCAACUCACUUCUCCUUUAAAGUAUCUAAUAUAGUAUUAAGUACUUCUGAUGAGUGGAAUAUUGAAAAAUUCACAGUGGUCCUCAAUUAUAGGAAUCAUCUGCUGCCCGGGACCCUGGCUUUUCUGGUAGCACAAAUGUGAGGUCAUAAACUUGGGCAGACUUCUGUUCUUGUCAGUUUUUCUUACUCUGCGACAUUCUUUUCUUUAGGUAUGCAGCUAUGCAUCUAAUGAUCAUUUUAGCAGCACAUGAGCCCAUAGCUUAGGUCUACCACAAUUAACUUUACUCAUCCCAUAUUUUAUGGAUGUUCAGUCUUGUAGUUUUAUGACAACCAGACAGUGAUGUAAUAUCCAUCUUCGUUGUUAAAAGUUGUUGAUAUACUGGGCAGGUGAGAUAGCAUGACUUUGGUAAUAUUAAUAAGUGUUUUUGGAUUGUUCUUCUGUUAAGUUGUAGCCAACUAUUCCUCCCCUUCAAUUUUGCUUGGCCUUUUAAGCAUGGAUAAACACUGAGGCUUUCUCAUUUUCAAAAUUGUUAUUAGUUCUUUGAGACUAUGAUCAACGAACUUUGAUCCUCAACCACCUUCUAACUUCUCAAUUUUGUAUCCUCUUGUUUUAAAAUUCAAUAAUUCAUCAACUUCAGUUUGUGCUCUCCAUGUAAUUCUGGGUGUGGGGGCUGUAAUACUGCAGUAUGAAUGACCCACCAGGAGUUAGAAUGUUAAGGAAAAACUCUCCUUUCCCAGGAGCCAUUAAUUGUCCAUAGCUUUUCAAGAACCUCUUGGGGUUCGUGAAAUUCUUGUACUCAAUGAUACAGUGUUGACUGGCUUGAUCUUGUGUAGGCAAUCAUGCAACUGUCCUGUCAUGCCCAGAAGUUAGUUUGUUCCAGUCGUCGCCUAUCUCUGGCUCUUACAGUCCUCCCAUCCCCUUUUAUAAUGGUCCUGGGCCUGUGAGAGGGGGAUGGUUUUCUCAUUUUCAUAUUCACUGACUGCUUCUGGCUUGUUUGGGAUUCUUCUUUCAGAAUUGCCCGUUAAUAACCUUUGCUUGGCAUUUCAAAGGAACUUUUAAUUCAUUAGAGAUAAUAACCUUGUGUUACAUGAAGCAUAAAUAACUUUCUUGGUCUAUGUUUGUCUUUUUAACACUCCGUUGUUUUAUCAUAAAGACUGUCUUGUUUUUUUUACAGUGAUGCAUUUACUUUAUGGAAUGGGUUUCCCACAACUACUACAGCAGUCUUUUACAUUUAUUUCCAAUAUAAACAUACAAAUGUGGGCAUACAUCUGUAUGUGUAUAUAAAUUUUAACACAUUUAGCAUUUAUGUGUAAUGCAAAGGAUGUUUAGAAGUCAUACAAUGGAAAUACAAGAACACUAUAUAUAGUCUUUUAAAAAUCUGAAAUAGAACAUAAAACUAAAAAAAAAGUUAAGAAAACUUCAAAAUCUCUAGGACUUUAGAUUUGAAAGAGAAUUGAGAUGCAACACCGAAAACUUAAUCCAAGUGGGGGAGGGGACUCAAUUUUAUUAUAAUUAGAAACAAAUGAGUUAUUCCUGCAACAAGUGCAUUUUUCUAAGUAGCAACAGAAGCAAGGAGGAACAGGCUCACUGACUGUUAAAAUGCUGUGCUUUGUGAAGGCAAUGAGACAAGUCACAGAUUUACUGCAUAUCACUUAAUGGAAUCAAGGGCCUUGUACCCAGAGUAUAUAAAGAAGAAUGAUCAUAAUUUGACAACAGUGAAGCAAACAACCCAUCUUAAAAAGUGGAUUACAAAUAAGCAUGGGAAAUUGUGCUCAGCCACAGUCUAUGGUCUUUAUGGAAAUACAAUAUUAAAGCUUCAGUGAGAUAACCCUGAAAAUUAUCAUGAAGAUGGAUAAAGCAUUAAAUUAAAACCUUGUAACAGCCAGCACUUCAAGGAGGCAGAAUGACUGCAACCCUCAUGUGCCCGAGGUGGGAAUGCAAAGUGGCCCAACUGCUCUGAAGAACAAACUUCAUAGCCUUAUAAACACACAUAUGAUUUAUGACUCAGUGUAUGGGAUAUUUAAGUUCACAUAAAUCUGCACACAAAAAUAUACAGCAAUUUUACCUCUAGUUGCACCAAACAAGUUAUAACCAAGAUGGCAACAGUGAAAUGAAUAAAGAAAUCGUGGUGUGUCUAUCUGUCCCACCUAUGCAGUGGAAUAAUGUCCAGCAAUCAACUAGAAUAUUGGAGGAUCCUGGGACAGAUAAUAGACUAUGGUGAGUAGACUGUGUGUUGUGAAUACAUGAUAGAGCACUGAAGAGAGAAGGUGGGGUCUGGGGGAGGAGGAACUUGCUAACGUUGCUUUAAAAAAUAAUGUUUGGACUAAAGAAAACCUAGAGAAAAAAUACUGACAUAAACACAAUAUUCUUGUAGAUAAUUUUGUUUCACACAGGGGUACUGUAUAUCAAGGAUUAUACAAACCAGUAUCUAUACUAGAAAAUGGGAGCUGAGGACAAAGUAAGGAUAAUCAGAAACAGUAUAAACUCGAGGUAAGCUGCAUAAAGAUACAAACCCUGAAACAUGGAUGUAUAUAGACUUUCAUUAUAGACAUACAUAUUUCCUAGUUCUACCUGCAGAAAGGAUAUGUUAUCAGUGACCCUUUUGUGGCAAAGAACACACUCUGUGCCCAGGUCAUAUAUAACACUGUUAGUCUGCCAAUAAAAGCGAAUAUGGCUCCUUGGAAGAAUGGCCGCUUCUGGGGCUAGCACAGGGAAACUACACGAUGAACCUAAAAGGAACUAAAUGGAAAGCAUGUCUAAAGGGCUCCUGUACAAGUGGCUAAAGUAGAAAAAGGUUAGCCACAAAACAAUAAUCCUCAGCUAUACCCCAGAAACACAGUUGCCAAGUCCGUCUGUAUUUCUAAAUAACUGAAAGUGAGAUGAAAAAAGUGAUCUCUGUAAGUGUAGAAGGAACGAGUUAACCAGAAGUGCACCGUAGAAAUGCUUGAAAGAUCCGUGGAUGAAGGCUAGAAUAGAAUUAGUAGGUGAAAUCUUUUUUUUUUGUAAUUAUUCCUUCAUUCUCUUUAUUGAUCCAUGUUGAACAUAUACAAUAAACUAAAAAGCCACUUUGUUCAUUUAAUUAUCAUAUAUGAUUGUAUUGUCCAUUUUACAGUUAUGUUGUUUUCCAGUGACAUUGAUUGAAUCCCGGGCUUUGUUCAUGCUAGACAAGCAUUCUGCCACUACACUACAUCCUUAGUCCCAAAAUAAAUUUUAAUUGCUUUAGUGAUUUUAACACAUUCACAGAGUCUCUAAUACUCUUUGCAAGAGAUAGAAUGAAAUUCCUCAUUCUCCGAAUGUUGGCCAGACCUGGUGACUUGCUUUUAAUAACUAGGUCUAAUAAAGGUGAAAUAGUGGGUCAAUUACAGUGAGCUAUUUAAUCAUGUAAAGUUGACACCAUGGUGAUGGAAGAAAAUGAGAAAAGCACCUUGCCUUAAUGACAUUUACGACACCUGUAACCCUAUUCUAAUUUUGAGAGAAUGUUAUACAGACCCAGAGUAGCACUGACAUUUGAUAAGUAUUUAAAAGCAUCAACUCCAGUGACAGUACUGACAGGACACCAAGGUCCUGCUGAAUGAGCGUGAUGGUAGAUAUUGGACAGGCUCUUGGAGCAUCAAACUGGGAGAAAGACUAAAGUGUAGCUCUACAGCAUUGUAUUAAAUUAAACUUGUUUUAGUUUUUAAUCAAAGUAACAUGGUUAUGUGAGGUACUUCGUGAAAGGUACAUUGCAAGACUAUUUUUUCUUUUACAAGAAUAUGUAAUAUAUGCAAAUAAAACACACAAAUUAAAAGGGAAAAGAAGCAGAAUAGUAGAAAAGAAUCUCUAGUGUAUAAAGAUAGAUUAAAAACUAUUAAGAAAAGCACAAAACUUUAAACAGAGACACCGACAAACAGAAAACUGCCUUUAUUGCAUUGACAAAACACUCAAAAAAUUCUGAAAAAUCCUAAAUUUUAAUUAAAAUCCUAAUGUUUGUGGUGAAUACUCUGACAAGUGGAUUCUGAGAUGUAUUUGGAAGUGUAAAAGACCAGGGAAAAGUAAUAUUCUUUAAGAACAGGGUGGCUAAUAGGCUUAUCAAAAACAAGUACUUCAACAUAGUAGUCAUUAAUACAAUGUAGAACUGAUUCAAGGAGAGACUUAACUGGCUAGUGGGAUAGAAAUGGAUGUCAGAAAAUAGCCUACCCAUGGACACUUGCAAUGUAUUAAAGGCUUACUUAUCAUGAGAUGGCCUUUUAAAUGACACAUUCAAGGACAAGGAAAUUCACAUGGGGAAAACACUGAACUGGGCCCUUAAUUUUCUCACAGCGUACAUUGAAAACACAUUCUUGGUGUUUCAGGGCUUAUGACAAGUAGAACUAGAAGGACCAUAGGCCUGGAUAUAGAAGAAUAUCUACAUUGCUUUGGGGUAGAAUAACUAAGAAGCAAUAAUCAAAAAGAAAAAUAGCAAUUUAGCCACAUUCAGAGUCAAAACCUAGAUAUCUAAAUACAUUUUAAAUAGUAAAAAGGGAUUCAAAAAUGAUAAAACAUAUAAAAAGUUAGGUAAAUCAGUAAGAACAAAUAGAUAAGUCUGGUGGCGCAGGUCUGUAAUCGUAGCUACCUAGGAAGCUGAGGAAGAAGAAAUAUUAUGUUCAGGACCUUGCUGGGACAACAGUGAGUCAAGAUAACUCUCAAAGAGCAAAAUGAGGGCUAGAGAUGGCUCAGUGGUAGUGUCUUCCCACUAGGUAUAAGACCUUAGGUUUAAUUCUCUAGUACUGAAAAAAAUGACCUAACCGAAAAAUAAGCAAGACACCCUACACCCACCCCCUUCAAAAUGAGACAAGAAUUCAAAAGCGUGAUGAGCUUAUGGAAAGGUGUUGUGCCUGACUAGCAAUCAGGGAAAUAUAAAUAAACUCAGGAGCUCAUGGCCCAAGGGGCCAGCAGCAGACUUCCAGCAGGAAACUAUACAGACAUUACUUAGUCAUAGCUGGAAGAAGGGCUCAAGUAAAGGGCUCUGUGCCUGUGACAUCCUCAGAGAGACCAGGGAAAGACCUGUAAACCUUGAGGAAUGUGUGCACAUGAAGAGGCCCACAGGUCUGGGACGUGGUGGGAGUAUGUUACUGUUCCCAUUCUAGAGACUCAGGGCUGAGAUUCAAGUGUACUGGGUUAUAUUAUACACUUGUCAAGUCACAGCUACAACUUCAUCCAGGAUUCAAAUGUUCUUUUGGAAAAAAAAAGAAAAAGAACACAAAUACAUAUUUCAGUACUUGCAUCACUUGUAUACACAAGAAAGGAGAAGCAAAGAGGUGACUGGAAGAGGGGGCUGUGUUCUACACACCCAGAAUGACAAGUGCCAUCUCCAAGCCUGAGGGCCCAGGGUGAGCCCCUCAACUCCUGAGAAAGGCUCUGUCCUGGUAUUAGGAAAUUAAAAUGUGCACAUCAGUUGGCUGUCCACAGCGGGCGGGGCCUGCACCUGCCAGAGAGGAAUGUGGACUCUUUGGUUUAAUCCUGGGAAGGGUUCAUGGGGCCCCUGCAGUGAGGGUCAGAGAGGGGCUCAGCACAGUUGUUUUUCCAAGUCAAAAGGAGAGACUGUUGUCUGCUAGGCAUGUUUCAGAGACUUUAGGGGUGCUUCUCUUUCAUGGGAGAAACACUAUUCAGGACUGCCACCCACUUUAUAUUUGGAUCUGUACUCACAGCCAGGUCAGACAUCUCAAAGAUUCUGAAAGGGAGUUGAGAGGGCAGGGUUUCAACUUAAACACACUGGUGGUGCUCCUCUUAGGCAAGAGCUUGGGGCAAGUAUUGUGUUCUAAGAAGCCCCAUUGGGCACUUCAUCUCUGAAGAGCCCAGAGUUUGUCUUUCAUAAAGAUAUAAAAAGAUAGCCCAACUGCAGAACAAACUGAGACCAUGGUGAAUGUGACAAGGGUCAUAUGACCACUUAGACCCUGUGUAGAGGAUACUAGAGCAAUGUCAGGUGUUCUCUUCUGAACCAACCAAUGUCAGUGUACCUGGUCCUGGAGGAAAAGUACUGUUUCCUAGUGACAGUGAAGUCACAUUUUCCUAAAACGAUUCUAGUUUUUGAUGCUUUCAUUCCUUGGCUGCUUCUGUCUUGUCAGAGCCAGAAUCUGGACCUAAGUGUGCAGGGCAGAACAAAACAAUUUUGUUUUCUAGGAAAAUGGGAGGUCUGGAAUGGCGAAUGUAGCCUCAGGCGUGGCAACUGCCCCAGCUGGGACUACCCACUGCCAAGUUUCACCCUCUCUCAAGAGAACCAAAACCAGACUGUACGCAGCAUCUUCCUUCUCAGCCAAAGGGCCUACUCGUUAGGGUGAUUUGCAUUGUACUUAAGCAUUGAAAAAAAAAAAAGACUGGAAGGAAAUAGAUCAAAAUGUGGUAUGUUUGCCUGUGGAUUAAAGGACUUCAAAUGAUUUUCAUUUCCUUCCUUAUAGUAUAUGUAUUUUCUAUUUGAAUGAAUGAUACAUUUAGAAGUCAGAAAAACAGUUCAUACAAGCCUCCUGUAUUUGCCUUGCCCUCCUCAUCCUGGGGUUAGCACAAUGCAUCUAAGUGUCCUUACUCAGCCACCUCCUCCAGUCUGUCCUUAAGAUGCCCAAGAGACCCAAUGACACAGAGCUCCUACUUCCCAAGCUCUCCAAGACCUUCCCUUUCCUAGCUCCAUUACUCCUGCAUUGAGCUCCCAGACUUUCCCUCUGCAUACCCGAUCAUCUGAGCAUUCCAAGUCCAACUCUCUGCAAGGCCCCAGGCCACCCUGUUGCCCACUGCCCUCUGCUGAGACUUGCUGGUGUCAGUAACUUCACCCAGCUGCUCACCCCUGCCCUCCUCCUCCUCCUAACUGAUUAUAAUCCUGCCUGAUCUCCCAGAUGUAACCUAAACCACCUUCCUAUGUAAGCUCCCCAAGGCUCUAGAGAUUGCCCCUUCAAUUGCUAUGGGGCUUAUGUGUGCCUGGCCCUCAGCACAGGAACCUUGCUUUCUUCCUCUCCCAUGUCACCUCCGGUGCCUGGCACAGGCAAGUCCCCUGAGCCAGCUCACUCCGAUGGAAUAAACAAGCUGCCUAUGUCCUCCCCUAGCAGAGGCCCUUUCCCUGUCCCCCCUCAAUCAAUUUCCCCGUCUUGGUGGAUUUGCCAAAGCCCUGUGGAUCCUGCACCAUGAAGGAAAAAAAACCCUCCCUAGGGCAUCUGGACAGCUGCAGCCAGGUCCUGCGUGACAUUGCUGAGCUGCAGCCCCACAGCCUGUGCCAGCUGCCCAUGCCCUGUUCACAGACCCUGAGCCAGACCAGACCCAACACCACCUGUGUCUUCACUCAGAGGGGAGAAGUAAGAGACAAGGACAGAAAGUGUAAAAGCUAUUCCCACAACAGCUGCCAGGAACAAGGCGAGAGUGCAGUGUAAAUGUAUAUUCACAGCUGGUACCCAGUUCCGCUUAGGAAAAUACCUUGCUUGAGUGGACACCUGUUGUUUUUGCGAACUCUGCAACCAGGCCUGGCUUCUGGAAAUAGUUCACCGAAUCUUCCUUAAAGGGGUCCUCAUUUCCUACUCCCCAGUGUGUAAGAUUUAGGAAUUCAUUGGCUAUUUCCAAAGGGGGCUUUGUGGCUGGAUCACAACUUCAGAAACAUAGUUGCACUUAUAAAGAUGGCUUGUACUUUGGUUGGGAGCAUUGAGAGCCUAGCCUGAGCCUGUGGCAGAAAUCAUUUGGAAAAAGUCUGGCAUCUUUCUUCUGGUACAUGUAAAAUAGUGGACAUCUUACAUUUAUUGGAAAGUGAGUGUUUAAGGACACAGAUGAAUAUAGCUAUGCAUGUAUCUAUAGGCAGAGAGAGGGAAAGAGCACAAAAAGGACAGGGUAGAAGGAGGAGAGAAAGCAUCACCAGACUAGCUCUAGCUGUGUCUGGAACAGCCAGGUUCAGAUUCAUAAACUAGAAAAAUGUCUCAUUGUCCUUAUCUAGAUUGAAAUGGGCUCUGCAGUCUGUUACCAAGAGCACUUAGGAAUAUAAAAAGCUAGGGGUAAGAUAUGAACCUGAGGAGAUAGGUCUGGGGGUAAGUCUAGGUUGCAAAACACAGCAAACAAAACAACAACAAACACCCUAAGACAGUCUUGUUAAGCUUUGCAGAGUAGAAGACAGGAAAGAAGAAGGUUAGCUAGAUAAAUCUGGCCCGAGGCCCCAGCUUCAGCUCUACAUGGGCCAGGAAACUCUGGGAAAGGUGCUUCGUACAGCUGUCCACUGACUUUCUACUGUUAUAAUGCAAACUUCUCUUUAGAGAGCUUCUCUCUCUACCCUGUGUUUGCAGCACUUUAUGGAACAUGCUGUAUUUUGUGUUCAAGCAAAGACUGAGGAUACAUUUAACUUGAGAUGGACAGUGACAUGACAGUUGAAGAUGACCUAUGGAAUCCCAAGAAAUCCUAGGAACAAUGCUAGGCUUUGUGCAACUACAGAGUUCAUAGUGCUGGAGACUUUUCACUGAAUGCCUUUUCUCAUAAUGGAGAUAACAGGCCUAACACAUAAAUCUCAGAGUAAAUGGAAAUGAUUCUGUGGGCCCAAGGGUGGGGUCUGAAUGGUAAGGUGCUAAAGAGGACAGGCAAUGACAGAGCUAGCCCUAAGCAAGCCCAGGAAGCAGAGCAUGAGUAGCACAGCUGCCUGCAGAACAAAACUAGUCUACCCAGCUUUCCAUGCUGCAAGAAGUCACUGUCCAGGUCUCCCAAGACACAUUUGGAAGGGAAGGUUCCAGGCAGCAAGAGCGGCCCCAGGAAACUUUAAUAUACAAUGGAAUCUGGGUUAAGCACUAUCUUCUCCAAAAGUUGAGCUCACAGGACAUUCCCCAGAAACCUCUGGAGAGGUGGGGAGGAAAGUUUCUGGAGGUCUUUGGACGAAGAAAACAAAAAAGUGGCCUUGAUUUUUCAAGGAGAAAUUACACAGGAAGAAAAAAAUGUUUUUAAUCUAAUUAAGAGCGAUCUUUUCACCUUCAUCACAACAUCACGGAAAUGUGCCAGUUCUUAACUUCACACAAUAAUCAAAGCAAUUAAGGAGAAGCCUUGGAAACUGGUGCAGAUGUUCUCAGAAUGUUUAAUGGGGAAAUGAGUUGCAGGCCUCAUUCUCAGCAUCCGGCUCCAGGCCCUGGCUACCAAAUCCAGACAUCUGCUGGGGCCCCACUCCCAGGCCUGGAGGGUGUGUGCUUGAGAAACACAGGUCUCUUCCCAGGCUGCCUCUAGCGAGGCCAGAUCUGGGGCCCCAGAGGCUCCCCAUGGUUCCUCAAGCCAGAGCCUGGACAUAGUCAGAAUCACCCCAGAGCUAGGGAGAAGCUUAAUGUCAAAAUUAUGUUAACAACUGAUGUCAAAAGUAAUCAACUCAAACUGGCUCCCUCACCCCUGCUGGCUGCAGGAGGACUAUGAGUAGAGGAAGGGGGGGCAAAGAGCCCCUGGCAGGGGCUGGGAGAGACUCUCUUCUUUGACCUCCUCAGCAUGAAGAUCACAUAAAGGUGUGGCAGCAUUGGUGCAGUCUGACUCUGUGUGCUUUGGUUCAAUGUUGCCAAGCUAGACCCGAGAAGCAAAUUAGUCCAUCCUUGAGUAAUUUUCAAAAAUCAGAAACCAUGUAGAAAGGAGGGUGCUGCUCACUUAGUAACUAGCCUGUUUUAGAGAGCAGAAGGGCAUAUGACUAAAGUUAAAUGGCUUGAAAGUGAAGACCUUGAUGUAUGGUUCAGGCAGCUCAUUAAACCACACUGGAAGCCCUGCUGUAUGGUACACACAAAGAACAUGGAAGAAAAGAAAACAUCCCUGGUUUUGAGGACACAUAGGCAGUAUGGGUCCUCACACAUGUACGACAUUUACCAUUCAUACUGUCUUCAUACCAAAGGCUUCUUAAUAAAAGAAAUACCAGAUAUGACUCCAGGGCUUUGUUUAAUGCAGGGUAGGCCAAAGGCAAUGGAAAGAAAUCUCUCAAAGUAAGCCUUCAGUGGAGUCAAUACUCCAGGUCCACAUUACUGGUAGAUCUUUAAGGAGUGUUGUAAGCUGAAUUCCAGCUGUUCACUAAAUAGACCACUUUCUUGGGAAGUAGCUGGCACAAGUUUCCUGUUAUUCUCUGUCCAUAAAUCUAGCCCCAAAAAAGUGAUAGGAAGGGGUUAAAGCCUUUAAGAAUGAAAGUAGCAUGAUGCACUUUUUAUCGAAAGAAUUUUUGGGAUUGCUAUGUAUAGGAUGUAGCAAAGGAAAGCCAGGGAGACUUGGGAGGCCAGUGAAGAGUGAAAGGGACAUCCAAACAAACAGACAAACAGACAAACCCCUAAACAAACAUGGUGGCAUUAGCAGGGGAAGAAGCUAUAGAAACCAAGAGUGGGAAAAGUCUAUAUGUGAAAAAGCAUAAUUUUAAAGAUUUGCAGGAAUGUUUGGAGAAUAACAACAUUCUACUCCCCCACCCCAACCCCUGGACUUCAAAUCUUCUCACUUACUCAAAAAAUCAGAACAAGCAAUUCAACAACAGUAAGAGCAAAAUAAAACCAUAUAUGAUCUAUUCCUUCAACAGUAGGCCAAAUACAUAGAAAUUACCCAUGAGAGGAGAGUCUGCCCACCAUUGUAUACCUGUGAGUGCAAAAGAAGAGGCCUACGAUGCUCUGUCAAAAGAGUGAGGAUGCUAAGUAGUGUCAACAAAAAUAAGGUUCCCCUCUCCACAGAAAUAUUUUUAUAGGAACUCAGAAUUAAUGUCAGUGAUUAAUUCUGGGAAGCAGUCAGUAAUUCACAGCAACCAAGUGAAUAUCACAAAAAGAAAUGGGCAAUUAAAAAGUGUUAGGGGCCCAGCAAGAUGAUUCAGUGGAUAAAGAUUCUUGUUGCCAAGACUAACAACUUUAGUUCAACCACUGGGAAAAAAACCCAUUUAGUAGAGGAAAGAACAAGUUUGUGCAAAAAUUACAGAAACUUGGGACAUUUUCACUUGUCCUUAAAUACUCAUCUUCCCUCUACUAAGCCUGGUUUGGUGGCACUGUUGCAGAUGAUAGGUAGUAUGGACCCUGGUCCUUGUUUCUGAAGUGUGCAGUACAGACCUUGUCUAAAAUAAUUAUUUAUGUUUUACAAUAAUUUUUUUUGUUUUAUAUUGUUUGUGGGUAGCCUGAAAGACUGACUUAAGGUGUUUUCAUUUUCCCCCCAAAUAGUAAUUGCGAAUUUUCUCAGUGUGAAAAAUAGUGGACAGUACUUGCAAACGCUGUAAGACCUUCAGAGCAGUUAUAAUGACUUGAGCAAAGAUCAGUGGUUGAAGCACACAGCGGCCCACUGAAAAGCCUCAGAAGGCAAUCUAGAGAGAGCUUCCUUGGAAUUUUAGAGCAUUUAAAAUAAUAGUAUGUGCUAAUAACUUACAAAACAUGCACAGAGCUAGAUGCUAAGAAGAGCCCUGACAAUACUACAAACCAGUAUCUAUGAGAGAUUUCUAUACGUAAGUUACCUCAAGCUACAAGUGAAAGCAAAGACAGGAUUGUUAAUAGUCUGUCCAAAUAUUGAAGGAAAAUUCCAGUUUAGUUAAUUUACAAAAGCUGGACGAAUCCUGCCCUCCUUUUAUACCUCGCUGUCAUAAUGAACUGAACAUAAAUGAAAGGAACAGAACUUCAAAGACCACACAUAACUUCACAAAAGAAAAAUAGCUUGGGAAUAAAUAAAAAAAAAGCUUAAAACCACUUAAGUAGCAUUAAAAAAUCUGGAGGCAGAAAAGAAUCUAAUGUCCACAGUUAUAAUAUAAAUAAUUGAAAAUAUAGAGCUUUAAACAAAGAAAAUAUGGACUAUACAGAGAAACAAUAACAAAGUUCCUUCCCACAGAAAGCCGAAAGAAGUAUAGACACACUGUACUUAACUUGACAAAAAAAUAAUUUUUAAUUAGGCUAGGAAUGUUUCAGCUGGAAAAGGGUCUUGAUACUUAAGCCCUGUGACCUAAGUUUGAGCUCCGAUCCCAUAUAAAGGUAUAAGGAAAGAACUACAUAAAAUCAGCCCCUAACCUAGAAAUGGGCACCAUGGCAUGUACAGUAAUCUCAUUGAUAAUAAAAUAAAAUUAGUCUAAGUUAUGCUGAAAGAUAAAAAGAAAAUGAUAAAGAACUAAAGAAAACAAAGAAUAUGAAGAAUGAGAUAAAAUUAGAAAAUGGAAUUAAACAAAUUCUAGAACUGAAAAGUAUUAACAAAUGAAAAAAUCCAUUAGAGGGUUUCAUCAGCAGAUCUGAAUGAUAUAAGAAUCAGUGGACUUAAGGAUCAAGUCUGAGCACCAGGGGGGGAAAAUGAGCAUUUCAAGAAUUCUAUGGUAAACUACCAAGUAUGCUAAUAUCUUUGUUGGAAAUCCCAAAAAGUAGGUGAAAGAAGGAGCAGGAAGAAGAAUUGACCUAGUGGCUAUGCCUCCCCAAAUUUGAUUAAAGACAAAAAUUACUAUGUACAGGAACAUAAGCAAAAGGACCCAGAAAUGAUAACUGAGUCACAGAAAAAUACACUAUCAAUUAUUGAAAGGCAGAACAGACGUUAAAAAGAAAAAAAAAGACUUUGCUUGUCAUGUAGUGAUUCUCAAUACAAUUAAUGUGUUUGUUAUCAGCAAGUAUAGAGUCGACUGAGAAUGGAAUAGCAUUUUUAAGUACUGAGAGGAAAAAAGUCUGUCAACCAACAAUUUUAUAUACAGCAAAAUUAUUCAAACAUGGAGAAAUAAUGAGCUUAAGAGCUUCUCAAAUGAAUAAAAGCUGGGAAGCUCAUACUAUAUUGGCUCUACAAAAACUAUUAGAGAAAGUAAUACAGUUUCAAAUAAGAAAGGACUAGAAAGUAACUGGAAACCACAUAGAGAUGCCCAGACCUUGAGGACCAGGUAGCUAUGUAAAACAUAAAAGCCAGUAUUAUAUAUAAUAUCUAAGUUUUUAAUGUUUAUUAUUUUUGUGAUAAAAGAACAUGAUAUAUACAUCUGGCAUAUAUAUCAUAUGUCUUUGGAUAUAUUCAUGCAAUAGAUAUAAAAUUUGAAACCAUGUAGAAUUGAAGGAGAUAGAGCUGUAUAGGAUCUUGAAUUAAUUUGUAAAAGUUGGAAGAAUCCUGCCCUCCUUUUUACCUGCUAUAAUGAACUAAACCUUAAUGAACCAAAUCUAAAUGAAAGGAACAAUAUUGAAACUAUGUUGGCAUAAACUCAAUCUAGAAUUUUGUAAAGUUAAGUGUAAUUAAUUCUCAUAAAAAUUAUUCAGAAAACAUCUGGAAAAGUAUAAAUCUCAACAUGUAAACAGCUUAGAAAUUACAGUAUCUCAACAAGUAAAAUGGUGAGUUGACUGAAAAGUCGAUUCCAUUUCUGUAUCAGAAAUGAAAAGAGUAAAACAAUGCCUUCAAAAUGAGGGGGGGGGGAGAGGUGAUGGGAGAUUGAAGGAGAGAGACAGGUAGACAUGGAGAAUCAGAACAUAUUACAGUAGACAUUGCUGGAAUCAGCUUGGCUAGAAAAACCUAAUUUGUGAUUUAACUGCUGGAGUUUAGAUGUAGAUAGAUGUAAGAACUAAAAAGUCAAAGGCACUAAGUUUUGGGAAGAGCCUUAACGUUUUCAUGAAGUACUUCAUCCAGGAGUUUGAUCAGAUUCUCAAUGCGAGUAGUAGAGAAAAAUUCCCUUGAAACUUUCAAUAUUGGGAGGGAGGAAAGCCAUUCUGAAAACAAACAAUAGUGUUUUUCGUCAAGGGUUUACCUUCAGGGAAAGUUAGUUUACUAGGUCUUAGCCAGCUAGGAUUUAUCACAAGCUAACUGAACUGACCUAAAGCAAUUCAAAUUAACUCUAGAUUUCUUGUGGAGUAGAAAUAACCAAACACCAGACCAGUUCACUUUAGCCAUCCUAUACCACCCAAGAAAAAAUAUUGAAGAAUGGUUGUGACAUUCAGUCAAGAGGCUCAGUAAAAGUGAGACCUAAACACAGAACUAUAGAAUGUUUCUUAUAUACGAAACCUUUCUGUAUUGUUAAUAAUGCCCAUUCAAUAGAAGUUCCUUUUGUCUGAUACAUCAUAUCUGCUGUCCACCUAUUGAAAAAAAAUACAAGGAUUCUAAAAGACAUUAACUUUUUAAAACAUAGCAGACAUUUCAGAUAUGUUGAAAUUAUCGGAGAUAUUUGAACUAUAAAACUAAGGACAACAUCCAAGGACAAUAGCAAGGAAGGAACCAAACUCAUAGGGAAAACACAAAAAGGGCUGGGAACCAGCAAUAGCAAUGUAUGAAAAAUACCCUCUGUAGACUCAUUUGAUUGCACACAGAUGAGAAAAAAAAUCAGAGUAUCUUUUUGUACAAACAACAAAAACUAAAAGACAAAAAUGAACAAAACAGUGAGAAUUUGGCUGAGUUGGUUAAGUGUUUGUCUUAUAUACGUAGGACCUGAGUUUGGCUCCCAAGUAAAAAAGUUAUCUAGUUAUCUCCAUUCCUGGGGCAGCAUUAGAAGACAUGUCAAUCCCUAAGAAUACUAGAAAUAGUCAUAUAGAAGCCAAAAACAAAACAAAAAUAAAAAACAAAUAGAAACCAUUUGAAACAACAGGAACUAAAAAUUUCCCCUAAAUUAUUAUCAUACAUUAAACAGUUCAGGAAGCUGAAAGAAUACCAAACAGGAUUAAUAACAAAACUUGCAUCUAAACAUAUCAUUAUCUACAGAAAAUCAAAUAUUUAAAAAGCCCUACAGGAACACCUACUAUAAAAUAGCAAUAGUACAAACCACAUCCAAUCUGUCCUCAGAAGCAAGAAGAGCGAAAUAACAGAACAAAACAAAUCGCUAUAUAUCAUUCUGCACUCUGCAAUUGUCUUAAGAUUGGCCAGUUAGGUAAGAUUUUGUUCAAAACAUCUAAAAAUGUGUUUAAUUAUGUUUAUGUAUACUUAAUUGAAAUGAAUGGUACCAGUGAUUUAUAGAGGAGUUAAUGGUUACUUUAGGUCAUACAAUGUAUGAAUUGGUAUGGUAUGAUUUGAAAGAGGGCUUAGCUUAGUUGAAAAUGUAUACAAGAUCCAGAGAAAUCACCCCAAAAUAAUGCUAGUAAACAAACUUUUCCAAAAACAGUAUUGCAAAUAUAUAGCAAAACAAGUUUGUAGUUACAGGUUGUAUCUUAGCAGCCUCCUGGGUCCAUUGUACCAGAAUCCCACAUAUAAAUCUCAUGUUUACAGUAGAUUUCAGAUUGGGAAAUCUGUUUUGCAUAGUCAUUGUUAUUUAAUAAGUAUCUUCACCCCAUUUUGUGGCAAUGCUAGUAGAGGAAAGUGAAUUGCUACUGAGCUAUAUCUCAAGACACUACCAUACCUUUCUAAUUGCACAAGCUCUAAUGCCAUCACACCUAAAAGAAGCUCUGAAUUAAAUACAAUAUAGUUCUUAACUCGUAGGUAUUACCUAAGAGACUUAAAGUGAUUUUUGAGCAGGCUAAAACCAACCAGCCACCACUACCACAACAAAAGAUAUCUGCUAACAAGCCAUCAGAUAGGAUAUAUCUAGUAGUAUUCCUGUUGUUGCCAUUGAUAGAAAAACAUAUCUCUCCCAGAACAUGAGAAAUAUGAGAAACAAAUUAGGGUAGGAUAAGGAAGGGAGAGUUGCUAUAUUUUCUUCUUGUUUGGGAGAGAUAGCUAUUUGUCAAAAGAAACCAACAUAAUACUAGAUAGAAACAUACCUCUCCGGAAUUAUAAUCUUGGUAAAGAGAAAAUUGGAAUAGGAAGGUGUGUUGACUUUCUGCAGCACAACUCUGUUUAGGGGAAAUGUCUGUUUGUCUUACCUGGCUUCUUGUAAAAGUAUGGUAGAUAAUAUGGCCCAUGAUAAUCUCAUUUCAAAGUUCCUAUCAAAGUAAGAUCUGCUUAUUCUCUAUAACCCUGUGGAUGAAGCCAUUUCAGAUAAAGAUGAGCAAAGGGUUACUAUGCUUUGAAGAGAAAUUACAGUAUUCAAAGAGAUCUUUAAGCCCAGACAUUGGAUUUACUAGACACAUACUUAAAGCAAUUAUUUUAAAGAGUUAAAUAUAUUGGUAAUCAUAAUAAAAAUAUAAGCUACAGACUAGGACAAAACAUUUAAAAAAUAUAUAAGGAGCUUCCCAAAACUUAAAAGGGCUGGGAAUGUAGCCUCACGACAAUAGGGUACUUGUCUAACAUGAACAAAACUUAAAAUUCUAUCCUCAUAAAUUGAAAAAAAUAUGUGUAUGACUGAAUUUUGCUUUCUGAUUUGAAAAACACCCAAACAAUAUGAAGUUAAUGAAUGGCAACUUUACCAAUAUGCAUCAGUUUUGCAGGAGAAACACCUCCAUUUAGCAUAGAUGUUAAAGACCCACAUCUUAAAUCCAAUCUCUAGAAGCACAAUGUUGAUGAAAGAAAGCCAGGCUUCCAAAGAACAUCAUCCCAUGCCUGAGUCAGUUUAGUAAAAUCUACAAAACUGGCCAAUGCAAAAUGAGCUCUAUUGUGAAGGAUAAAAAGACAAUGAAGAACAAGCAAUGGUAAGAUUAUGUUAGAUCAUCAAUUUGAGUACAUUGAUGAGAACUUCAAAACUAUCUAAGAAUGUGCAGUGAGGGGGGUAGGUAUCUUUUUGCCAUAUUCUCAAAUGAAAAAGCUUUAAAAAUGAAACAUUUUAGUUUAAACAUCUUAUUUCUUGAGGGUCUAAAAGAUUCUAAAGUUGUCAAUGUUCACUGAAACAAAAAAGAUGGUAAUCACAUGGAAAUGUCUUUUGUAAGAGGUUAAUAUACAGGGACCUCUUAGUUUUCACAAAGGUAGGAUUUAUGGGCAGGAUGAUAAACUUGUUUUCCUGAUAGACUUUCUUUUCCAGACUUAACAGGCAUAUGAGGAAAAAUGGUACACUGAGGCUAUGUAUAAGAAGAUAAUAGGCAACCUAAACAGAAAGCACCAUGCUUGGAUGGAUUUACUGAUAAAUUCUGACAAAUCUCAACUAUUUAAUGGAAGAAUGUAUACUAAAGGUUCUACAGUGUCUUUUAGAAGGUAGGAAAUAUUGCUUAACUCAUUUGUUGAGACCAAUGUUGCCCUUAUUUCUGUAGCAAACAACACAUUCCAAACAAGCUAAAUACCAGUAACUCAUGCUGUAUGUGUAAAACAAUACACUACGCAACAUUAAUAUGCCAAAUCCAAAAAUACCACAACUGCUCAGUGCUAUGGGACAUUAAAAACUAAGGUAAGUUAUCACAAGCAUAAAAUAAGUCACAGGAUUAUGUCACCAGACAGAAAUAUACAUCCGACAAAAAUCUUGACCAACCCAUGGUAAAAACAACAACUUUGGAACAUUUAGCCUCAGGUACGUAAUCAUAAGAAGUAAAAAGAACUUUUAUGAUUAUAUCACUGGAUACAUAUGAAUCUGACAAAAUUCUUUACUAACACAUGAUUAAAAAAAGGACCCUUGGAACAUUACCAAAUCAGGUAAGUAAUCACAAGAAGAAAAAAAAUGUUACAUGACAUGAUUAUAUUUCUGGAUACAAUAAUUCAUCUAGCAAAAUUCUUUACUAACUCAUGAUGUUUAAAAAGCCGUUUGGAACAUUAAAAAGUCAGGUAAGUAAUCACAAGAAGCAAAAAGAAGUUACAUGAUUAUAUUAUUGAAAUGCAUCUGGAAAAAUUUUAUAUCAAUUUUAAAAAAGCCCUCUAGAUUAUUAAAACCUCAGGUAAGUAAACACAAGAAGCAAAAAGAUGUUACAUGAUUAUAUAACUAGACAAAAAAUUUGACAACAUUCUUUACCAACUCAUGAUCAAAACAAAGAGCAUUAAAAUCUCAGGUAAGUAAUAAGCCAAAAGAAGUUACAUACUUAUUCACUGGAUACAAUUACCAACUCAUAAUAAAAGUAACAACAACCAACAACAACUCUACACAUUAAAAACUCAGGAUAGGGUUCACAAGACCCAAGGGGAAAAAAAAAAAGGUCUGACAACAUUAUUUACUAACUCAUGAUUAAAACAAAACAAACAGGAAAACUUCUGGAACAUUAAAUACUCAAGUAAGUGAUCACAAGAAGUAAAAAUAUCACUGGACACAAAAGUGCAUCUGAGAAAAUUCUUUAUUAACUUGUGAUUUAAAAUAAAGAAAAAGAAAAGAAAACCAAACAACUGGGGAUCAUUAAAAACUCAGGUAAGUGAUCAUAAGAAACAAGAAGCAAGAAAUAAGUUACAGAAAUCUGACAACAUUCUUUACCAAUAAUACCAAACAAAAAAUAAGCACACACAAAACCCUCUAGAAUAUUAAAAACUUAGGUAGCUGAUCACAAGACACAUGAAGCAAAAAAGAUAUUACAUGAAUAUUUCACUACACACAAAAACCUGACAACAUUCUUUACCAACUCAUAAUACAAAACAGAAAAAAAAAGCAUACAUAAGACAUCUGGAGCAUCAAAAGCUCAGGUAAAGAUGACAAGAAGCAAAAAGAAGUUACAAGAUUAUAUCACUGGACACAAAAAUGCAUCUACAAAAUUCCCUAUCAACUCAAGAUAAAGGAAAGAAAAGAAAAACCUAACAACUCUGGACCAUUAAAAACUCAGGUACAUGAUCACAAGACACAAGCAAAAAAGAAAUUACAUGAUUUCACUGACACAAAAAUGCAUCUGACAAAAUUCCUCAUCAACUCAAGAUGGAAGACAAGAAAAACCCAACAACUCAGAAACAUUAAAAACUUAGGUAAGUGAUCACAAGACGCACACACACACACACACACACACACACACACACACACACACACCCCACAGGAAGUUACAUGAUUAUUUCAGUAGACACAGAAACCUCACAUUCCUUAUCAACUCAACAUAAAAAACAGAAACAAAGCAAACACAAAAACCCUCUGAAACAUUAAAAACCAUGGUAAGUAAUCAAAAGACACACACACAAAACAACAAGAAGUUACAUGAUUAUUUCACUAGACACAGAAACAUGACAACAUUGUUUACCAUCUCAUAAUACAAAACAAACACAAAUCCUUUGGAAUAUUAAAAAAUCUCAUGUAAGUGACCACAAGAAGCUUAAAGAAGUUACAUGAUUAUAUCUUUGGACACAUGCAUGCAUCUGAUGAUUUUUUACCAACUCAUGGAUUUAAAAAGGGGGGAAAAUAAAACCCAACAACUCUGGAACAUAAAAAACAAAAAGUUACAUGAUUAUUUCACUAGACACAGAAAUCUGACAUUUACCAACUCAUAAUACAAAACAGAAGCAAGGGCUAGAAAGAUGGUUCAGUGGUUAAGAGCACUGACUGCUCUUCUAGAGGUCCUGAGUUCAAUUUCCAGCAACCACAUAGUAGUUAUAUAUCCAUCUAUAAUCUGACUCUCUCCUGACGUGUCUGAAGAGAACAACAGUAUGCUGAUAUACAUAAAAUAAAUCUUUUUAAAAACAAGCAAAACACAGAAACCCUCUGGAAACUUAAAAAGGUGAUCACAAGACACAGAUAGGCAAAAUGAAGUUACACGAUUAUUUCACUAGACACAGAAACCUGACAUUAUAAACUCACAAUAUAGGAACAAAACAAACACAAAACUCUGGAACAUUAAAAAACUCAGGUAAGUAAUCACAAGAAGAAAAAAAAAGUUACAUAAUUAUUACUGGACACAAGCAUGCAUCCAACAAAAAUUUUUAUCAACUCAUCUCAAAAACCCCAAGAACAUUGGAAUAUUAAAAGCUUAUAUAAGUGAUCACAAGACCCAAGAAGAAAUAACGAAGUUACAUGAUUACUUCACUAGACACAGAAAUCUGACAACAUUCUUUAUCAUCCCAUAAUACAAAACAGAAACAAAAAGACCACACAAACCCCUGGAACAUUAAAAACUGGUAAGUGAUCAGAAGAGACAAGAACCAGAAAAGAAAUUACAUGUAUGUAAUUUCACUACAUACAGAAACCUGACAACAUUCUUUAUGAACUCAUAAUACAAAGCAAAAAAGGCACACACACAAAACAUCUGGAAUAUUAAAAACUCAGGUGAGUGAUCACAAGAAGCAAAAGGAAGUUACAUGAUUAUAUCACUAGACACAAAAGUGCAUCUGACAAAAUUCCCUAUCCAAAAGAAAAAAAAAUCAGUAAACACUAUAAGGACGUCAUUAACUUUGUAAAUACCAUUUACCAAAAGUAUAUACCAAACAUAAUUGACAGGAAAAAAAGGGGAGGUAAGGAUGGUGCCCACUCAUUUUUCAAAAUCUUGUGGAAAACUCCUAAGUAAUGGACCAAAAUAAAGGGAAUAUAUAUUUUGUUUAAAAGGAGCAAAGUUUUGUUUUAAGUGGCAUUAUCUAUGUAGAUAAUAUGAAAGGACACAUAUACAAAUUCUGCAACUAUUAAGGGACCACAGCAAGGUUACAUGACUCAAAAUAUACAAUAAUCAGUUACUUUCCUAUAUGCCCCAAGUUAACGAGUGGAAUUUGAAACAAAGUACAUUAUUGCUUUGGCAUCACCAAAAUAAACAGAUAAAAAUAUGUACAAUAUAUUUUCAAUAUUUAACAUAUUGAAAAAUUCAAUAUUGCCAGAUGUCCAAUAACCCAUGCUGAUCCCCACAUUAAAUGCAACCUUAAGCAAACACAAAUGUUUUAUCAGUAUUGGAAAAUGGACUCUAAGGCUACUGUGGAGGAAAAGGAUAGAAUAUGAAACAUAAUAUUAAAGGAUAAUUUAAAAUUAACCUAUUUUAAUGCAUUGCUGUAAAGCUUUGGGGAUCCAGAAACUAUAUUACUUGUAAAAGAAUAGGUAAGUAAAGAUGAAAGGAAAAGAAAAUAGCAUGUUAAAAUACAAUCUAAGUUCACUCAACUAAUCUGUAGUAAAGGAACAAAAAUAAGAAUGGAGAAAAAUGUUCUUUUUUUUUUCAACAAAUGGUGAUAAAAUAAUGAUAGCCACAUGGAAAAUGUAAGAAUCUAGAUACAGACUUUAUACCCAAUAAAUAAAAAAUAAGUUGAGAAUGGAUCGCAGACAUCAAUGUAAAAGUAGAAAAUAGAAAAUAUCUUCACAUAAUACAGACCUAAAAAAAUUCCAAACCUUGCACUAAAGAACUAAGUCAUUUUGCAUUUGUAGUUUGAUAUUAAGAAAAAAAAAACAUGUUAAACUGUUGCCACCUCUAUUCAACAUAAUGGUGAAUGGUUUAACUGGAUCAAAUGGAUUAGCUGGACACAUGUAACACAUGUAAAUUGGAAAGGAAGUAAUAAACAAGAUUCCUCAUAAGAUUGUAUAUGGUAAAUUCAGUAGUGCAAAAGAAUAUCAGUACACAAGUUUCAUUUCUAUACAUCAAAAUUGAUAUUUAAGAGUACCAUUGACAUAAUUUCAUUUGAGGCAGCAGUAUGUUAUCCACAGCUUUGAUGGCCAGGCUACCUCGUAAUUAUUCUUGAUUUCAUAGAUGAUAAAUCUGAAAAACUAUAUUGUUUUGCCCUUACUACAAUAGGAACCACUGCAUCCAACCAAUUCUUGAUUCUUGCACUUAAAUAGGUCUUAGCUCAUUCAUACCAGAUUGUAAAUACAAUGGAUGUAUACCAAAAUUAAGGAACACUGUCCCAAUAUAAUGAGAAAUACUAAAAACCCAAAGAGAGCCGGGAAGAUAUCCAUUUGGUAAAGCAUUUGGCAAAAUGCUUUUAAAGCAUGAGGAUCUGAGGGUGAGCCCUGGAACUCAUGUGAAAAUGUCAUGUAUAUUGGAUGUUUGCAGUCACAGUGAUGGAAUGGAAGGAAGAGAAUCCAAAGAGUUUAGUAAUUUGGCAGUCUGGCCUAUUUGGUCAAGUCGAGACUAUCUCAAUGGAGGUGGAUAGCAUUUCUAGUUAAGAAAGUGGAGGCUGUCCUCUGACUUAGAACACAUGAAUAUGCACAAACAUGCACCUACAUAUAUAUCUUUGUAUAUAAAAGAACAAGGCCAUUAUCAAAGAAAUACAAGUCAUGUUCCAGUAACCGACUCCAAAAAACCAGGCACAUUAACUUAGUGACAAUUUAAAAUGAGUUAAGAAUAGCCAACUAAAAGAGAACUGGGAGAGUACAAUCUGAAAAACAAUACAUGAACAAAUGAGUUUCAAUAAAGCUAUAGAAAGCAAAGCCAAAUUCUGGAGGUGAAGAGUACAGUGAAAGGAAAAUUGUAAGACUGGCUCAAAACAAGAUUUUUCAAUUAAAACUGGAAACCUUGACCUUGAAAAGAACACUUGGACCAAAUGGAUUUAACAGAUCUAUAGAACAUUUUAUCUCAAAACAAAAGAAUAUAUCCUCUCAGCACCUCAUGAACCUUCUCCAAAAUUGGCCAAAUAAUCACACACAAAAAGCCUUAAAGAAUCCAAGAACACUGAAGUGAUUCCAUGCAUUCUAUCAGAUCACCACAGACUAAGGCUGGACUGAAAUAACAACAAAAACAAUGAAAAUCCCACAUACUCAUGGAAACUGGAUGCUCUAGUCAAUGAUAACUUGGUCCAGGAAAAAAUUUAAAACUUUCUAGAAUUCAAUGAAAAUGAAAGCAUAGCAUACCCAGACUUAAUGGGACACAAUGAAAGCAGUGUUGAGGACAAUAGCACUAAGCGCCUUCAUAAAGAAACUGAUCCUAUACUAGCAACUUAUAGCACACUUGAAAGCUCUAAAAUGAAAAGAAGUAAACACAUCCAAAGGGAGUAAAUGGCAAUAAAUAGCCAAACUCAAGAUUGAAAUCAACCUAUUAGAAACAAACAAAAUACAAAAACUCAACAAAACCAAGAGCUGGUUCUUUGAAAAACACCAACAAGGUAGAUAAACCCUUAGCCAAACUAUCUAAAGGGAACAGAGCCAGUAUUCAGUUUAACAAAAUCAAAAAUGUAAAGCGAGACAUUGAGGAAAUUGAAAAAAACAUUAGAUCUUACUACAAGAGACUUAACAAAACUGGAAAAUCUAGAUGAAAUGGUUGGCUUUCCAGACAGAUACCAUGUACUAAAGUUAAAUCAAGAUCAGGCAAACUAAAACAAGAACAAACAAACAAAAACCAACCAAACAAACUACAAAAAAAACAGCCCAGCGCCAGAUGGUUUUAGUGCAGAAUUCUACCAACAUUAAAAAAUGAGCUAAUACUAAUACUCAAACUAUCCCACACAAUAGAAACAGAAGGAACACUACCUAAUUCAUUCUGCGAAGGCACAGUUACUCUGACACCUAAAUCACACAAAGACUCAACAAAACUUCAGACCAGUUUUGCUUUUGAAUAUUGACACAAAAAUACACAAUAAAAUUCUUGCAAAUUCAAUCCAUAAACAUAUCAAAGCCAUCAUUUACCAGGAUCAAGUAGGCUUCAUCCCAGGGCUUCAGGAAUGGUUCAAUAUAUGAAAAUCCAUAAACAUCAUCCACCAUAUACACAAACAGAAAAAAAACAUGAUUAUCUCAUUAGAUGCUGAAAAGGCCUUUGAUAUUAAAAUUCUUGGAGAGAGCAGGAAUUCAUGGCACAUAUCUAAACAUAAUAAGAGCAAUAAAUAGCAAACUGACAACCAACAUCAAAUUAAAUGGAGAGAAACUUGAAACAAUCCCACUAAAAUCAGGAACAAGUCUUCCCACUCUCUCCCUGUCUUUAAUAUAGUACUCAAAAGUUCUAGCUAGAGUAGUUAGACAACAAAAGAAUCAAGGGGAUAUAAAUUGGAAAGGAAGAAGUCAAGUUAUUACUAUUUGCAGAGAACUCCUACAGCGGAUAAACAACUUCAGCAAAGUGGCUGGAUAUGAAAUUAACGGAAACAAAUCAGUAACCUUCCUUUAUAUAAAUGAUAGAUGGGCUGAGAAAGAAAUUAGGGAAACAAAACCCUUCACAAUAGCCACACAUAAUAUAUCUUGGUGUAACUUUAACCAAGUGAAAGAUCUGAAUGACAAGAAGGGGAACGGGGAGUGGGAGAGAGGAACCUGAUCUUGUAUUGGGUGAGGGAAAAGGACUGAAGCCCCAAGGGCCAGCAGAAAGAAUGUAAACAGGCAUCCUCAGGAAAUAGGAGGUUGGGGGACCCCCCCCCAGAACGUACCAUUGACCUGGGAGGUGAAAGACUUCCAGGACUCAAAGUGAGGGACCUUAGAUGAAAUGCCUGACAGUAGAUAGAGGGAACUUAUAAACUCCAGCAGGAAGACAGGACAUCAAGUGAGGGAUGGGAUUUCCAUCCCACAGUCACACAUCUGACCCAAAAUCGUUCCUGUCUGAAAGAAUUACAAGGAUGGAAAUGGAGAGGAGCCUGAGGAAAAGAAGGUCCAUUGACAGGCCCAAAGAGGGAUCCAGCUCACGGGGAGAUCCCAAGGCCUGACACUACUACUAAGGCUAUAGAGUGCUCACAACAAGGGAUCUAUUAUGAAUGCUCUCUGAAAGACCCAAAAAAACAGCUGAAAGAAGCAGAUGCAGAUAGUUGCACCCAACCAAUGGAAAGAAGCAGUUGACCCCUGUUGUUGAAUUAGGGAAGGCUGACAGAAGCUGAGGAGAAGGGUGAUCCUGUAGGAGGACCAGCAGUCUCAAUCUGGACCCCUGAGAUAACCCAAACAUUGGACCACCAAACAGGACAUACCAACUGAUAUGAGGUCCCCAACACACAUACAGGAGAAUUCCGGAUCUGUGUUCAUUCAGAGAUGAUGAACUUAAACCUUAAGAGAGUGGAAGCCUCAGGAAAUUGGGGAUGGAUGGGGGGGGGGUGACAAAUAGAAUAUGGAGUGUAAAAAUUAAUUAAAAAUAAUUUUAAAAAGAACUUCAAGUCCCUAAAGAACAAAGAUGAAAAGAUCUCCUCCCAUGCACAUGGACCUGUGGAUUAACAUAAACAUCUUACCAAAAGUAAGCUACUGUUCAAUGCAAUGCCCAUCAAAGUUCUAAUACAGUUCUUCACAGACAUGGAAAGAGUAACUCUCAACAGAGUUACUCAACAUCAUAUGGAAAAACAAAGACCCAGGAUAACAAAAACAGUUCUUAACAGUAAAAGAUCUUCCGGGGAAAAUAAUAAUUCCUGGCCUCAAGCUGUACAAUCAAGCAAUUGUGAUGAAGAUCACGUGGUAUUGGUACAGAGACAGAAGUUGCCCAGUGGAAUAGAAUCGAAGACCCAGAAAUAAACCCACACACCUAUGGACACUUGAUCUUUGAUAAAGAGGGCAUCUGAAAUCAAGAAAAUAGAAAAGUGAAAAGAUCUCCUUGAGGGUUCGUGGAAUGAAAUCAUGAUCAUUAAAUUUCCCAAUUGUAGAGUUUAAAUAGAAGAGACAGAGAAAGAAAAUUCAUUUGAGUACAUAAACUAUUGAGAACCAGGCCAAUCCAAAGCAUUCUCAGAGGCCCUAAUGAAGGAGAAAAGUAAUCUCUUUAUUCCAAACUUUAAUCUAUCCCCUAUUUUUUGAAAACCUGAUCCUCUCUCUCAAGGUUCUGUUACUGAAGGUUUGCCAGCUAGUCCAUGCCAGUAAAUAAUCAUUGAAAAUUCAGAUAUAUGAACAAAAUGGACAUUCAGGUAUAUGAUAGGUUCAAUACAACAAUGUAGACAACACACAUUAAAGAUUGAAAGAUUAAUUCUAUCAGUGCAUUUCUUAGCAUAUAUCAAAGUAUGAAAUUCACUGGUUAAGUAUAGAGGUAAAACAAAACAACCAGCCAAACAAAAGACAGUCACAAACCUCAUUUUAGAUUUAAGAGCAUAUAGACUGAAAAACAAAAUAGAAACUAGCAAUACAUUACACAUGGAAAACAGGAGUGACAAAAUUAUGAAGAUAUAGUCACUAUAUAAUAAUAGAAUCCAUUAAUGGUGAGGUCUAACAUUUGUAACAAUAUCUGUCUUAAAACUUAAAACAUAAACCUGAAAAGAUUAUCCUUUAGCAUUCUCCACUUAUAGUAGUGGAUAACUCAUCUGUACAAAGAAUCACUAGAGAACCAUUUGAGAUAUAUAUCAAUAAAUAAUAAAUAAUCUAAGUUUACAUCUCAUGGAACUAUAAAGGAAAAAACCCUAUCCUACAUGUCAAAGGGAUAAAAAGACAGGCUAGUGCAGGUAUAAAUUAAAGACAAAAAAUUAAUUCACCUUCAAACUCUUUAAUAAUUGAAGAUAGAAUAGUUCUAAACCAAUUAAUCAUUCAGAAAAGGCCAAAGUCAUCAACAGUGUUCCAGUAAAACAAAGUUUCAUGGACUAAUGUCACAUCUACCCCUAUUUUACAAGAGUCUUUUAGCUGUACUACAGAGCAAUUGUGAUAAUUAGUAAUUAUCUUAAGAGAUAAAGAAAUUUUAUGAUAAAAAUGUCAUAUUUAGAGCUGAAAUGUUUUAAUGGAGCACAUGUGUGCAACGCUUACAGUAAAUAUUGAGUAACUGAAUUAUUUUCUUGAACUAAAGUAAGAAAAUGAUACCUAUGGAACGGGUAAUAUGGCUAGUAGAUAAAAGGCAAUUGCUGCCAAGCCUGAUGACCUAAACUGAAUCCUUGGGACUGCUAUGGUAGAAAUGACUUUUUUAAGUUGUCCCUUUAUGAUCACAUGAGUGUAAAGGCAUUUGCACAUGCAAAUGCAUGAACACAAACACAAUAAAUAAAUAAAUAAUUUUUUUUAAGUAAGUUAUUCCCUUUUUUACCAAUUGGAUUCAAGAUAAUGUUGAAAGUUCUAGCUAGAGGAAUUGAGGAUGGGGAGUGAGAUAUAUAAAUAAGAAAGGAAAAAAUAAAAUGUAUAUUUGCAAAUGAUAUAAUUGUACAGAAAAAUGUUAUUGCCUAAAGAAUUAUUACAGUCUUCAAAUCAAAGUUCAAUAUAUAAAACACACAAGAAAUAUCUACAUUUCUUUAUAUUAACAGUAAACUACCCAAAAGGGUAAUUAAGAAAGCUCUUAAGAAAAUAGUACCUCAAAUCAGAAAUAAACAUUGAAUAUAUCAGUUAGUUUGGACAAGAGUAUCAUAACCAUUUAUCAACAAAGGUCUGUUAUUUGAACAAAUAGUUUUGGGGAAAAUGGGUAUUAAGAUUUAGGAAAAUGAAUGUAGCACCUUUAAAUUACAGUAUAUAAAAUUAACUUAAAAGGGAUCAAAAAUAUAAAUGUAAGUAUAAAUUUUGAAGAAAAAUUACAUUAUAUGGGGCAUUAAUUUCAUGAAUAUAACACCAAAGGUAUAGACAACAAAAGACUGAACUUCAUGAUAUGUAGGCAUAAGUUUAACCACAGCAGCAAAAUUUUUGUUUACUAAAAAUAAAUACUUAUGAAAAAAUUGAAGAUGACAGUAAUAGAUGUAUAUUUGUUACCUCUUUGUGGAUCCAAAGACUUUCAGCACAUUCAUGCAGCCCAAAGUAAUGCGCAGAUUGAAAAUGAUUUUAUUCUAGUUUUAUGCUUUCUUUAGAUAAGUAAAAUUCUAUAAACAUAUGAAAUCACAAGAAAAGUUGAAUAGCUGAGCAUUUAUGACAUUAAAAAUAGCUGGAACUAUCACCCACCUUGAUUAACCUACUCACAGGGAAAGACCAAUUGUAAGCAAUGCAGAUCCUUAUAUUGACACAUAGAUGGACAAUUUACCUUUCACACAGGAAUUAUGAAUAAACGAUGAGAACAGAAUACUCAUCAAAAGAUGGUAUGUAAAUCCUGGAUAUGAAAAUGAAAAAAAUUGAAAUUGGUUCUAUUCCAUAAUCAUAUUAACCCAAAGUAUGUUAAAGAUUUAAUUCUAGAUGAGAACUCCUAGAAUAAACUAAUUUUAACAGUGAUCUUAACAAUUACUUUUUAAGAUACAACAUCAAAUGCCUAGAAAUAAAUACAAAGUUGCUGCCUAUCACAGGUUUGGUAGUAUGAAGGGGAAACAAAAAUAAAAAAGAUAACAUACAUAAUGGAAUAAAAUAUUUCCAAACUACAUCUAAUGUGUUAACAUAUAAACUAUAAAAAUAACAAAUAUUUCAAUAGCAAAUGAUAACAAAAAUUAUCUAAAUAUGACUCAGACAAAAGACAGAGUUAACCAUUUUCCAACAUACCCAUACAAAGUAUUAAGAAGAAUACAAGAAGUGCUCAGUAUCACUAUCUGGGGAAUGUAACUCAGAACAAUCAUGAUAAUACCUCAAAUAUUUUAUGAAUUAUUUUUAAAAGUCCAAAAAAUAGUGAAGAUAUGGAAAAAUGAAAAAUCUGAUUCUAUGUUUGAGGUGAAUGUAAAUUGACAUAACAAGAUAUAAAUGUAAUAUAAAAUUGAAUGUAAAUUGGCAUUUGAAAAAAAUUGAAGCACCUAAUACUGUGUCUUUGUGCUCGAGUAGAAUGACAAGUUGUUAUGGUCACCAGCAUUUGUCUCAUACAAGGAACACGCUAAUGUUACAGUUAACUGUAAAGUUCACUGGCUUUAAAAUACACCUAAAUUUAACAACAAAAGAUUGAAGAUAUAAGCUGAGUGAGACAUCUCAUAGAAAGAAUGUACCUUAAAAUCUACCAAUCAUAGUUCAAUCUUUAGAACACACAGAAAAAGAGAGGAACAAAUCCCAAAAUUUGUCAAAUGACCUCUACAUAUGAGCUAUGGCACACAUGCACCCAUAGUCCAAUAUACACACAAUAAUAAUGACAAUGAUAAUAAUAAACAAAAUAAAACAAUUUCAAUUUUAAAAUGAAAAAUAAGUCAUGGAUGGUUUAAUCAAUGUUUAGAUAACUUGUAAUUUUUAUCAUAACAUUAUUCAUAUUAAUCAAGAUAUAAUACUGUGUCAAAAUGGAUACAAUGGAUAAAAUUAACAGAAUGUUUAAUCUCAAAAAAGAAGUCAUUUACUUUGUGACAGUAUGGAUGAACUAAGGUUAAACUGUGAAUUAGAAAGAACAAAUACUUCAUGUUCUCACUAUAUGUGUAAUCUAAAAAUGUUAAACUCUAAAAGCUGAAUAUAAGAUUGGUUAGUAAUUUAGACUUGGGUCUUAAAGAAAACAUUGGUUGAAGGAAUUAUAGUUAUAAGAUGAACAAAUUCAGCAUUGUAAACCUCAUUCUCUACAAUCUAUAUUUAGAACUUGAUGAAUAUAUCUUAAAUACUUGCAGAACACCAAUGUAAAAUCUAUGUGGACUGAUACAGUAGUUUCAUUGUAUUAGUAUAUUUAUAAUCAUAAAGUUUCAGAGCGUGUGAAUAGAUAUUGCAAAUUGUGUCUCAAUACAACUAUUAAAACCUCAAAGCAUCAAGGGGUGAAAAAUAUUCAGCAAUUAAAUUAAUUAAGAUGGAGGAGGGUUAUAUACUUAAAACUACAAAUUAUUGCUAAAGAUAAAUAAAAAUAGUCACCAUUCAUAAAGUUGAAGGUAAUAUAUAAAUACUACACAAAGCAUUUUAUGCCCUCAGGGCAUCCAUAAUGAAUAUCCAAAUGUCUACAGAAAUUAGAAAAAUCCAUCAUAAUAUUCACAACCUUUAGAUAAUUACACAAAACUGUUACAUGAUCAUGGUCUUCAAAUUAAGCACAAACAGUGCUGAGGGACUCCAUUUUCUAACAUCAAAUGGUCUUACCAUGUUACCAUUGAGAAAAGUGAAUGAUAGUAAUUUAAAUAAUUUAAAGAUAGACUUACAGAUCAAUGGAACAUAUUAAAAGAGAGAACUCAGAAAUGAUCCUUGGUGUACAUGACAUUUUACAGUGUUGGCCAGACUAAUUUAAAAAGAAAAAGUCAUCUUGACAAUAUAUAGUGCUGGUAAAACUAGACAUCCUUAUGUAAAAGGGUAAAUGUUGGAUCUUUACUAAAAGCAUAUAUAAAAAUUAAUUCAAGGUCUGUCAAAGACCUAAACAUGACCUGAGAAGUAUAGAAUUCAUGGAACUGGCAGUGACUUCUUAGAUGUGAAACUUGGGGGGAAGAAUAUAGAAAACUCUAUGAGUAUUUUAAAUGUUUGAACAUCAAAACACUAUUUCUCUAUAAAAACCCAACCACAAAGAGUAAAGCAUUUGCAAGUUACAUAUCUGAUAAGUGAUUAAUAUCUGUUAUUUACAGAAAAAUGCAUUACUUAUAUAAGAUCAAUUCAAAGUAGGUAAAAGACCUUGAGAAGUAUCAUAAGAACAAUUAUAAAUGACAUGUAUACACAUAUACUAAUGUGAAUAUCAAUUAUUAAUGAAAUGUACAUCAAAACUCUAAAAACAGGAUCACUGAGAUCGCUCAUCAGGUAAAAGUGCUUGCUGUCAAUUGAUGCAAGACUGACGAUCUAAUUGUCCUUGAAACCUGUAUGAAGGUGGAUGAAGAGAACUGACUCCAUAGUAUUAUCAUCUGAUCUGCAUAUAUACCAUAUGCAAUGUGAACCGCCCCCACAUCUAACUAUAAUUAAAUAUACCUCACAAUCACAUAUCAUUUCAUGAGAGAGAGAGAGAAAGAGAGCAGAGAAGAGCUUCAUCAAGACAUAUUACAAUAAAAAAGUCUAAAAAGAAAAGUGAUAAGUCAUUUAUACUAUUAUGGACUACAGUAGAUUUCAAAGAUGAAAUUCUACAGGCUAUGAGGUGAUGAAGUAAGAUAUUCCAAGUUCAGAAGCAAAGCAAAUUCCAACCAUUAAGUUCAAGGGCAUUGUUAGAAAUGAAGGAGAAAUAAUGCCCAUUUAAAACAAGCAAAAUCUGAGGGAAUCCCUAAGCAAUAGACCAGCAAGCAUUAUAAAACCACAAAAAUGAGAGACAAGAAAAGUACUCAACUAAAAGACAGCAAAAUCAUGAAGACAUCAGUUAUCCAUAAUAACCUUUGAUAUAUAUAAGAUACUUCAAAUUCUGUAGCCAUGGUAGCACACACCUUUAACCGUAGCACUCAGCAGGCAGAAGCAGAUAGAUCUCUAUGAAUUUGAGUUCAGUCUCGUCUACAUAACAAGUUUUAGGACAGCAAGGACUACUUGGAGCAACCUUGCCUACAAUGUGUGAUAUCUACAAAAAAUAUGAGAUGGUACUAUAGACAAAUGGUCAAGAUGAUUAUUUCAAAACUAUAUUUGCUCAUUAUUGGAGCAUAUAGUUUUAUAAAACAACAUCAGACAGAAGCAUAUGUGAGAGUUGUCAUCAUCAUACUGUGUCAAUGCGUUAUCCAGACUCUCCCUUUCAAAAAAGGCAAAAAUCAAUGAAAUCAGACUCCCUUAAAGAAAUACAGAAGAACAAAGGUAAACAUCUAGAAGCCCUGAAAGAGGUAACACAAAACAAUCCAGGAUCUAAAAAUGGAAGUAGAAACAAAGAAGAAAUCACAAAGGGAGACAACCCUGGAGAUUCAAAACCUAGGAAAGUGAUCAGAUGGUGAAAGGCAAAUACAAGAAUCUUACCAACAGAAACCAAGACUACUUGGCAUCAUCAGAACCUAGUACUCCCACAUCAGUGAGUCCUGGAUACCCCAACACACCCAAAAAGCAAGAUUUGGAUUUAAAAUCAUAUCUCAUGAUGCUGGUAGAGGAUUUUUAGAAAGGACAUUAAUAACUCCCUUAAAGAAAUACAGGAGAACACAGCUAGACAGGUAAAAGUCCUUAAGAGGAAACACAAAAAUCCCUUAAAGAUUACAAGAAAACACAACCAAACAGGUGAAUUGAACAGAACCACCCAGGAUCUAAAAAUGGAAGUAGAAACAAUAAGGAAUCACAAAGGGAGACAACACAGUAGAUAGAAAUCCUAGGAAAAAUCAGGAGUCAUAAAUGCAAGCAUAACUAACAGAAUACAAGAGAUGAAAGAAAAUCUCAGAUACAGAAGAUUCCAUAGAAAACAUGGGCACAACAAUCAAAAUGAAAAAUGGAAAAAGAUCCUAACUCAAAACAUCCAGGAAAUCCAGGUCACAAUGAGAAGACCAAACCAAAAGAUAAUAGGUAUAGGUGAGAAUGAAGAUUAUUGACUUAAAGGGCCAGCAAAUAUCUUCAACAAAAUUAUAGAAGAAAACUUCCCAAACCUAAAGAAAGUGAUGCCCAUGAACAUACAAGAAGCUUACAGAACUCCAAAUAGCUUGGACCAGAAAAGAAAUUCUGCCUGACACAUAAUAAUCAAAACACCUAAUGCACAAAACAAAGAAUAUUAAAAGCAUUCAGGGAAAAAGAUCAAGUAACAUAUAAAGGGAGCCCUAUUAGAAUUACACCAGAUUUCUCACCAUAGACUAUGAAAGGCAGAAGAUAUUGGACAGAUGUUAUAGAGAUACUAAGAGAACACAAAUGCCAGCCCAGGCUACUAUACCCAGCAAAACUCUCAAUUACCAUCGAUGAAGAAACAAAGUAUUCCAUGGAAAAACCAAAUUCACACAAUAUCUUUACAUAAAUAUAGCACUUUAAAGAAUAAUAAAGGGAAAACUCCAACUCAAGGAGGGAAACUAUACCCUAGAAAAAGCAAGAAAGUAAUCCUUCAACAAACCUAAAAGAAGAUAGCCAUACGAACAGAAUCCCAACUCUAACAACAAAAAUAACAGGAAGAAACAAUUACUUUUCUUUAAUAUCUUUUAGUAUCAAUGGAUUCAAUUACCCCAAUAAAAAGACAUUGACUAACAGACUGACUACAUAAACUGGACCCAACAUUUUGCUGCUUACAGGAAACCCACCUCAGGGACAAUGAAACUACCUCAAAGUAAAAGGCUGGAAAACAAUUUUCCAAGCAAAUGGUCCCAACAAACAAGCUGAAGUAGCGAUUCUAAUAUUGAAUCGAUUUUCAACCUAAAGCUAUAAAAAAGACAAGGAGGGGCACUUCAUAUUCAUCACAGGAAAAAAAUCUCAAUUCUGAACAUCUAUGCUCCAAAUGCAAGGGCAUCUACAUUAAUUAAAGAAAUUUUAGUAAAGCUCAAAGCACAUAUUACACCUCAAAUAAGUAAUAGUCUGUGACUUGAACACCCUACCCUCAUCAAUGAACAGAUCAUGGAAACACAAACUAAACAGAGACAGAGUGAAACUAACAGAAGUUAUGAAACAAAUGGAUUUAACAGAUAUAUAGAACAUUUCAUCAUAAAACAAAAGGAUAUACCUUCUUAUUAGCACUUCAUGGCACCUUCUCUAAAACUGACCAUAUCAUCAGACACAAAAAUAUUGAAAUAAUUCCAUGCAUCCUAUCAGAUAACCAUGGAUUAAGGCUGCUCUUCAAUAACAACAUAAAUAAUAGAAAGCCAACAUACAUGUGGAAUCUGAACAACACUCUACUCAAUGAUAACUUGGUCAAGGAUGAAAUAAAGAAAGAAAUUAAAGACUUUUAAUGAAAAUGAAGCCACAACAUACCCAAACUUAUGGGACACAAUGAAAGCAGUCCUAAGAGGAGAAGUCAUAGCUCUGCUCUGCGUGCCUCCAAAAAGAUACUGGAGAGAGCAUACACUAGCAGCUUGACAGCACACCUAAAAUCUCUAGAACACAAAAGGGCGCAAAUUCACCCAAGAAAAGUAAAUGGCAGGAAAUAAUGAAACUCAGGGCUAAAAUAAACUAAGUGGAAACGCAAAUAACUAUACAGAGAAUCAACCAAACCAGGAGCUGUUCCUUUCAGAAAAUCAACAAGAUAGAUAAACCAGACUAACUAGGGGACACAGGGACAGUAUCCAAAUGAACAAAUUCAGAAAUGAAAAGGGAGACAUAACAGAAUCUGAGGAAAUAAAAAAGAUCACCAGAUCCUACUAAAAAAGCCUAUACGCAACAAAACUGGAAAACCUGGAGUUGGGCAUGGUGGCACAUGCCUUUAAUCCCAGCAUUUGGGAGGCAGAGGCAUGUGGAUUUCUGAUUUCAAGGCCAGCCUCUUCUACACAGUGAGUUCCAGGACAGCCAGGGCUAUACAGAAAAACCCUGUCCAAAAAAAAAAAAAAAAACCUGGAAAACCUGAAAUGGACAAUUUUCUAGAAAGAUUACAGGUACCAAACUUGAAUCAGGAUCAGAUUAAUGAUCUAAACAGUCCCAUAUCCCCUAAAGAAAUACAGACAGUCAUUUAUAGUCUCCCAACCAAAAAAAAAAAAAAAAAAAAAAAAAAAAAAAAAAAAAAAAAGCCCAGGAUCAGAUGAGUUUAGUUCAGAGUGCUAUAAGACCUUCAAAGAAGACCUAAUUCCAAUUCUCCUCAAGCUUUUCCACAAAAUAGAAACAGAAGGUACUCUACCCAAUUUGUUCUAUGAAGCUACAAUUGCUCUGAUACCUAAAUCACACAAAGAACCAACAAAGAAAGAGAACUUCAGACCAACUUCCCUUAUAUAUUUUGAUGUAAAAAUACUCAAUAAGAUUCUCACAAACAGAAUCCAAGAACACAUCAAAAUGAUCAUCCAUCACAAUCAAGUAGGCUUCAUCCCAGGGAUGCAGGGAUGGUUUAAUAUACAGAAAUCUAUCCAUGUAAUGCACUAUAUAAACAAACUCAAAGACAAAAACCACAUGAUCACCUCAUUAGAUGCUGAGAAAGCAUUUGACAAAAUCCAACACCCCUUCAUGAUAAGAUUCUUGGAAAGAUCAAGAAUUCAAGGCCCAUACCUAAACAUAAUAAAAGCAAUAUACAGCAAACCAGAAGUCAACAUCAAACUAACUGGAGAAAAACACAAAGCAAUUCCACUAAAAUCAAGGAGUAGAGAAGGCUGCCCCACUGUCUCCCUACCUUUUCAAUAUAGUACUUGAAGUCCUAGACAGAGCAAUUAGACAACAAAAGGAGAUCAAGGGGAUACAAAUUGGAAGGUAGAAGUCAAAAUAUCACUAUUUGCAGAUGAUAUGAAAGUAUUUAUGUGUGUGUGUGUGAGUAUAUAUAUAAAAAAAAUUUUUACCAGAGAACUAAACCUGAUUAACAACUUCAGUGAAGUAGCUGGAUAUAAAAUUAACUCAAACAAAUCUUUCUCUACACAAAGGAUAAAUGGGCUGAGAAAGAAAUUAGGGAAGCAACACCCUUCACAAUAGUCACAAAUAAUAUAAAAUACCUUGGUGUGACUUUAAGGAAGUGAAAGUUUUGCAUGACAAGAACUUCAGGACACAGCUUCUGGGACAGGCCCUGAUUUGAGCUGCAGACAUCGGGCACCUUCCCUGCCAGAGGAGAGGUGACCACCCAAGAGGCCUCUGACCACCAGAGCAGGUGAGGGAGCCAUCCUGUGUCCGGGUCCCUCUGAGACCAGUCUGCGCAGAUCUUCUCACGGAAUGCAUAGGGUGAGCAACAGGAUUGUAGAAGCGACACAGCUUCUGGGACAGGCAGAAGUGACAUGGCUUCUGGGACAGACCCCGUUUCAGGCUCCAGACAUCUGGGCACCUUCCCCACCAGAAGAGAGGUGACCACCUGGGAGGGCUCUGACUGCUGGAGCAGGUGAGGGAGCCAUCUUGUGUCCUGGGUCCCUUGGAGACCAGUCUGUGCAGGUGAGUACACAGACUACAGAAGCAACACAUCUUCUGGGACAGGCCCUUUUGGGGGCCUUCAUCUUCAGACAGAAGGUAGUUCUGAAUGCCAGACCUCUGUGCACCUUCUCUGCAAGAGGAGAGCUUGCCUGCAGAGAGUACUCUGACCACUGAUACUCAGGAGAGAGCUGGACUGCUGACAGAGGCUAACAGAAUUACAAGAGGAACAGGCUCCAGCCAGAGACAACUAUAACAACACCAGAGAUUACCAGAUGUUGAAAGGCAAACGUAAGAAUCUUACCAACAGAAACCAUGACCAUUCACCAUCAUCAGAACCCAGCACUCCCACCUCAGCCAGUCCUGGAUAUCCCAACACACAUGAACAGAAAGCAAGAUUCAGAUUAAAAGUCAUAUCUCAUGAUGCUAGUAGAGGACCUUAAGAAGGGCAUUAAUAACUCAAAGAAAUACAGGAGAACCCUGCUAAACAGGUAGAAGUCCUUAAAGAAUUACAGGAAAACACUGCUAAACAGGUAGAAGUCCUUAAAGAGGAAACCAAAAAAAUCCCUUAAAGAAUUACAGGAAAACACAACCAAACAGGUGAUAGAAUUGAACAAAACCAUCCAAGACCUAAAAACGGAAGUAGAAACAAUAAAGAAAACCCAAAGUGGGACGACUCUGGAGGUAGAAACCCUAGGAAAGAAAUCAGGAACCAAACAUGUGAGCAUCAGCAACAGAAUACAAGAGAUGGAAGAGAGAAUCUCAGGUGCAGAAGAUUCCAUAGAGAACAUGGGCACAACAAUCAAAGAAAAUGCGAAAAGAUUCUAACUCAAAACAUCCAGGAAUUCCAGGAUACAAUGAGUAGACAAAACCUAGGGAUAAUAGGAGUAGAGGAGAAUGAAGAUUUUCAACUUAAAGGGUCAGCAAAUAUCUUCAACAAAAUUAUAGAAGAAAACUUCCCAAACCUAAAGUAAGAGAUGCCCAUGAACAUACAAGAACCCUACAAAACUCCAAAUAGACUGGACCAGAAAAGAAAUUCCUCCCAACACAUAAUAAUCAGAACAACAAAUGCACUAAAUAUAGAAUAUUAAAAGUAGUAAGGGAAAAAGGUCAAGUGACAUAUAAAGGCAGGCCUAUUAGAAUUACAUCAGACUUCUCACCAGAGACUAUGAAAGCCAGAAAUCCUGGACAGAUGUUAUACAGAUCCUAAGAAAACACAAAUGCCAGCCCAGGCUGCUAUACCCAGCAAAAUUCUCAAUUACCAUAGAUGGAAAAACCAAAAUAUUCCAUGAUAAGACCAAAUUCACACAAUGUCUUUCCUCAUAUCCAGCCCUUCAAAGGAUAAUAAAGGGAAAACAACAACACAAGUACAGAAACCACACCCUAGAAAAAGCAAGAAAGUAAUCCUUCAACAAACCUAAUAGAAGAUAGCCACAAGAACAGAAUCCCAAGUUUAACAACAAAAAUAACAAGAAGCAACAAUUACUUUUCUUUAAUUUCUCUUAACAUCAAUAGACUCAAUUCCCCAAUAAAAAGACAUAGACUAAUAGACUGGCUACACAAACAGGACACAACAUUUUGCUGCUGACAGGAAACCCACCUCAGGGACAAAGACAGACACUACCUCAGAGUGAAAGGCUGGAAAACAAUUUUCCAAGCAAAUGGUCAGAAGAAACAAGCUGGAGUAGUCAUUUUAAUAUCGAACAAAACUACUUUCCAACCCAAAGUUAUCAAAAAAGACAAGGAGGGGCACAUCAUACUCAUCAAAGGCAAAAAUCUACCAAGAUGAACUCUCAAUUCUGAAUAUGCUCCAAAUACAAGGACAUCCACAUUAAUUAAAGAAACUUUAGUAAAGCCCUAAGCACAUAUUGCACCUCACACAAUAAUAGUGGGAGACGUUAACACCCCACUUGCACCAAUGGACAGAUUCUGGUAACAGAAACUAAAUAGAGACACAUGGACACUAACAGAAUUUAUGAAACAAAUGGAUUUAAUAGAUAUCUACAGAACAUUUUAUCCUAAAAUAAAAGGAUAUACCUUCUUCUCAGCACCACAUGGUACCUCCUCCAAAAUUGAUCAUAUAAUCUGUCACAAAACAGGCCUCCACAGGUACAAAAAUAUUAAAAUUAUCCCAUGCAUCCUAUCUGAUCACCACGGACUAAGGCUGAUCUUCAAUAACAGCAUAAAUAAUAGAAAGCCAACAUUCACAUCAAAACUGAACAACAUUCUACUCGAUGAUUCCUUGGGCAAGGAUGAAAUAAAGAAAUUAAAGACUUUUUAGAGUUUAAUGAAAAUGAAGCCACAACAUACCCAAACUUAUGGGACACAAUGAAAGGAGUCCUAAGAGAAAACUCAUAGCCCUUGGUGCCUCCAAAAUGAAACAAGAGAGAACAUACACUAGCAGCCUGACAGCACACCUAGAAGCUCUAGAAAUAAAGGAAGCAAAUUCACCCAAGAGGAGUAGAUGGCAGGAAAUAAUCAAACUCAGGGCUGAAAUCAACCAAGUGGAAACAAAAAGAACUGUUCAAAGAAUCAACCAAACCAGGAGCUGGUUCUUUGAGAAAAUCAACAAGAUAGAAAAACCCUUAGCCCGACUAACUAGAGGACACAGGGACAGUAUCCAAUUAACAAAAUCAGAAAGGAAAAAGGAGACAUAACAACAGAACCCGAGGAAAUCCAAAACAUCAGAUCCUACUACAAAAAGCUAUACUCAACAAAACUGGAAAACCUGGAUGAAAUGGACAACUUCGUACCAAAGUUAAAUCAGGAUCAGAUUAACAAUCUAAACAGUCCCAUUUCGCUUAAAGAAAUAGAAGCAGUCAUCAAUAGUCUCCCAACCAAAAAAAAAAAAAAAAAAAAAAAGCCCAGGACCAGAUGGGUUUAGUGCAGAGUUCUAUCAGACCUUCAAAGAAGACUUAAUUCCAACUCUUCUCAAACUAUUCCACAAAAUAGAAACAGAAGGUAUCCUAACCAAUUCAUUCCAUGACGCCAAAAUUACUCUGAUACCUAAACCACACAAAGAUCCAACAAAGAAAGAGAACUUCAGACCAAUUUCCCUUAUGAAUAUCGAUGCAAAAAUACUCAAUAAAAUCUUUGCAAACUGAAUCCAAGAACACAUCAAAACAAUCAUCCAUCAUGAUCAAACAGGCUUCAUCCCAGGGAUGCAGGGAUGGUUUAAUAUAUAGAAAUCCAUCAACAUAAUCCACUAUAUAAACAAACUCAAAGACACAAACCACAUGAUGAUCUUGUUAGGUGCUGAGAAAACAUUUGACAAAGUCCAACACCCCUUCAUGAUAAAAGUCUUGGAAAGAUCAGAAAUUCAAGGCCCAUACCUAAACAUAAUAAAAGCAAUAUACAGCAAACCAGUAACCAACAUCAAACUAAAUGGAGAGAAACUCGAAGCAAUCCCACUAAAAUCAGGGAGUAGACAAGGCUGCCCACUUUCUCCCUACCCAUUUAAUAUAGUACUUGAAGUCCUAGCCAGAGCAAUUAGACAACAAAAGGAGAUCAAAGGGAUACAAAUUGGAAAGGAAGAAGUCAAAAUAUCACUAUUUGCAGAUGAUAUGAUAGUAUAUAUAAGUUACCCUGAAACAUCCACCAGAGAACUCUUAAACCUGAUAAAUAGCUUCAGUGCAGUAGCUGGAUAUAAAAUUAACUCAAACAAAUCAAUGGCCUUUCUCUACAAAAAGGAUAAACGGGCUGAGAAAGAAAUUAGGGAAACAACACCCAUCACAAUAGUCACAAAUAAAAUAAAAUACCUUGGUGUGACUCUAACUAAGGGAGUGAAAGAUCUGUAUGAUAAGAACUUCAAAUCUCUGAAGAAGGAAAUUGAAGAAGAUCUCAGAAGAUGGAAAGAUCUCUCAUGCUCAUGGAUUUGCAGGAUUUAUAUAGUCAAAAUGGCUAUCCUGCUGAAAGCAAUCUACAGAUUCAAUGUAAUCCCCAUCAAAAUUCCAACUCAAUUCUUCACUGAGGUAGAAAGGGCAAUUUGAAAAUUCAUCUGGAAUAAUAAAAAACCUAGGAUAGCAAAAACUAUUCUCAACAAUAAAAGAACCUCUGGUGGACUCACCAUGCCUGACCUUAAGCUGUACUACAGAGCAAUUGUGAUAAAAACUGCAUGGUACAGGUACAGCGACAAACAGGUAGCUCUAUGGAAUAGAAUUGAAGACCCAGAAAUGAAUCCACACACCUAUGGUCACUUGAUCUUUGAAAAGGGAGCUAAAACCAUCCAGUGGAAAAAAGACAGCAUUUUCAACUAAUGGUGCUGGCACAACAGAUGGUUAUCACGUCGAAGAAUGCGAAUUGAUCCAUUCUUAUCUCCUUGUACAAAGCUCAAGUCUAAGUGGAUCAAAGACCUCCACAUAAAACCAGAGACACUGAAAUUUAUAGAGGAGAAAGUGGGGAAAAGCCUCAAAGAUAUGGGCACAGGGGGAAAAUUCCUAAACAGAACAGCAAUGGCUUGUGCUGUAAGAUCAAGAAUUGACAAAUGGGACCUCAUAAAAUUGCAAAGCUUCUGUAAGGCAAUAGGCACUGUCAAUAAGACAAAAAGGCCACCAACAGAUUGGGAAAGGAUUUUUACCAAUCCUAAAUCUGAUAGGGGACUAAUAUCCAAUAUAUACAAAGAGGUCAAGAAGCUCAACUUCAGAAAAACAAAUAACCCCAUUAUAAAUGGGGUAUAAAGCUAAACAAAGAAUUCUCAAGUAAGGAAUACCGAAGGGCUGAGAAGCACCUGAAAAAAUGUUCAACAUCCUUAAUCAUUAGUCAAAUGCAAAUCAAAACAACCUUGAGAUUCCACCUCAUACCAGUCAGAAUGUCUAAGAUCAAAAACUCAGGUGACAGUAGAUACUGGCAAAAAUGUGGAGAAAGAGGAACACUCCUCCAUUGCUGGUGGGAUUGCAAGCUUGUACAACCACUCUGGAAGUCAGUCUAGCGGUUCCUCAGAAAAUUGGACAUAGUACUACAUAAAGAUCCAGCAAUACCAGUCCUGGGCAUAUACCCAGAAGAUGCUCCAACUGCUAAUAAAGACACAUGUUCCAUUAUGUUCAUAGAAGCCUUCUUUAUAAUAGGCAGAAGCUGAAAAGAACCCACAUGUCCCUCAACAGAGGAAUUGAUACAGAAAAUGUGGUACAUUUACACAGUGGAGUACUAGGCAGCAAUUAAAAACAAUGAAUUUAUGAAAUUCUUAGGCAAGUGGAUGGAUCUGGAGGAUAUCAUCCUGAGUGAGGUAACCCAGUCACAAAAGUACACACAUGAUAUGCGCUCACUGAUAAGUGGUUAUUUGCCCAGAAACUCAGUAUACCCAAGAUACAAUUUGCAAAGCACAUGAAAGUCAAGAAGAAGGAAGACCAAAGUGUGGAUACUUCGAUCCUUCUUAGAAGGGGGAACAAAAUACCUCUGGAAGGAGUUACAGAGACAAAGUUCUGAGCAGAGACUGAAGGAAGGACCAUCCAGAGACUGCCCCACCUGGGGAUCCAUCCCAUAAACACCUACCAAAUCCAGACACUAUUGUGGAUGUCAACAAGAUUUUGCUGACAGGAGCCUGAUAUAUCUGUCUUCUGUGAGGCUCUGCCAGUGCCUGGCAAAUACAGAAGAGAAUGCUCACAGUCAUCCAUUGGACAGAACACCGGGUCCCCAAUGACGGAACUAGAGAAAGCACCCAAGGAGCUGAAGGGGUCUGCAACCCUAAAGAUGGAACAACAAUAUGAACUAACCAGUACACCCAGAGCUCCCUGGGACUAAACCACCAAUCAAAGAAAACACAUGGUGGGACUCCUGUCUCUAGCUGCAUAUGUAGCAGAGGAUGGACUAGUUGACCAUCAAUGAGAGGAGAGGCCCUUGGUGUUGUGAAGGUUCUAUGCCACAGUAUAGGGGAAUGCCAGGGCCAGGAAGGAGGAGUGGGUGGGUUGGGGAGCAGGGAGAGUGGGGGGAUAGGGAAUUUUCAGAGAGGAAACUAGGAAAGGGGAUACAUUUGAAAUGUAAAUAAAGACAAUAUCUAAUAAAAAGAAUGAUAUCAUAGAAAAGAAAUAAAUUAAAUUAAUCAAAAUCUUAAAAAAAAAGAGAGUGAUGAUUCCCAACUUAAAGGGCCAAUAUAUAUCUUCAACAAAAUUAUAGAAGAAAACUUUCCUAAUGUAAAGAACGAGAUGUUCAUAAACAUAAAAGAAGCCUACAGAACUCCAAAUAGCUUGGGCCAGAAAAGAAAUUCCUUCUGACACAUAAUAGUCAAAACACCAAAUGCACAAAACAAAGAAAGAAUAUUAAAAGCAGUCAGGGAAAAUGUUCAAGUAACAUAUAAAGGCAGACCUAUCAGAAUUACACCAGACUUCUCAUCAGAGACUAUGAAAGCUAGAAGAUCCUGGGCAGAUGUUAUACAGACCCUAAAAGAUCACAAAUGCCAGCCUGGGCUACUAUACCCAACAAAACUCUCAAUUACCAUAUAUGGAGAAAACAAGAUAUUCCACUACAAAACCAAAUUUACAAAAUUUAUUUCCACAAAUCCAGGUCUACAAAGUAUAAUAGAUGGAAAACUCCAACACAAGGAGGGAAACUACACCCUAGAAAAGCAAGUAAGUAAUCCUCUUUCAACAAACCCAAUAGAAGAUAUCCACACAAACAUAAAAAUAAUAUCAAAAGCAACAGCAAGCAACAAUCACUAUUCUUUAAUAUCUUUUAACAUCAAUGGACUCAAUUCCCCAAUAAAAAGACAUAGAUUAACAGACUGGUUACAUAAACAGGACACAGCAUUUUGAUGCAUACAAGAAAUGCACCUCAAUGUCAAAGACAGUCAUUACCUCAGAGUAAAGGGCUGGAAAGUGAUUUUCCAUGCAAAUGGUCCCAAGAAACAAGCUGGAGUAGCCAUCCUAAUAUAGAAUAAAGUCAACUUUCAACCAAAAGUUAUCAAAAAGGAUAAGGAAGGAUACUUCAUACUCAUCAAAGAAAAAUCUACCAAGAAGAACUUUAAAUUCUGAACAUCUAUGCUCCAAAUGCAAGAACACCCACAUUCAAAAAGAAACUUUACUAAAGCUCAAAGCACACAUUGUACCUCACACAAUAAUAGUGGGAUAUUUCAACACCCUACUCUCAUCAAUGGAUAGAUCAUGGAAACACAAACUAAAAAGGGACAGAGUGAAACUAACAGAAGCUAUGAAACAGAUGUAUUUAACAGAUAUCUAUUGAACAUUUCAUCAUAAAACAAGAGGAUAUACCUUUUUCUCAGCACCACAUGGCACCUUCUCCAAAACUGACCAUAUAAUUGGUCACAAAAAAAGGCCUCAACAGAUACAAAAAUAUUGAAAUAAUCCCAUGCUUCCUAUCAGAUCACCACAGACUAAGGCUGGUCUUCAAUAGCAACAAAAACAGAAAGCCCACAUACACGUGGAAGCUGACCAACACCCUACUCAAUGAUAACUUGGCCAAGGAAGAAAUAAAGAAAUUAAAGAAUUUUUAGAACUUAAUGAAAAUGAAGCCACAACAUACCCAGACUUUUGGGACACAAUGAAGGCAGUCCUAAGAGGAAAACUCAUAGCUCUGGGUGCCUCCAAAAAGAAACCAGAGAAAGCAUACACUAGCAGCUUAACAACACACCUGAAAGCUCUAGAACAAAAAGAAGCAAAUACACCCAAGAGAAGUAGAUAGCAGGAAAUAAUGAAACUCAACCAAAUAAAAACAAAAAGAUCUAUACAAAUAAUGAACAAACCAUGAGCGGUUCUUUGCGAAAAUCAAGAUAAACCCUUAGCCAGACUAACCAGAGGAUACGGAGAUAGUAUCCAAAUUAACAAAAUCAGAAAUGAAAAGGGAGACAUAACCACAGAAACCGAGGAAAUUCAAAAAAUCAUCAGAUCCUACCACAAAUCCUAUACUCAACAAAACUGGAAAACCUUGAUGAAAUGGACAAUUUUCUAGACAGAUACCAGGUACCAAUGUUAACUCAGGAUCAGAUAAACCGUCUAUACAGUCUAAUUGUAAUUGGUGGUAAUGUUGCAUAACUAAAGAUCACAAAAUAAUGGGUAAAGAUUCCAUCUAGAAAUCACAUACACAUAAAUUAGACAUUAAUUGAAAGGAAUACUAUACAAUGAAUAGUGUACCAACGAAGGAGAACUAUCUGUGAAUGGGUGAUAUAUUUCUUUUUAAAUAAAUAACUUGAAAUGAUAAGAUGAUUACAUGUAUUUGGAAGAGCCACACAUAAACUCUAAACCAGAAAACUUACAUUUUGUUACUUACAAGAGUUGGGGCUUAUGAAUAUAGAAGGGAUAUGGGAGGAAAAGGCUUCUCUCAGUAGAUUAUUUUGUGUCUUUUUUUGUUUGUUUGUUUUUUGUUUUUUGUUUUUUGUUUUUUUGUUUUUUUUUUUUUUGAGACAGGGUUCCUCUGUGGCUCUGGCUGUUCUGGAACUCACUUUGUAGACCAGGCUGGCCCCAAACUCAGAAAUCUGCCUGCCUCUGCCUCCCGAGUGCUGGGAUUAAAGGCGUAUACCACCACACCUGGCAUGUGUCAUUUUUGACUUUUGGAAAUAUAUUGAUAUUUUCAAUAUUUUAAUAACAAACAUGUGGGCAGUUUCAAAAAAACAGUGGGAUAAGAAACACAGGCUAAAGUCUCAGUAGGGUAGCCAUAGUUCUAGGUACUGGGGAAAAGAUUUGUAAGAAUGAUACCUUAGGAGUUCAAGAGCAGUCUGGAUAAUGGCAAACCUCCAUCUCUCUAAACCACUGGCUCUCAAAUUUGAUGUCAUGUCCCCUUUCACAAAGGUCACAUAUCAGAUACCCUGCAUAUCAGAUAUUUACAUUAUGAUUCAUAAUAGUAACAAAAUUACAGUUAUGAAGUAGCAACAAAAAUAAUUUUUAUGACUGGGGAGCACCACAACAUGAACAUCUAUAUUAAAGGGGCACAGCAUUAGGAAUGCUGAGAAUCACCACUCUAUAUGAACAACUAGCAAAUUCUCAUUUUUCUAAAGAAACAAGCAAAUACAGUGUUUAAAUUUUUUACCAUUGUAAAUCUGAACAAGACUGUCAAAAACAGUGAUUUCAGAAAUAUAAAUUAAAGUCACAUAACAAACUGAAGAAAAACAUUAGGGUUGUGGAGCAGAAACAGAGUACUUAUUUCAGUUGUGAGGACCCUAUUUAAUCACAAUUAUUUUUAAAAAAAACUACAAAAGUAAAAUCUGAUAAAUCUCCAUAGAAAUUGCAAGGUCUGUGGAAAUUUAACCUAAGGUUGCCUUUCCCAUACCCAGAUGAGUACAAUAGCCUUGAAGACUAGCAUCUUUUCUUCCAAUGAAGAAGCCUAACCUGAUUUGAACUCUAUUGCCAGUCUCAUUCUUUAUGUCAAAAAAUAGUGUCCUCAAGGCAUUUACUGGUUAAAGCCACUGUUAUAGCAAUCUGAUGCUCUAGCACUGGUUGUUGCACAUAAAUACACACACACAAAAAGAUAGUAAAUUCUUAGAGAUAAGAUGGUCUGUACUCUCAAAAAAAGACCAGAAGUACUCUCCUUAUCUACACUGCUGAUUGUGAGACACUAUACAGACAAGAUGGUAAAACAAAGGACAGUUGUAAAGAGUCCAAAUGUUGAAUGGAAAUCCUAAGGCAAAGCCCUUUCAGGAAAAUUUACCAGCUUGAGAUACUUAAAACAAGGCCUCUGACUAAUGGUGGCUUAAGCUGAUCAAUUAAAGCAUGCUUUAAAAACAAAGACAGUCAUUUUCUAAAGAGCAAACUUGAAGAUAAAUCAGAUACACACAUUGCCGGGAAAUGCAAACACUAUAGAAGCAAAAUUGGCACAGGCAUGGCAGAAACAAGCAAUUGCCCACGUAGAUGGGAAAAAAUUCAAAUGUAGUGUUCCUAAAAAUCAACACAUCAUCCUAAGUGGAGAGGGGGGCUAGAGAGAUUAAAGAUUUGUAAAUAGUAAUGAUCACUGAGAGAACCUAAAUACUAGUUUUAGUAGGUCAAGAUUUCAAAGUAUAAAUAUUCUCACACUAAAAUAAGCCUUGUUUUAAAGAAUAAAAGUAAAACAUUGUGACAAUAACUCAUCAGAUGAAAUGUUAAUAAAGAGAUAUAUUAUAAAGUUGUCAGUACAAAUUACAAUAACUUAAAUGAAAACCUUACUUGUAGAGCCAGAUUGCAAGAUAAGCUGGGAGCAGAGAAAAAGAAUCAGUGAAUUUAAAUAUAGAUAUAUAAAGAUUAUUCAGUUUAAAGGACAGAAAAAAAAGAGUAAGGAAGAACAAUGAACAGAACCUCAGAGAUCUGUUAGCUACCACAAGAGUAGGUGUUACCACGAAUUUAUAUGUAAAUUGCACCAUGCAAUCCUCUGCUCCAUUGAAACAGAUAUGGUGGUAGAUGCUGAUAACCUCAGUAUUCAAGUGGUGGAAAUAAGAAGGUUUAGAAGCUCAAGGUCAUUUUCAGCUGCACAGUGAGUAGUUUAGACCACCCUGGGCUACAGGAGACCCUGUCUAUAAACAAACAAAACAAAUACCAGUGCCUGACAUUGUACUUAAUGGUGGAAGAUGAAAUGCUUUCCCUUCAAAUCAAGAAUAAGUUAACUCAGUAUAAUGGCAUACAAAUAUAAUUCCAUCUCCCCAGAGGAGGGAGAAGAAGAAGAAAGAUAAGUUAGAUGUCAUCUUGGGCUAUAUAGUUGUCUCAAAAAAUAAACCCAGCCACCCACAAUUGAGUCAAGGGGACCUGUUUUAUCACUUUUAUUAAAUAUUGUGUAGAAGUUCUGAUCAGUUAUACAAGGAAAAGAAACAAGUCUGGAAAAAAGUAAAAUUAAAUUUCUAUAUUUAACCAAAAUCCCAAGAUUGUAAAAUAUAAAGCUCAAUCAUAUUUCUAUGUACCAUGAGGGACUAAUGAAAUGAAGAAAACAAUUCAUUUUAUAAUGUAAAAAUGAAUAAAUCACAGGUAUGAAUGUACUUAAUGCCACAAAAAUACAUUUAAAAUUAUUAACUUAUAAAUUAUGUUCUUUUUUUUUUUACAAAACUAAAAGGAACAAAAUUAAUCGAUCUAUUUUUUAAAGUAUACAAACUAUACUCUAUGAAUGACAGGAUACCACUGAAAGUCUAGAUCUAAAUAAAUUGAUAUAUAGCUUGUGUUUAUGAACUGGAAAACUUGAAGUUAAGAUACAUAUGUUCUUCAAGAUGAUGUAGAGACCUGAUCCUUACCAAAAUAUCAGGUGUCUUUUCUAGAAAAUAACAAGCAAUGUUUAAAAUUAUGUAAGACCCAAAUGACCUACAAUAGUUAAAGCAAUCUCCCAAAUCAGUCAAGUUAAAGGGUUCAUACUUUUCAAUAUAUAGAUUUACUAUAAAAUAACAAGGCACUAUGUAAGCAUCACAUCAAACAGACAUACAUAAGAGGGGAUAGAAUUAAUAGUCUAUUAAAUAGUUUAUUAAAUACAGAACCAGAUAGCUAUGGUAAAUGGACUUUUAAUAAAGGUGCCACAGAAAUAAAUGAGGGAAUGAACAGUGUUUUGGAUGGAUUUUUCUUCAACAGCAUGUUAUAUAUGUAAGGGAAAUAAAGUUGAAUGGUUCCCUGCCACUAUAUGUAAAAGCUUAAAAUCAAUCAAAGACUUAAAAAUAGCAAUUAAAUCUUGCAGAAUUCUUACAAAAAAACAUAGAGUCAAAUCUUUGUAACCAAAUGUUUGACGAAAGGUGUUUUGUUUUGCUAUUUUUUUUAUAUAAACCGAAAGUAAAAUAAAGAGCUGAUUCACUGGACUUUAUUAAAAAUUUUUAAAAAUUUAUGCUUGGGGGUAUACUACAAAGAAAGUGGAAGCUGUAGAGAUGGCUCAGCGGUUAAGAAUAUUGGCUGCUCUUCCAGAGGACCAUGGUUGAAUUACUAACACCUAUAUGGCAGCUAAAAUAACUUCAGUUCCAGGGGACCCAAUAACCUUACAAAGAUAUAUAUGCAAGCAAAACAUUAAUACACAUAAAAAGGAAUUAUCAAAAAAUUUAAAGAAAGUAAGAUGGCAAUACAUAGGUGUGAGAAAAUACUCAAAAAUUGUUUGUUGAUAGAAUAUUUGUAGCAGGAUAAAUAUGAUAUAUAUCAAUAUACACACAUAUAUACACACAUAAUUCAAUAUAUACAACACUCAGAACUCGUUGCAAUUCACACACACACACACACACACACACACACACAAUCCCAAUUUAAAAAAUGAAGAAUCUAUGGCCUGUGAACCUUUAAUCUUAGCACUUCAGAGGCAGACAAGAAGAUCUCUAUGAAUUAAAAAAUAGCUCCAGUAAAGACCAUGUCAAUAGAAUGAGAUAGAUAGCUAUAGAGGGGGCAAAAAACUGAGAAAUCAUAUACUUGACUUAGGCUCUGUAUUCAGAACACAAGAAGAACUUCUUAAAACUUAACAUAAAAGGAAGUUCAGUUGAAAAAUUAGUAAACAAUUUAAAUAAACAGUUCACUGAAUGGAAGAAUGUGGAAAAAAUGAUUCAUUAUUAUUAUCCAUUGGCAAAAUACAAAUUUAAACCACAAUAAAACAUUACUGUGCCAGGCAUGGUAGCAUAUGCCUUUAAUCCCAGCACUCUCCUACACAAAGAAACCCUCUCUCAAAAAACCAAAAAAGAAAAUUUACUGCAUGUUUACCAGAAUUGGUAAAAUGAAAAAUACUGUCAAUAUUAAAUGAUCUAUAGUAAUUCCAAAUUAGGAAUAACUUAGAUGUCUGUGGAUGAGUGAGUGGUUAAAAAUGUGGUUUAUACAUACCAUGAAAUUCUACCCAGCAACAAGUCUGAAUUAACUACUGAUAUAUAAAACAACUUGGAUGAACAUCUAGAGAAUUAUGGUAAAUUCUAAAAAUGGUCAAAUUUCAAAAGAUGUGUUUGAUUCUAUUUAUAUAGCAAUCUCAAAAAAGCAGAUCUAUAGAAUCAAGAACAGAUUAGUGAUUACUGGGAAUUAAGGGAUGGUAGGAGGGAAGACGGUGUGGCUAUAAAAGGACAAACAGGGAUCUUUGUGGUAACAAAUAAUAUUCUGUAUCAUUGAACCAGUGUUUCCAUCCUCCUUAAAUUGCACUACAGUUUUGUUACUACUGGGAAAACUAUAUAUGAGUUUUUCAAACUAUAGAUGAUCUCUUUGCAUUAUUUAUUACAAAUGAAUGUGAAUUUCUAAAAUUAGAUUAAAAGCUUGAAUUUUAGAAGUAUGCAAAAGGAAACCAGUAAGAAAGUGGGCAAAGGGGCUUUCUGCUGAGCUUAAUGACUUGAGUUUGAUCCCCAAGACUCAUAUUGUAGAGGGAGAAAAGAAACUCCCACAAGUUUUCCUCCAUUCUCCAUGCAUGUAUUGUGGUAUGAGUGUGCCAUCUCCUUCCCAUAUCUGUGAAAAAAUACAACUGUGCAAAGGAUCUAAAUACAUAUACCAGUAAAGAAGACAUGUAACUGACCAAUAAACACAUACAAAAAUAUUCAAUACCAUUUAUAAAGCACAUCAGGACUGAAAUCAGAUAACAAAAUACUAGGUAGACUUUUUUUUCUCAGCACUUUUUGGAUGGAGUAUUAUAGAUGGAAAAUCAUUUUUGCAGCUACCAUAAUAAAGACUAGUUCCAGAAAGCAUCUUAAUCAGGACAGACCAAGGUAUUUUAAAAUGCUUAUAGUAUACCCACAGCAAGUUCAUCUGCCUCAAGGUAAAUAAUAGUGACUACACAGUGGAAAAACAGACAGUGCCUUAAUGGAGUGAUCAAACCAUCACCAUCAUUGAAUAUAUAUAUAUAUACACACACACAUACACACACAUCAUGGGAAAUGGUAUCCUAAGAAGGACAUUAUAUUGUUUCUGGAAUAUUCCAGAUGGGAAUCCACAAUCUGUAUCUAAUUAUAAAGAAAUAUCAAAGAAAUCCCUCAAAAAGUGACUUUGAUGUAAAAAGAAAAAAGACUAAGAGAUACUAGAAAUACCCAGGUUCACAGUAACUAAAUAUGCACAACCAAGGGCAACAUAGAACAUGGACUGGGCCUUGCACUUGGGGACAGCUGCACCAAAGGACUUUGUUGUGUUCACUGACAAGAGUAGAAUAUAGGCUUUGGGUUAUUUCAGUGACUGUAUGGAUGUUUAAUUGCCAAAGUUGAUGUCUGUUAUAUCACUUUCAAAGGGAGGAAAUGUGAUGUUGUCAUCCUCCUUAAACUGUAGUACAGUUAGGAAAUAAAUUGUUAGGAAAUACACAGCAAAAUGUCUAGGGGUGAGGGGCUGUAAAGUGUGCAAUUCCCUUUCAAGUUUUGCAAAGGAACACAGUGUACAAAUACACAUAUAAAAAUAUUGAAAUGAAAAAGCAAGUGAGGCUGGAAUGGUAAUAAGUGUACCUCAAAUCUUAAUGAAGGAUAUGAAGAUGUCUUAUAUAUCGUUCAUGCAGUUUUUCUGUAGUUCAUUAUUACUUCCAAAUAAAACAGUUUUGUUAUGUUUUAAAGAAACAUCUAUGAGAUAGCACAAUAUUCCAGUGAUUUUUGACUCAGGCUAAUUUUGCCCUAACUCGGGGAGGGGGUAGAUUUGAUAAUAUGUAGAGAGUUGUGGUUACUUUAUUUUAUUUUUGGUUGUCACAACUGAAGGAAUGCUGUGUUAGCAUCCUGGCAGAAGCCAGGGGCUCUGCUAAACAUCCUAAAGUACAUGGGGCACUCUUCGUUGACAAAGAAUUAUCUCCUGCCAAAUGUCAAUGGUUCCGCAGUAGAGUAUCCCUGCCCCACUUGGCUAACAAGAUGGAAAAUUUCUCUGCCAAUAAUGGCUGGCAGGGAUGUCAGGAAAGGGGAACCCUGCCUGUGGAAAUGCGAGGUCAGACAGCACUUGAGGAAAGCAACCUGGCAACAUACAUGCAAUUUAACAAUGCAUCCAUCCCUGUGUAAGGGGCUGAACUCCGUCCCCAUCAAUUUUCUAAGUUGAGGCCCUCAUUUCCAAUAUUUCAGAAUUUUAACAGGAGAUCAGACCUUUAAACAGACAGUUAAAUUGAGUCCAAUUUUACUGGUGUGCCUAUAAAGAAGGGGAAAUUGGGAUACAGAAAGAGUCCCAAAGUGUGGCUAUAUAGACAGAAGACACAGGGAUAUAUUGGCCAUCUGGGAGUUAAGGAGAGAGGUUUUAAGAGAGAAGCAACCUGCUGGCACUCCAAUCUGAGUCUUGUGGGCUCCUGCUUUUUGAGAAGCCUCUCAAUUCAGCAUUUGUUUUUGACAACCCUGGCAAAUGAAGUUUGUGAAUUCACUGCAUAGAAAUAAAAGCCUUUAUACUGGGAAGUGAUUUUAAGAAAAACUUUUAGAAAACUAGCUUAAACCUAAAGCAAAAUAUAUUUCAAGCAACGAAGAAUAUCACGGUAUAGGCAUACAAGGGAGAAUGAAGGAGAGACUCUAAGAUUUAAAUAGAAGUGAGAGAUGAACAGAAUUGUUCCUGAAGCUCAGAGGAAGCUGUAGUAGUAUGAUUGUAAGAAAAGCAAGGGGCAGAAAAGCAUGCAUGCUGUGCCUUCCAUGUGUUUCAAAGACAACAAUAAGGCCUCUUCAUGAGAGGUAUGGUUUAUUUCACUGUGUAUUAUAUGGACAUCAGGAAAACAUUAGAGAAUAAAAUCAUUGUUAAUCAAUGUAGGCAACAGAGAAGAAACAUGCAGAAAAAGAUUGUAUAUAUACAAUAUAGUCAGCUGUAAAUCUAAGAGCAUAAGUAAGUGAUAUAAUUUUUAAGAAAAAAUACCCCUCUCCCCCCUCCCCCCCCCAAGAUUUGUGGCAUGAGGAAUAAAAUAGAAGGUUAUGGAGCACAGAGUUGUCUGAUAGGAGAGAUUAAGGCUGGCAUUGUUGCAGCUUGGGGUUAAAUCUGAGGAGACAGACACCAGCGUUUUCACUGUAUGCAGGGUAGAAACCGACAUCCUCAUAUUUGUUCACUGCAGUAAUUCUUGCCGUAGACAGAUAGACUUUUCUUACCAUUGUUUUAAAAUUUUAUUUUACUUACUUUAUUUUUUGUGUGUACAUGUGUGUGCACACAUGCAUAUGUGUAUGGACAGUGUGUGUGUGUGUGUGUGUGUGUGUGUGUGUGUGUGUGUGUGCGUGUAUGUGUGUGUGUAUGCCAGAGAACAACUUCCAGUAACCAUUUUUCUCCUCAUAGCAUAUGGAUGCAGGGAAUUGGUUUCAGGUCAUCAGUCUUGGCAGAAAGUACCUUUACUUAGUGAGCUGGCCCCACAGUUGGAAGCUUGAUUUCAUUGAUGUGUAAUAGAGGCAUAAAAAGUAGAUGGAUCAGGGUCACAUAAUAAUAAAUAGUGGGAAAGGGUCGUGGUCUCAAGAAGCAUAGCUAUAAGUAGUGCCCUGAACACUACGAAUUUGCCUACAUUUUUAAAAAGCAGAGCUGUAAAGGAAGGAUUUAAUUUCACUAUUUCAGUUGGAAAAUUGCUAUUUCAGUUGGGGUAAAGUAAAUAGAGGGAAAAAGAAAUCCAACCAAUUAAAUAAAUAAGUAAAUAUAUAUGGAUGGAUGUAUAAUCCAUCGUCAUGUAUUUUAUCUGUUUAUACAAACAAAUCUGAGCCCCUCAAAUAGAGAAGGUAUGUUUUUAACUUAGGUGGGUGGAAUAGGUCACAUCCCAAGCUAAAAAUUACAAAAGCACUGGUCUUAUUUUCAGACUUUGAUGCUGCAAAGGAGCUCUUUUAAGAAAACUGGAGCUUUCACAGACUGCAUGCUUUCACUGGGAGCCUAUUAAAUGGGAAAUAAAUAACGGUGAUAAAAAUGUAUUGCUUAAAAAUUAAGCAAACAUUUAAAAAGAGCUCUAGAUUAAAGAGAAAAAACAAAACACGAAAAAUUAUCAAAAAGGGAAUGAAAUUGGUCAUAUUUCAUACCAAGCCCUACAUAUCACAGCUAAAGCUGUGAUCAGAGGAAAAAUUAUAACUCUUAAAAUGUCUCUUGGUAAAGGGACUUUAAAUAAGUGAACUAAAUAUUACCCUUAAUUAAGUUUUAAAAGAAAAUACAUAAAUUAAAGAUAAUUAGGAAGAUGGAAUUAAUAGAUAUUAUAGUCCAAGAUGACUAAGAAGAAAACAAAUAUAGACAAAGGUAAUUUUCUGAUAAGAUAAUAAACAUAAUAUUUUAAUAAUUAACAGAAUAACUAAAUUUCUCAUGAACUUGACUAAGAAAAAAGCAAGACUAUAAAAGCACAGGCAAGAAAAAUUUAUAGAAAAGAGCAUAAACUACUGAAAGAAAAUUAGUUGCUACCAAGUGUCAACACAGUUGAAAUGCUUCAGGAAAUUACAUAGCAAUGAAUAAAUUAUCCCUUAAAACAUGCACUAAACUAAUUUAGAAUACAUUACCGCAGAAAAGACUAAAAGCAAUUACGAUUUCGUAUUAGGUCCAGAUGGUUAUACAAUUUUGUUCUGUGUAAAUUUAAAAGAUUUUACACUUAUUGUAUGUGCAUGUGGUCACAUGUGCAUGCAGGGUGGUGGUAGUGUGUGCAAAUCACAGCAUGUGUGUGGAAGCCAAAAGAGAACUUGUAGGAAUUGGCUCUCUUUUUCCAACAUGUAGGUACCAGUUAUCAAACUCAGGUAUCUUGAGCAGGCUUGGCAGCAGGUAUCUUUACUCACUGAGCCAUAUUUCCAGCCACUGCUUAACCUUUAAAGAGACCAUCAUUCUAAUGUUUUCAAACUGUUUUGGAACACAAGCAGACAGAUCUUCAACUGCAUGGCACUGCAUUCACAAAGACAUGGUGGAACCUUUUACACACUGCUGAGCCAAGAGAUUCUGUAACUUACAGGAUCAGAUAUCAGGGCUGUCCUUCAUACUGCAGAAAGAAAGAAAAAGCCCAUUCUCACAGUUUUAAUGACUGAUAGAUCCCCAGCAAAUAAGCAGAUCUUCAUAGAUGGAUAUAUUAGCAAUUUGCAUUGUUUUGCUACUUAGCAAUCAUAGCAUCAGUAUCUCCAGACAAAAACAGCUUUCAAAUGUAUAGAAUCAAUUUAUAGAAGAGUUGAAGAUUGCAUACAGUUUUACUUUAGAUAGUGAGAUUGCAUCACUCUUUUCUUCCAACAUCAAUGACUAAGGCCAAGUUUCCCUAUAUACUCACCAACGGAGUAUUAUUGGUGUCUUACUUAAUAAUCAAAGAAACAACCGUUGCUUAUAUUUGCACUCUAUCAUAAGUGAAACAGUCUGGCAUUUUCCCCCCUGGAAUCAGUAGCAUUUCCUUUUUAAAAAAUCAUCCUCUCAAUAUAAAGAGCUUUGAAAAAUUGAAUGAAAAUAAUUCACUCUGUGUCUACAAUAUGGGUGGCAACUGUUUCCCCAGGUUAACACUUAAAUUUUAUUUUUGGUGGGUUUUUUUUUUGCUGUGCAAAUUUUAUAUAUUCUAUUACCAGCUUUGCUGAGGUACAGCUGGCAUAUAAUAAAAGGCACGUGUUUAAAUUGUAGGAUUUGGUAACUUUUGACAUGUGUUGAAAUCGCUGCCACAAUUAAGGUAAUGAGCAUAUCCAGUGCUCCCAGGAGCUUCCUCUUGCCCUUUUGGACUUCCCCUACCACUGCUCCACCCCUCGGUAAUUAUUGACCUUUCUGUCACUCUAGGUUAGACUUCAUUUUCUAGAGUGCUGUGGUAACAGAAGACGACAGUAUGAACUCUUUGUCUGGCUUCUUUCACUCACUGUAAUUACUUGGUGAUUCAUCCAUGUUAGGUGUAUCAAUAGUUCAUUCCUUUGUACUUCUGAGUAGUAUUCCAUUGUAUGGACACAGAACAACUUUGCCAAAAAAACUCUCUACUCAAAUGUUGACUGCUUUUGGAAUGUUUCCAAAUGGAGAGAGAGAGAGAGAGAGAGAGAGAGAGAGAGAGAGAGAGAGAGAGAGAGAGAGGGAAACCAUUAAACUGUUUUUCAGUGUUCCUGAAUCAUUGUGACCACGACAUGGCAUACAACUGGUUGAGUUCUUUCAUGUCCUCACCAGUACCUGGUGAAUCUCCUUAAUUUUAGGCAAUUAGUAGUUAUGAAGUAGAGUCUACCUUUGUGCACUUCUCCAAUAACUAAUGAUGCUGGGCAUUGUCUUACAUGCUUUCCUAUAUGUCUUCCUUGCUAUGAAGUGUUGAUUUAAACAAUUUACCCAUUUUUGUAAUGUGUGAGUUUUCAGUUUAAAGUGUCCAUCACAUAUUCUGAAUAUAAAUUCUUUUUUAGGUAUCAGGUUGUAAAAUAUUUUCAGGUUUGGGAUAGUGAGCAAUAAUGUUUGAUGUGCAAACAUGGAAACUGGUGUUCAAAUCCUCAGCAUCCACGCUUAAAAAAAAAAAACUGGCAUGAAUGCACAUAACUGUAAUCCUAGAACUGUGGGUAGGGUGGGCAGAGACAGGCAGAUCCUGGGAGCUUAGUGACCUGCCAGUCUGGCUGGAACACUGAACUUCCAGUUCAGUGAGAGACUGCUUGAGGAAAAGAAGGUAGAGAGCCGUAAAAAAAUGAGGCUAUGCCAGUGCCUGGCAAACACAGAAGUGGAUGCCCACAGUCAGCUAUUGGAUGGAACACAGGGCCCCCAAUGGAGGAGCUAGAGAAAGUACCCAAGGAGCUAAAGGGGUCUGCAACCCUAUAGGUGGAACAACAAUAUGAACUAACCAGUACCUUCCCAGAGCUCAUGUCUCUAGCUGCAUAUGUAGCAGAAGAUGGCCUAGUUGGCCAUCAUUGGGAAGAGAGGCUCCUUGGUCUUGCAAACUUUAUAUGCCCCAGUACAGGGGAACACCAGGGCCAAGAAAUGUGAGUGGGUGGGUAGGGGAGCGGGGGAGUGGGUAUGGGGGACUUUCAGGAUAGCAUUUGAAAUGUAAAUGAAGAAAAUACCUAAUAAAAAUUGGGGGAAAAAAGACAGCAAUCAUUUGUCCUCUGCAUGUGAGUUCAUGGGCAUGCACAAUUCCACGUGCACAUGCAAUGCACGCAAAACCAGAAUGCUUUCUUUCAAUAUCUGUCUUUUUCAUUGUGUCUUUCAAAAAGCAUGCUUGAGAAGCCUGGCUAACCAAUUUGUUCCUAAUACUCACAUGCUUUUGAUGCUGUGUCAAAGAUAUCCUUAACUAUAUUGUUGUUGUCCUAUAAGGUUUAGCCUUUGAAUUCAGUUCUAUGACCAUUUUAACAUGGUUUUGGGGAAAUGAUAAAAGUUCAUGGUUGAACUGAAUAUCCAGUUUUUCCAUCUUGUCUCCUCCCCACAGAACAAAACAAAACCUAGCAUAACCUUUACAUGUGGAUUAGAAAGCACCUGUCAAUAAAUUUGAAUGUCCACCUGAUCCCCAGUUUCCCCCACUAUCUGUUUGGUUUUUAUGCUGACAUUAUACAUCUGGUGUUCAUCCUCAAACCUUGUUCAUGUUCAAAGUUGCUUUGGUAUUCUAGGUUAUCUGCAUGCUAGUCUUUGACUGGCUUUAUACUGAAUUUAGAAAUCAAUAUUGAACCUUGUAAUUUGUGAACCUAAUUAUAUAUCUAUAUUUAUUUUUUUGAAGUUUCAUCAGCAUAGUUAUAUAGGCUCCAAAGGAGAGCUCUUUUGUCAAAUAGAUUUCUAUGUUUCACAUGUUUAGUGCUACUCAGAAUAGUAUUUAAAAGUUUCCAAUUCUGCCUUACUUGUAGCUAGAAUUUAGAAGUAGAAUUGCUUUUUGCAGAGCUACUUUGUAUAUGCAACUGAAUCCAUAUAUUCUGGUGGCCAAUCUGACACAUCAGAUUUUCUAUACAGACAACCAGGAAAUCUACAAAUAAUGCCAGUUUCAUUUCUUUUCCAACUUGCUGUUUCUUACCUUAUUCCAAAGGCAAGCAUCUCCAACUUAAUGUUGAAUAGAAAUCAUAACACCAGAUAUUUGUACUCCUGACUUAUGGGCAAAACGGAUAUUUGUUCAUUGAAUAUGUUAACUGCAUGCAGGCCUUUUUUUUUUCAAUAACCUAUUUCAAUUGGAGGAAGCUUCUAUUUUUUACUUCAUAAUUUUUUUUGCUAGAUUUCUUUCAAGUACUUUCUCUGCAUCUUCUGAGAUAAAUAUGGCUUUAUUUUGUCAUUUAUUAAUAUGUUUCAUUUUCUUUAUAUGCCCCAGUACAGGGGAACGACAGGGCCAAGAAGUGAGAGUGGGUGGGUAGGGGAGCAGGGGAGGGGGAGGGUAUAGGGAACUUUCGGAAUAGCAUUUGAAAUGUAAAUAAAGAAAAUAUCUAAUAAAAUAAAAAAAUAAUGUUUCAUUUUACUAAUUAAAUUCAAACUAACUUUGUAUUCCUGAACCCUAAUUGAUUCUUUUGCUUAAAAUUUUUGGAUUUGUGUUCACAAGUGAUAUUACCUACAGUUUUCUUAUAAUGUUUUUAUAAUGUUUAUAAUGUUUCUUUAUAAUGGCUGGGUUUCCUAUCAGGGUAAUGCUGGUCCCAGAAUUUAAAAAGAAUUCCCUUCAUUAAAAGAAACCAGAGUUUGCUUCUUAAACAUAUGGCAGGAUUCAUCAGGAAGCAACAUGGUCCCAGAGUAUGCUUAUCGUGUGUGUGUGUGUGUGUGUGUGUGUGUGUGUGUGUGCAUUAUCCAUGAUAGAUAAUUGGGUUACAUCUGUCUGCACUUUACCUUUCCUAAGAAAUUUUCCAUUUCCUCUAAGUUGUAGAAUAUAGUAACAAAGAGCUGUACAGGAUAGUUUUGUAGUUUUAAGUCCUGUCAUUUAUAUAGAGCUGGGUAUCUCACUUCUGACACUGACAAGUUGCGACAUCACGCUUGCUCUUUGGUCUAUCUGGUUAGUCACUUAUUGAUUUUCCUGGCCUUAAAAAAAAUCAACAAUGGUUUGAUUAUUUUUUUUCCUGUUUUUAGUUUCUUACGCCCCUCGCAAAUUCUUAUUUUCCUUUAGUCUACUUAUUUUGGUUUAUUUAGCUGUUUUAUAGUUCCCAGUCUGAGGCCUUCACCGCUUGCGUGGUGCUAUAUGGUCCUCUAAGAACUGUUUUAGCAGUGUCCUAUAAACUAGAGCUUGUUGUGUUUUCACUUUCAUUUGAUUUAAAACACUCAUUUUUCUCUUAGGUUUCUUCUCUGACCCUGUGCUAUUUGGAGACAUGUUCUUUAUUUUCCAUAUAGUUCAGAAUUUGCCAUCUUCUUAAUUGAUUUUUAAUUUAAUUCUACUGUGGUAAAAGAACAUAUGACUUGAGUAACUUUAAGUUUAUAAAGUUUUUUCACAGCUCAGAAUAUGGUCUGUCCUGGCAUGUGGUCUCUGUGUAGUUGGCAGCCAUAUCUAUCCUGCUGUUCUCUACCAGCAUUAAGUCAACUUGGUUCAAAGUAUUGCUCAGAUCCACAUUUCUGUUGAUUUUUGUGUCUAACGGUACCAUCUCUAAUAAUAAAGACAUUAAAAUCCACAAAAC
rnacentral:lncRNA from 1 species